UUCGGAGCAUAAAAACUAGGUUUGAAAAUUUAUUUCUUUAUUCGCAGCAAAUCUGUCUAAUCGCGCAGCAAUUACUAAAUUAAUUAUAACUUAGCUACAGAACUCGAAAUUUAAUCCCGUAAAUUUUCCCUGAAACUAGACUCAUAUAUCUACUCACCAUAAAAUUUUUAGAAUUUUUGGUUCAGCAAAUUAGUACAGUUUAUUAGUUAAAGUCUCCCUUGUGUCACCACCAGACUGCCCUGACCUCUAGUCACUAAAAAUAAGUUUUCUCACUAUAGGAUUUUCAUAUGAAGUUCUUACUUGUUUCUAUAGAAAAUAGACUCAUUAAGGAAUCUAAGCAUAUAAAUUUCAACUCAUAACCAUUUUUUUACAAUUUGUAAUUAUUUUCUAAACUCAGAACAGGGGACUCCAAAAACAGUUCUGACCCUAUCUUACUAAAAUUCACAUAUCUUAAAAUAUAAAUUUCUUUUUUUCUACACCGUUAUUUUUCCAUGAAAAUAGACUCAACAAGCUUUAAUUCCAUAUAUCAUUCACCCUCUAAUUCAUUUUAUACUAUCUUGGGUGAUUUUUUAAAUUCACGUCACUGUGCUGCCUGAAUUCCGUUUCUUUGCAAAAUUUUAUCCUUUCAUGAUUUCCAUGCAUAAUUUAUCACUUAAUUUUUCAUAACAACAAACACCUUCAUCCUUAAUCAUUUUAAUAACCAUACAUCAUCAAAUACUUACACAUCACUCAUUAGCAAAAUCAUCACUACAAACAUACAAAAUAACUAAAUCCCUAUACAUGCCAUAACUUAAACGUGUUUCGAUAUAAAAUACCGAGCAGUUGUAGUUGAUAGUGUGGACGAUCUCCGACUUCUUUAGGAUCCUUGAAGUAGCUUUGCAAUACUCGGUACCAAUUAUAGCCAAAUUCACCAACUUAGUCUUCAACUUUAUUCUUCCCUUUGUCUAACCUCGAGUUUCGUACUUCUUGAUCUAAAAUAGUAAAUUUAACUUAUUUAAUAGUCACAUUCAUCAAAAUAGCCCUCGACUCUAACUUUUUCAAAAUUACAAUUUUGCCCCUAAACUUUUACAUAAUUAUAUUUUUGCCCCAAGGCUCGGAAAUUAAACUUCAUCUCUUAUUCUUAUGUUUUAUAACAUUCUGAAUAUUUUUCCCUUCUAUGGCAACAUCAAAUUCUAAUUUAAUCCCUUAUCAAUACUAAUUUUAUUUUUGCAUUCUAACUCUAUAUUCUCUCUUAAUUCUUACUAUAAACUCAGUUUAAUUCUUCAAUUUCCCCAUAAAUCCCUAAUUUCGGGAUUCUUUCAAUUUAAUUCCUAUCAAUUCAAAACUUAUGUUUUAUUUUACAAAUCAAUCCUUUAUUCAAUUCCAAUCAAAAUUUCUAUCAAAUACAUCCCUAAUUUAACAAUUUAUUCAACAUGAACCAUGCUUAAUAAUCUACUAACUUCCAAAAUUUCAACUUAAAUCAAGUAGUAUUUUGUUCUAGGAUUUCAAAAAAAAUAUCAAAAUUAAGAGAAAAGGGGAUUAAAUUGACUUACCAAAUUACUUUGAACAUUAAAACCCCAAAUUUCCCUUUUUCUUUUCUUUUCUUUCUUUCUUUCCUUCCUUCCUUCUCUGUUUCGUUUUGCUCUCUGUUUCUUUCUUUCUCCCUUCUCUGUUUUGUUUUGUUUUGCUCUCUGUUUCUUUUCUUUCUUUCUUUGUCAUAUAUAUAUAAUAAUAUAAUAAUAUAAUAUAAUAUAAUAUAAUAUAAAAACAUAAUUAUUACUUACGCAUGUAUAAUAUAUAUUUUAAAUUAAAAAUAUCUUAGAUUUUUCUUUUGUUAUGCCGCCUCAACUUUAGAAAAAGGCAUAAUUGCCUAUUUGGUCCUUUAACUUUUCUUUAAUCUAUAAUUAAACUUUUAUCCUUACUUCAAUUUAGUCCUUUUUCAUAAUUAACUAUCAAAGCUUUAAAAUUUCUUAACGAAACUUUAAUAUUAUCCUGUUGACACUCCGUAAAUAUUUUUAUAAAUAUUUACGGCUCAGUUUAUAAUAUCGAGGUCUCGAUACCUCGUUUUCAACCCAAUUUACCUAAUAAUUUCUUUUAAAUCACAAAAUUCACUGAUUUAAAAAAUAUUUCUAAAAUCACACUUAACUUAUAAUUAUUAAUUAAUAAAUUUUUCUAACUUUUUCAUCAAUUUUAGUGAUCUCAAAUCACUAUUCUGACACUACUAAAAAUUGGGCUGUUACAGAAAUGGUUAGUAAAGAUUAUGUUUUGGUAUUAUGUAUGUGUAAAUGGUAGCUAAUACAAAGAAGUAGUUUCUUUGACAGUAGCAGUGACGUGAAUGUGAAAAAUCACCAUAAAUAGUAUAAAUGGAAUUAAAGAAUGAAUUAUAUAUGGAAUUAAAGCUUAUCAAGUAUAUUUUUAUAUAAAAGAAACGGUGUAGGCAAAGGAAUUUUUUAUUUUGAGAUAUUUGAAUUUUAGUGAGACAGGGUCAGAAUGGUUUUUGAAGUCCCCUGUUCUGAUUUUGGAAAAUCAUUAUAAAUUGUACAGAAAUAAUUAUGGGUCAUAAUUUAUAUGUAUAGAUUUCUUAGUGAGUCUAUUUUCAAAAGAAACAAAUGAUAACCUUAUAUGAAUUCUGUGCAAUUAGAUAAUUUAUUUUUAGUGCCAAGAGGUCAGACCUGUCGAGCUGUGAAACAGGGGAUACUUUAAUGAAUAAAUUGUACUAAUUGGCUAAGUCAAAAAUUCUGAAAAUUUUAUGGUAAGUAGGAAUAUGAGUCUAGUUUCAGAUAAAAUUUACAGAUUUAAAUUUUGAGUCUCGUAACUUGAGUUAUAAUUAAAUUAGUGACAAUCAUGCAGGUGGACAGUUUUGUUGUGAACAGUGAAUUUAAUUUUAAAAGUAAAUUUUUAUGCUCUGAAUUGGUAAGUUAAAUUGGAUGACAUCUCGUGCUCGAUUCCGGCGACGGUCUCGGGUAAGGGGUGUUACAAUGACCAACCUUCCCACAUAACUGGCACUGAAAUCACGAACCUGAAAAAUGACCUCGCCCACGACCACGAGCACCUGAUGAGGGUCGAUAAGCUGGUAGAGAAGAAUUAUUGUCAGCGGAGACAGUAGGCUGAUGAGUGACCAUGUUGGCAGAACUAGGAGCAUCAGACACAACUAGUUGCUAACGAGCUUCAGCAUCAAGUAACAUAGUAGUAACACUCUGGACACUGUAAGGAAUUGAACUCGCAGUAAUGAUUGUAAGUACUGACUCAUACUCGGACGAUAGACCAUUUAUGAUAGCUGUAACAUGUUCUCGUUCACUAAUAGCCUCUCCACAACUAAUAAGGCUAUCACAGUAGCCUUUAAUUUUCAUCAAAAACUCCUUUAUAGACAAAUCAGCCUUACGUUGAGAAUGUAACGCCCUUCUAUAAAACAUUAAUUGAGAAGUAGUUUUGCUGCCAAACAAACUAACAAGAGCAUUCCAAAUCUGGAGACUCAUAUCAAGACCAAUAAGAUGAGGAAGAACAACAAUACUCACCGAUGACAAUAACCACGACGCAAGAGCACUAUCUUGCUGUUCAAAACGAGCAAACUCCAGAUUUUCUUGUGAGAUACCAGCAUCAUCAAGAAAAAACUGAGAAGGAGGAACAAAUUGCGGAUCAAUAAACUUCUGAAGCUUCUAAGUUUUUACUGCUAAGAGAACUUGCUGACGCUACAACAAUUAAUUAUGAUCAUCAAGAAGCAGGCUGAUCUUUUUGGUAGAGAAAAACCGACUAUCAACCACUUUAUCCGGUAGAACUGACGACAUCGCCGGUGCAACAGAUUGAACAGCAGAUGGGCUAGAAGGGGAAGUCAUGAACGACUACCUCAAGAACGAACAAACCUCUGAUACCAUGUUAAAUUCUAUACUGAAGAAAUCUUGUAUUAAAUCAAGAGAAAGAAUACAUCAAGAUUAGUUUUUGAGAAGAACUUGUGCCACUAUAUAUAGGCAACAUGAAGCUGAUAACUGCUCAUAAUAACUAACAAUUAUUAGUAACUAAUAGCAACUAAUAAUUAGACUUAACAGAAUUCUCACAGAAGUCAAUUCCUGACUCAACCAUACUCUAACAAUAAUAAGCAAAGCUUUAGAGGCAAACUCUGUAACACCCCUAACCCGUCUCCGUCGCCGAAUCAGGGUUACGAGGCAUUACAAAACCAAGCUCACAUAAACAUAACUUUAAUAUCUAAUUCCAAAUGCAAGUCCAAUUCAUGAACAUAUAUAAUCAAAUUCAAGCAUGGAAGUUAAACUCUUUUCGCAUUGCUAUUUACACAAUAGGAUUCAAAAUUAUCCAAAACAUUAUCAAGCCUAUACAUGCCAUAAGAUCGAGUUCAAAUAUUUAACAAAAUACCAAAAAGAAAGUCGAUAGUGUGAUGGGCGGUGCUGAUGAUCCCCGAGCUCGUAACGCGUCUCCAAAAAAAAAUCUAUAAAAACGAAUGAACGAAAGCAAACAAAGUAAGCUUUUAUAGCUUAGUAAGUCUACAGCAUAUCUAUAAUACAUAUAAAAGAAUCAUAUAAUUCUUUAAGUAAAUUUAUUGAAAUUACAAUCAUCAAAUAUGAUUACUAAUCAAACACUACUUUAUUGAGUCAUUUUGUUUAAGUCUAAAAGGAUGUAUAUUUAUCUAAUACACAUAAACGGACAAAUGUAUAUACAUUAUAUGCAUAUAAUCAAGUUACUAGCAUAAUCCUUAACAGCAUAUACUGAUUUCUAGAGUACUUAUUAUUCGCACUUCAUCGAAUCCAUUUAAAUACAACUAUUCAACUACAUAUAUCAAAAGCCAAAUUUUUAUGCUUAUCAUCCAUAAAUGCCGAAUGCACAUAUGCACCUAUACCCAUCUAUGCCGAAUGCAUAGAUACAUACACUUAUUUUCACCUAUGCCGAAUGCAUACACAUAAAUAUAUUCACCUAUGCCGAAUGCAACAUAUAUAUAUAUAUAUACAUAUCUAUCAAUUGCUUAGACCAAAUAUAUGUAUAUAUAUAUGCUCAUCAAGUUAAUAUGACUAAAAUCAUGUGAUUGAACAUUUAUGUAUACAUCGAUUUCAUAUAAUCAAAAUCAUAGAGGUAUCAAUUGUAUAUUAUCACAUGCUUUAAACGGAUUCACCGGCAUUUAGCCUGCUAGGUUUUAAAACCUGAUUCAAUACACCGGCUCUUAGCCUGCUAGACUUAUAGUCCGAAAUGUGUCACCGGCAUUAAGCCUGCUAGACUUAUAGUCUGAAAUGUGUCACCGGCAUUAAGCCUGCUAGACUUAUAGUCUGAAUAAUUUCACCGGCGUUAAGCCUGCUAGACGUAAAGUCUGAAUUAUGUCACUAACGAUAAACCGAAUGAUACUGAGCUUUAACAAAAGAAUCUCAAUUCAUAGGAGUUGUAUAUCAUAAUGGUAUAUAGAAUUCACAUAAAAAUUCAGCUCAAUAAUUUAUAAACUAUAUCCUUAACCCACAUCGGUAUAAAAAGUUCAAUCAUCAAAUUCAACUCAAUAUCUAAAUUAUACAUCCGAAUAUAUAUAUAUAUAUAUAUAUAACUUAACACAUUGAAGCAUACUAUUAAUAUCGUACUUUCGAACACAUUAAGAUAAUCCAAGCUAAUAAUUUCAUCUCUUCAACCCCGUUCAAGAACCUUUACAAGAACGUACAUACCUAAUCGAAUCUCCCUUUUUCAUAUAUAAGUUUCAUACUUAAAUUUAUCACAAGAACAUAUACAUGCAUAGUUGCAUAGUCGAACCCCUUAUAAACUUGUAUAAAUGACAUACCUAAGUUCAAUACGAGAACAUAUAGAUGUAGAUUUGCAUAAUAUAUAUAUAAUUCACUCAUACUCUUAAUUAUUUCAACUAUCAUAUUUUUAAUUAUAAUUCAUCCAAAAACAGCUCAUAUACUUAUUUAUAUACUGAUUUUAUGACAUUAAAUAGCUAAUAGACUUACCUCGGAUAUCAGCAAACACGAUCGACUAUUCAAUUAUCUUCGACUUCCCCCGAUCCAAAUUCGUUUUCUUCGUUCCUUGAUCUAAACAUAGUCAAAUUUAACCUUUUUAUUCAUCAAAACAUUCAUUUGAGUCCAACAAUACAUAAAUGGGAAAAUUACCAUUUUGCCCCUAACAUUUUGCACUUUUUGCAAUUUAGUCCUUUUUGCACAAAACACAAAAUACACAAAAUUUGCCCAUAACACACAAGGGCCGAAUAUUCAUGGUUCUCAUACAAGUCCACACAUUGCAUUUAUUUCACAUUUUAGUCCCUUAAAAAUUUAUUUUCACAAUUUAGCCCUAAAUACUCAAAUUCAUCAAAAAUACCAAUACAAAACAUGUUAAUCUAAGACAUAUCUUCCAUUAUUCAUCAUCAAACAUCCCAAAACACAAAUAUUCAUCAAUGGCAUAAUUCAAAAUAUUCAUCAAUUCACAAAAUUAAGACAUGGGUUUUGAAGUAUUCAAAGCAACGAUCUCAAAAACGUAAAAAUCAUCAAAAACCGAACAAAAACUAACCUUGAAUUAAGCUUCAAAAGAUGACCGAACCUAGCUUAGGUUUCUUUCUUUUUCUUUUCUCUAGUUUCGGUCAAAAUAAGAUGAAAAAUGUGGCUUUUAAUUUGUUUGUCUUUUAAUAUAUUAACAUUAUAAUAUAAUAUAUUAUUAUAACCUUUAUACAUAAUAUAAAAACUAUAAUUUAUAAGCAUAAUGCGAUCCACUAUCUUGAAUAAUGGCCUAAUUUCCUAUUAAGGACUUCACAUUAUAAAGACAUUAGCAAGUUAGCACUUUACACAUUAAUUAGUCAAUUUCACAUUUUAUGCGAUUAAGUCCUUUUAUUAAAUUAAGCACACAAACAAUAAAAUUAAUUCACGAGGUUUUCACACAUGUAAAUUAACAUAUAAUAAACACAUGAAAUAAUAUUAAAAUAUUUUUUAACUCGGACUUGUGGUCCCGAAACCACUAUGUUCAAUUAGAGUCAAAAUCGGGCUGUUACAAACUCACUCAAUCCUUUAUGUAUUGGCUAAAGUAUUAAAAGUCUAGAUGCAUUCCAAGUGGUAUCAAGGGUGAACGGUGCAAUUAGGUGCUAGAAACCUUAUAUUGCUUGAGGUGUAAUAUGCAAAAAAUGUGCUAACUUGAGUGAAGGCAUAAUAUAUACAUGUGUGUGUUUUUGUGUGCAUAUAUAUAAUAAGCAUAAGAUAUAUAAUUAUCAUAAUAAACUCUAAAGAAUGAUUCAGUUUAUCUACUAAACAUGCAAAAUUUUCAUUUUCUUUCUUUUGUUGGGCCAUAUCCAUGAUUUCCUUAUGGUUUUGUGUUUGUUGCUGAAUACAUAAAUAUUGAGAAGUAAAGAGUUUGAUAUUAUCACCUAUCUUACUGGUAAAGUAAAGCUAAUGAAAGUAAAAGACAUUAAAUAGAAUUUCGAUUAGGUAAGCUUUUUUUUUUUUUUGCUCUUGCAUUGGGAAAGUGUGCACGCACUAGAACUUAGGUGCACCAGGUGUGCGCCUCCCUCAAAAGGGUUUGAAACGCUUUUGUUGUUUGGUGCUAAGGCCUAAGGCACAAUGCCUUGACAACACUGUACAUUCCCCAAUUUCCCAGAUAAGUUCCUAAUCUUCCUUGUAGCCAUUUAAGACUUUAAGGCAUUAUUAUGUUUGUUGAAACCAUCUUUUGAAAAACAAAAAUAUUUUAGGUUGUCGACUUUUUAAAAAAUUAAAAUUGGGAGUCGCCACCAAUCUUUAUUAGGGUGUGAUUGGAUCACCUAAAAAACGACUUUGGUCUACGAGUUUUAGAAAAACGGAUUCGGGAGUCAGUUACGUAUGAGGAAUGAUUAGCACCCUCGUAACGCCCAAAAUUGGUACCUAGUUAAUUAAUUAGUGUCUUAAGGUCGAGAAUUUAGAAAAAACGUAAUCCUUAGCAAAACUUAAAAGGCUACGUAUUAAGACCCUUAUUAUUUCAGAGAAAGAAGAUACCACACCCAAUGCGUUAGGGCACAACAUUCUAAUUUUCCCCAAAAUGAAUUGGGCCAAAAUACUUGUACAAUAAAAUUUUAAAAGAACAUCCACUUAUCCAAGAUUUAAGAAAUCACACCCAAUACGUUAGGACACGAUUCCUCUAGAAUCCCAAACUCGGAAUAUUUCCUUUACUUUAAAAGAACAUUCACUUAUCCAAGAUUUAAGAAAUCACACCCAAUACGUUAGAGCACAAUUCCUUUAAAAUCCCAAACUCGGAAUAUUUCCUUUAUUGUUUUUAGAAAAAAAUUUCAUUUCGAGAAAUCAAUCCGUCACAUCCAAUAUGUUAGGAUACAACGUGUUGAAUUUCCAAUAAUAAAUUCUUAUUUUUUGAUUAAAGAGAAAUGCUCGAUUGUUAGACUUAACGAAGAAAAUCGGAACCCAAUACAUUAGGGCUCAAUUUCCUUGAAAAUCCUAAAUUCAAGCAUUCUCUCAAUUUUGAAAAGUUUGAAAUCGAGUAAAGAAUGAUGUGAUGCUAUAUUAAAUAUACAAUGCAAUAAUAAAUAUUACAAUGGCCUAGAAAUAAUAUAAAUAAAUGAAUAAAUAAAAUCAAUAUACAUAAUAAAAAUAAUCACAUACAAAAUAUCAAAUAGAUCAUAAAAAACAAUUCUUUUUAACAUAUAAAUGAAAACAUGAAUUAAUAAUCGAAUGAAGAAAAUAAACAAAAUAUAAAGAAUAAAAGGCACAUAAUAUAUACAUUGAAAUUAAAAGCCAUACACAUAAUUUACAUAUGUAACUUUGGAUUAAAAUUUAUAAAAGCAGAAUAUAUAAUACAUUUGUGAAAAUAAAAUAUAAAUUAUAAAGUAAGUGUUAAAAAAUACAUAUAUUUGAGCAUUUAAAAAAAUAAAUAUAUUCAUAUAUAUAUACAAGUAUAUAAAAAACUGGUUAAAAAUAUUAAUAUGUAUACAUACAUAUAUACACAAAGAUAAAUAUAACAUAUAUAGAUUAUAAAAAAAUAAUUAUAUAUAAAUAAAAUAAAAUAAAAUAAAAUAAAAUAAAAAUAAUUACCUCAUAUUAAAAAAAAUAAAUAUGCGAAAAAUAUUAAAUUUUUUUUAAAAAUAUAAAUACGCACAUAGAAACAAGUAUAUAUAUAUAGCUAAAAUAAUAAUAAUUACAUAUGAAAAUAAUAAUAAUUACAUUAACAAAAUUAACUAAUUUUAAGAAAAAUAUAAAAAGGAUUAAAUUGAACUACAAGUAAACAAAUUUGGGGUAAAUCUACAAAUAAAUAAAAUUUAGAGGACUAAAUUGAAUGAGCGAAUUACAUAGAGGGGCUGGAAGGGAAAUUUUCCCUUAUCCUCUAAAACGGUGUCGUUCAAAAGGAUUAAAUUGGAAUUUAAAAUAAAUAAAAGGGUAAAUUAAAAAAAUAAAGAAAACUUAAUUACAAAAACAUUAAAAGACAGAGGGGCUAAAUAAAAAAUAAAUAAAAUUCGCAAUGGUAUCACAUUCUCCCUUUUUUAAAAUCAUGAAUAAAAAAAAUAAUCGAAAGAAAAAAAUAGUAAGCCACAUUUAAAAAAAACUGCCAAUCGUUCUUUUUUAUUCCUCCUCUUUCCUCCCCCUUUUUUUUUUUUACAAUGAAGGGAGAGGCCUCUAUUUAUAGUUGAGCCUCCCCAAAUCCAACGGUACAGAUCAAUUACAUUAACGACUGAGAUUAAAGGGUAUCUACAAAUUAAAUCUCUAAGAUUACAAAAUCAUAUAUUCUAAGAUUGCAUAUCAUAUCUAAGAUUAUAUAUCAUAUCUAAUAUUGCAUAUCAUAUCUAAGAUUGCAUAUAUCAUAUCUAAGAUUGCAUAUCCUCAAAAAUUAUGUUUCCAUAUGUGAGCCCGGGCUAAAAUUGAGUAUUACAAUGUUCAAUUAGGUCUGUAUUGUUGAUAAAGUUGUUUAAGUACUUUAUUUUUGCAGAUCAGCUAUCUACAUGGUCAUUGUCUUUGCUACAUCAGCAUCUACAUGGCAACAUAUGAAAAUUCAUGCUAAGUUGGCAUUUAUUUGGCUUAUAGCCUAGCUUAUAUGGCAUGCAGAUGCCACAACAGUAUCUUUAAAUCCCUUAUUUAGCCACAUAUGUUGCCUUUGUAAAUGCUGAUAUGGCAAGGUAAAUGGUGUCAUAGAUGCUGAUAUGGCUAAGAUAACAGAUUUUUAUUGGUUUCCAUCCUGGUCAGGGUUCUAUUAAACAAAAAUAGUCCUUAAAGGGUUGAGUUUGGUAUGGUAGAAAUACAAAUGUAGGGGUUUAUCUAAGAAAUUUAAGAAGGUACAAAGACCUUUUUCUUCUAAAAAGAAAAAUAGCCUAUUAUUACUUUAUUAGCAUGGAAUGGUUUUAGGUGUUUUUGUACUUCAAUUCGAUUUGCUUGUUACAAACAGGCAAGACAACUGGAAGCAAGCAUUGAAUUGACAGGGAAAGCCGUGGAGGACCCAACAGAAGUAGAAGUUGAGCUGAAGCGAAGGCUUGGACAGCUGACUGAUCAUUUAAUUCAGAAACAAGCUCAGGUCUGUCCUUCAAAUUUUGUGCUUGUGAAUGAUUCUGCUUAAUAAGUGUAACAUUGAUGUUUUUCCUGUCUAGUAGUCAUUAGGUGCUUAAAGUGCAAGGACAGAGUGAACCUUAGCAACCUAAUAAGUAAUAUAUCUGUUUGUGUGUCUGUAUAUAAAUUAUAUCGUACAUAAAAUGUUUUCAGCUUUAAGGCGAAGGUGGGAAUUACUAUUUUAUUUUGCUUUACUUUAGCUUAAAUUUGUUGACUUUAUAGCAUGCAGGAUGACAAACAUUAGCAGAGAAACAAUUAAUUUUGGCUCCAAAAAUUAAUUGGUCACUUGCCAAAAUCUGUGGAAUGAUUAACCCAAGCAUCUUUCUGCAAUAACUCAAUUCUGCAACACCGAUGCCAAAUGGUGAAAUGCAUGCAUUUAUUGAAUAACAUGAAAAAACAAAUUGAUAUUGAAGAGUUACUUCAUUUGUUAAGCUCCUCACUAGAUUAAAUAGCAAUCUUUCUUUUAGACUCAUUCGUCCACUCUGUUUUUCUUCUGCAGGUUGAGGCACUAUCCUCGGAAAAGUCGACAUUGUCAUUUAGAAUUGAGGUACCUAGUUUAUGAAUUAAUUAGCAUUACUGUUUUUCAGAACUGAUCCACUGAUCUUGUAAUUUGUACUUGUGAACUUCUUUAGGCAGUUUCAAGGAUGCUGGAAGAGGGCAAGUCCACGAAUAUGAAUAAUGCCACAUCAAGUGAUUUGGAAUUAGGAACAUGGGGUCUCUCAAGUUCAAAGUUGAAUCCUGUUCAAGACAAAAUUCGUUCUGGAAAACUGCAACUUGGAUCAAUGAUUAAGCAGUUGGAUGCUAUAUUUUUGGCAGGUGCAAUAUUCUUAAGAAGAAAUGCAACAGCAAAAGUUUGGUCUUUGGUAUACCUCAUUUGCCUUCACUUUUGGGUCAUAUAUAUUCUAAUGUCACAUUCCCGACCAUCAGAUGAGAAAAGAUCUGGUGCUGUUAUGUCCCUUGGUAAAUAUCAAUAGAAGUGUAGGUGUGUAUUUUGUAAUUUCUGUAUUUCUUGACACAACUUUCAAGAGAUCUAUGUGCAGGAUGUAAUAAUUUUUUAAUUUGUGCAGUUUUUGGCAACAUUAAAACUACACAAGAACCACAGUUGAGUAAAGACGAUUACUAGCAAUCAAUUAACCAAGUCAAAUACUUGCAUGGGAAUGAAUUUUUCAUUGCCUGAAUCAAGUAGUCAACUGAGCCACAUGUAGAGUGUCAAAGAUAUUAACUUUUCAGUCGAUAUUAAUCUCGGGAUUAAUAUAUUAGUAGAAAAAAAAAUUGUUCAAUUUUAACAACAUUUGUAUUUAUGUAGAUCAAGUGUCUGAACCAAAUCUUUCUCCUUUAUUCCCGACAAAUGGAUUGAGUGCCCUAUCAUCGAGUCCUGGGUCGUCUUCAUCUUAAUCUAAAAAAAUAUUUUGAUUAUUUGAAUACGAAUUUAAAUUAAUUUAAAAUUUUUUAAAUUCGAAUUAAAGAAAAGUACUCGAAAUUAAAUUAAUUUAACUGAAAGGUUAUUAUACUUUAAACUAAUAUACCUUUUUAAACAAGUUCUUAUGCUUAACUUUUUACCCAUAAAAGUUGUUUAUUUUAAUGUUAAUGUAAAAUAUUUUGAAUUUUUAAAUUAAUUUGUGAAUUUGAUGAAAUUAAUUUUUUAAAUAAAAGAAAAAUAUAUUUUUAAAAAAAAAAAUAAUAAUAUUAUAAAAUUUCUUGAAAAUGCUUAUAUGUAUAAUACACAAAAUCAUUUUUUUUUGAAAAUACUAAUUAGUUCUCCUAAAAUAUAUUUUAAUUUAUACGUACAGCAAAGUACAAUUAAAAACUAGUUAGCUCUAAAUCUAAUUACUAGUUGUUAUUAGUUGCUUUCCAGACCCACCUUAAAAAAAAAUAGUACACCCCCAUGGUUUUCUUUUGAUUAAAAUGUGUCAUAAGCCCAUAUAUUGUUUAUAAAUUUAAAAUUUAGUUUUUAUAUUUUUAUUUUUAAGAAUUUAGUUAUUCUAUGUUUUAAAUUUUAAAAUUUGGGUUCAAUUAUUAACAUUUUUAUUAUUUUUUGUUAAAAUUAUUUUUUAAUUAAAAAAUCAUAUUUGAUAGAACUAAAAAAAAUAACAUUAUAAUGAACUUAAAUUUAACAAAUUAUUUUUAACAGUGUUAAUAAUUAAAACUAAAUUUUAAAACUUGAAAAGUAAAAAAUUAAAUUCUUAAAAAUAGAAAUUUAGGGAUUAAGUUAUAAAUUCAUGAAGAGUAGAGAGAUUUUAUGUUAACCUUUUCUUUUCGUUAGAUUAUUACCAUUUAUAUUGCUUACGUUUAAUAAUUAUUUGCCAUUAAUUAGUAAAAAAAGUAAAUUACACUUAUAGUCACUCUAAAAUAGGGCUAGUUCUAUUUUGGUCACUUUAGUUUUUUAUUAUAUUUAAUCAUUUUAAAUAAGAUAAUUGUGCAAAUUAGUCACCACUGUUAAAAUGUCCGUUUUCUUUUAUCGGAAUACUGAGUGGUUUAUUAGCCCGUUGAGUGACUGACAUGUUUUAUUUUUUGUUGACUUUUAACUAAAAUUUGGGAUCUCCUUAUAAUUAGUCCAAAAUUCCCCCUAAACUUUAUAGAGAGGCCCUAAACUUUUGACUCAACAAAAAAUGAAAUACAAUAGUCGUUAAUGUGCCACAUCACUAAUCCGAUAAAAGAACAUUGACAUUUUAAUAGUGAUGACUAAUUUGCACAAUUAUCUUAUUUAGAAAGACUAAAUUGAAAAAAAAACCUAUUUUAGAGUCACAGGGUAUAGUUUACCAAACAAAAAAAAAUCAUAUUUGAUUUUAUGGUUCGCAAAUCGCAGUAGAUCUCACUUUGUAGUUUAUCCCCUUCUGUCUCUUUCUUUCCCUGCUUCUUGUGAAACAGAAAAACACAAAAAAUGUAAGUUCCUUUUGUUUUUUAUUUUCAAUUUUUUGCUUUUCUUUUUGUUUCAAAUCUCAUUUUCCAUUCAAUUAAUUACAAUUUCCUUCGAUUCAAUUCCUUUAAAUGAAUCGUACUGGAUUCAGUUCCAUUCUAAUUCGAUCUGUUUCUCCUACUGAUUUACAUUUUUUGCGUUGUUUAAUUUUCCUUUCUGUUUAAUUUUGUUUUUCUACUUUUGAUCGAUUUUUAAUAUGAGAAGUUUUUAUUUCUUGUUUCUUAAUUAUAUUUGCAAAGGACGUUACUUUCGGUACUUAGUUUCUCUCUGGACAAGGGAAUUAAAUAUAAAAGGAACUCUAGUUUUCAAUUCUAAUUGGUUUGAACCAUUUCUGAUAACUGAGGUUUCAUGAUCUAUAGUUUAUCUCAUUAGUUUAGUCAAGUCCGCUUUAUAUGGAAGCACUGGUUUGAUUUUUGUGAAUUUAGAAUGACGUGAUUACUGCAUAUUGAUAAAUAAUAGACUCCAGAUUCUGAUUAGGAUUAACAGUGUAUUUGGAAUAACUAAAGAUUAAAGGAAGCCAUUUUAUUGAAUGGAUUUCAAGUGUAGCAAACUAUGUAAUUGAGAUGAAUUUGAAAAUUAGUGGAAUCCGUUUCUUCUACAUAAAUAGGGAACCUUUUUUUUUCUUAAGCAACGCUUCCAUUCGUAAUUUUCUUCUACAUGAAGAUUAGUGGAAUCCAUUUACUUUUAAGGUGCGGCUUGAUUUGCUACUUGUACUACUUAAUCUUCAGGUUGUGAAUUCUCUGUCGUGCUCCUUUAUUUUUGUCAUUCGUGAUUUAUUUUAUGAUAAUCAACCCCCCCCCCAAAAAAAAGGAAGACAAGCGUGUUUAGAUUCAAAUGGAAACAUUAUUUUUGAAGAUUUUGAAAUGACAAUGUAUCUUUAGGAGAAUAAAAUGCUUUUUUACUUGUAUCGUAUAAAGAACCUUAUUCUAUAGCUGCUGUUAUAUUUAGACAUUUAAUAGUUUUUAAUCAAUUGCAACUUUGCUUUCUACUGAUUCAUUUGCUGUUAUACUCAAAGAAAUAGUAAAAAGCCAAGUAUAAAAAUCAAUAAUCCAACAAAUCCCCACUGUUUAACUACUUUUCAAGCUUAUGGAAUUUGCUAGAGUGGUUUAGAGAAUGAAGCUUGAUACGUUUAACAAAAUUUCAAGCUUGAAGCUUCUAUAUUUUUUUUCUGAAGCAGUUGAGAAUGAAAUUACAAUUACUUUUUUAAUUAUUUUCUUUACUUUUUGCAUUUCCUGCCCAGAAAUGAAUUUUCUGUCUCAUUGUGGCUUUCUUUCUUGACAGAACUACAAAAUGGGUAUGGCAGAAAACACUAACGGAAUGGAGGAGGGAACACUGGAGAUUGGCAUGGGUAAACUACUUGCUUUAAACUAGUUGCAUGAUCAUCGUAAGAAACUUUGUUUGCUUUUCUUUGAGUGGUUUAUGUUUUAACUAUGUAUUGAGUGCUCUGUCUAAUCUUGAGAACUGCCAUAUGCAUUGUGACAAGCAGGAUUUAUUGCAUGAAAGAAACUGGUAAAGUUAAAAGAAUAAUUAUAUUACUUUUCUUGAGUUGAUUACAGAAUAUAGAACUGUUUCUGGAGUUGCUGGGCCUUUAGUAAUCCUUGAUAAAGUGAAGGCAAGUUCUGUUUUCCUCACUCAUUAUCUGGUAUCAUUCUCAAGCUUGUUUAGGUUUGAUUUCAACUUCUUAUUGUUUGACGUUUCAUGCUUUUUCUAGGGACCCAAAUAUCAAGAAAUUGUUAAUAUUCGAUUAGGGGAUGGGACAACCAGACGUGGUCAAGUCCUUGAAGUUGAUGGAGAAAAAGCUGUUGUUCAGGUAUUUUCUGUCUAAAAUUCUCUACCUUUCCUUUGUAACUAUGAAUUCCUAUUAUAUGCACCUUUAUAUCAUGCCAAAAGGAAUAAUGUCUGGUGCUGCAACUUCACUAAUAGCAUAUUCUUUUAUCCUUCAUAGCUCUAAUUAUAUGUCACCUUGGCUAGGUUUUUGAAGGAACAUCCGGAAUUGACAACAAAUAUACAACUGUGCAAUUUACAGGCGAGGUAUGUGACGGCCUAAUUUUCUCUUUUAUGUUCAAUCCUAUUCUUGCAUCUCCUAAUUUGAUUUGAAAAUAGCUUACCUUCCAACACACCUGGAAAAUAAUAGAAGUAGCUGCUUCUUUCUGUUGGGAAAUUUUUAAUUAAGAUGGUCGGUUGGCAUCAUUUGUCUGAUUGUAUGCAUUUAGACAUUAAAAGGGCAUGCUUACACGUUGUUUCUUGAAUCUUGACAUAUCUGGUUCUUUAGUAGACCGAAGGGAAUUAAGUCAUGCAAUUACUAGACCUUGUAGACUUUUUCUGUUUUGUGGUGAGCUAAGGCUCUCUUUUGGCGUUACACUGGCUUUUAUAUUGCAAUAUUUUUUCUUCUAAAGGUUAUGACAUCGGCCCAUGUAUUUGUCUAGAAUAAAAUUAAUGUUUGGUGUUUAAUUCUAAUUACAGGUUUAGUAUUUAGUAUACGGUUAGAUUAGCUAUCUAAUUUCUGCUUAGAACCAUGGUUUGUAAUCCUUAAAAAGAAUGAAACACUGAGCAUGUGAUGUCCAUUGAGGAAUUAUUGAUUGUAAUUGUCACAUCCUCUGUAAACGUUAAUAAGUAGCAGGCUGUUUCUUAUUUGCUAUGUUUCUCCAACUCUUGUCAAAUAACCAUGUCUGGCUCAUAUUUAGGCAUGAGUAUGGGGAUAUCUUAGAUGUACAUUAAAAACUUAGAAAAAAAAAAAUUGAAUAUACCCAUGUCGGAAGCUUACUCCAUAACCGACACUUAUAUCCGAGUUUGACUAACAUAGCUUAUUCGGGCUUCUUGGGAAUGUUUUUGUUUUCCACUUCCAACCUUUCUAGUUAUAAGGUUAAGUUUAUGCAAUCAAGCCUUUAGACCAUUGUUUAUGUUUAUUGGUUUUUUGGACGUGAUAAUCAUUAGGAAUUGGCAGCUUAUACCAACAUUUGUUUGCUUUCUUGUUCUUAUGCCCAUAGAGAAACAAGCCCCUUGGCAUCAUGAUGUGUGUAAUUUAGUUGCCAUGGCCCUGUAGAGGUUUUACUAGUUAUUUGUUUAGUUUGUAAAUGAGGAAUAUCCCCAAAUGUAUUGAGGCAAGCACGUACAAGUAGGGGAAAAAAGAAUAAAGGAAGGAAAAGAGCAACUGCGUUUUGCAAUGUCUUUUGAACUUAUUUUAGAAUUGGUGUCUGCUACUUCCUGGUUCUUGUGAGUUGUGAAUCAAUUAUUGUGUCUAAUGUUUGGAUUAACUGGUAGGAAGCUAAGGUAGAAAAAACUUGGGAAGACUAGAAGUGCCUGUUUUGAGUGCAUUUUGAAUACUAUUUAUUUUACCCCCUUUGAAUUUUUCUGCUCUUUUGAGCUUAUUUGUCUGUAUCCCUUCUCCUGACUCUCUUUUGUAGGUGUUGAAAACUCCUGUCUCUUUGGAUAUGCUUGGGCGCAUUUUUAAUGGCUCUGGAAAGCCAAUAGAUAAUGGUCCACCUAUCUUGCCUGAGGCAUAUUUGGAUAUCUCUGGUAGGAAGCUUGUGGACCAAAUGACAAUUGAACAGUAUAAGUUGCUUGCAAUUGGUAGUUUGUUAGCUACAUUACUUAUCCUUUAAUCUUUUACUUUGUAGGGAGUUCUAUUAAUCCUAGUGAGAGAACCUAUCCUGAGGAAAUGAUACAGACGGGGAUUUCAACAAUUGAUGUCAUGAAUUCAAUUGCUAGAGGGCAAAAAAUCCCUCUCUUCUCAGCUGCUGGUCUUCCCCAUAAUGAAAUCGCUGCUCAGAUUUGUCGUCAGGCUGGUUUGGUGAAACGUUUGGAGAAGACUGGAGAUCUGCUUGAGGUAAGGUUCACGUACUAAUAUUGCUUGCCUAGUAAUAACGUGACAUACUUGAUGGUUUGAAUGAGUUAAUGUUCUAAUUGUAAAUCAACUAUGAAAUUUUAAUGAAGUUCUUUUCAAGUCUCAUUUUAAUUUUGGAAUAUGUCACAACCAGUUGCUUGUCCCUUCAGAAUGAACUCAAAAUUGAAGAUACAUACAAAAAUAAAAAGUUUCAUGUUGUGUUAGUUGCUAUCAGUUACCUCUAGUAUUUCCCAAUACUGAAAACAUGAGGCCUUUGUCCUAGACAUGGCUGUUUCUUUCUACCUUUCGAUAAAUUCACAGGAAGCUGAUUGUUUCACUCACCUGAUUUCAGGAUGGUGAAGAAGAUAAUUUUGCAAUUGUGUUUGCGGCUAUGGGUGUAAACAUGGAGACUGCACAGUUUUUCAAACGUGACUUUGAGGAAAAUGGCUCAAUGGAGAGGGUGACCCUUUUCCUAAACCUGGUAUAAUUCAAUUUGAGAUACAAAGGCCUUAUUCAUUUCAUUUUAAAAUGGGAAGAGUGGGUUGGUUAAGAGGUUGCAUCUACUUCAAAAAUCAAUUUAUAGCUGGAAAUUAGCUUCUACUUUCUUCUCUACAGGCUAAUGAUCCCACAAUUGAACGUAUUAUUACUCCUCGUAUAGCUCUCACUACUGCAGAAUACUUGGCAUAUGAAUGCGGGAAGCAUGUUCUUGUCAUCCUUACAGACAUGAGUUCUUAUGCUGAUGCUCUCCGUGAGGUAACAAAAAACAACCAUGUCUCAUUAGUGCAAUCUCUUUGGUGCACAUUACUUCUACUAGCUGUUGAUAGCAGAGAUGCAUGAAAGCAUAUAUCAUUUUUUCACUAUCUCUGAUGAUUCUGAUUGCUCAUACGUUCUAGACAUCUAAUACAUGCAUUUCAGAAAUUUAUGCAGCUCCCAAAGCUUUUAUUUGAAUGUUGAAAGUUUAUUGUCUCUAAUUAUCUUAAUUUCAUCUUGUUCUAUAGAAUGUUAUGCUAUAUGUUUGAGACAAACUACUAUUGCUAAUGCAGGUGUCUGCUGCCCGAGAAGAAGUACCUGGAAGACGUGGAUAUCCUGGGUACAUGUAUACAGAUUUGGCCACAAUAUACGAGCGUGCUGGACGAAUUGAAGGGAGAAAGGGUUCUAUCACACAGAUUCCAAUUCUUACUAUGCCAAAUGAUGGUAAUGCUUUUUGUAGCUAUGUCUACUUUUUGCACUGCCAUGCUUGCUUUAAUGGUAAUUCUGAUUCACAACUUGAUUCUAUUUAUCUCUUUUGGCAGAUAUUACACAUCCCACUCCAGAUCUUACUGGAUAUAUCACAGAGGGGCAAAUAUACAUUGACAGACAGCUCCAUAAUAGACAGGUAAUGUCAAAACUAGCCUUUACGAGCUAUCAACCUAUUUAUCUAGGAUGCGUGAAGGUUCGCAAAUUAUCACCAUGAUUUUCGUCAAUUUAUGCAUAAAUUUCGUUGUUAAUAUGGUCUUUUAUGUUGGAACUGUUUUUUCUCUAUCCUUCCAUUUCCUUGGCAAAUUUCUCAGGGUGACUUCGGUUGAAUUUGGCUCAUCAGUGUGUGAUUUGAUGGCUCUGUACCUUGUUUGCUUUACUGGUUGAUAUCAAGUCAACAGUAUUCAUCUGUUUUCAAAAUGGAUUUUGGUGUAUAUGUUUUUCUUCUUUGUAUGAAUAACAAUUAAGUUGAUUUCUGUCAAUUAAUGUUUUCUUCUUUCUGAAAUGGACAGAUAUACCCACCAAUCAAUGUGCUUCCAUCGCUGUCUCGUUUGAUGAAGGUGAGGAUAGCAUCCAUCAACAUGGAAAUUAUACAAAUCUUAACUUACUAUGAAGAGUAACCAAUUUUCUUUUCUAUGUAUAUAUUUUCUCAGAGUGCCAUUGGUGAGGGCAUGACACGCAGGGAUCAUGCUGAUGUGUCUAACCAGGUCUGAUUGCAUCGUUGUUGUGAUAUAAUUUCAAUCCUCAAUUUGAUGUUAAGGAAUCUAACCUUUGCUUUUGUUUCUCAAUCAUUUCACCUUCAGCUGUAUGCAAAUUAUGCUAUCGGUAAGGAUGUGCAGGCCAUGAAAGCUGUGGUAGGAGAAGAAGCACUUUCUUCUGAGGAUCUGGUUUGCUCUCUUUUCCAGUUUCUCAUCAAUUUUCACGCAUCACCUUUUGGUAAAGUACUUGCUUAGAAAGAACCUAAUGUGAUGUCCCUGAAUAUAACAGCUAUACUUGGAGUUCUUGGAUAAAUUUGAGAGGAAGUUUGUUACCCAAGGAGCAUAUGACACCCGCAACAUCUUUCAGUCACUCGAUCUGGCGUGGACUCUGCUUCGCAUAUUUCCUCGUGAACUUCUCCACCGUAUACCCGCGAAAACUCUUGACCAGUACUACAGUCGAGAUGCAGGUAAUUGAAGGAGGCAAAGUGAUGCCCUUAGAUUGCCUCCUGCUUGGUAGUGUUUAAAAGAAGUUUAUUUACCAUCAGCUUCAUCUGCUCGAAUAAUAAUUGUUGAAUUCCAGUUAGGUUUCCCCAUGAUAGCUCUUGGGCUAGUAAAACAAGUGAUCAAAUAUGACUUCUUUUAUCUAGAGGAAACCAGGGGGGGAUAAGAGGAGGAACUAUAAAGCCCACCUUGUGUUACUUGUUAUUCUAUAUUCCUAUUUAUUUUUUCAAUAUUUUGUAAUUCAGUAGAUUUGGAUUUCUAUAUCCAUAUCCAAACACUGACCGAGACCAGUGCAUCCCAACUGCAUUAGCUGCUUUUCUUCUCUUCAAUUUAUUUUCAGAGUUUUGCUUUGUAUUGUAUUGGUUUUUAUGUGAAGAUGAAAAUAAGGGAGACGGUGGACGACUUGUGCUGUUAUGUUGAAUAAUGUUUUUAUUUUUUAUUUUUGUCUUUUUGGGCAAUCAUAGAAACAUUGUUUCAUUUAUCAAAGACUCUAGCCCAUCGAUUGCAGUACAUAUGGAAAACAAGAGACAAAGCAGCCUAAGCAACUAUAUACAUACAAAAUGGUUGCAUCACUGUAUAACUCGACCUCCAAAGGCAGCAUAUGUUUAAUCAGAACCAUGAUUUGACAAACCAACAGCCUACCUUAUGGUUAUGCUAUGAUUUAGGCUCAACCAUCAAAUGACCAACGAUGCAUCGACAGUGGUGAGACGUUGGUCAGCCGGAAGGGUGAUCCUUCCGAAAGGAUUAUAGUAUAUAAGCAACGACUCUCAACCAAUGAUAUAAGCAAUAAGUACCAUACAACCAUGGCUUAAAAUUCACUUCAUUAUUUUAUUAUCCAUUAAUAUCCAAUAAUUACCAUUCAAAUGUGUAGGAUUCAUUUAUUAAAUGUGGUGGAAAUCAAUUUGUGGACGAUGAUUAAAUAUGCAUUGGAUAUUAUUGAAUGAAAAACUAAUGGAGUGGAGCCAAACCUCCAUACAACAUAAAACAUAGCAAGUAAUAUAUGCUCGUUCGAUCCCCAAUCUUAUCAGAGACAUUCGCGCCAGCUAUCCUAUCUGGCUCCUUUCCAUCGGAUUGCAUUAAUGCUUUCUCAGAUGCAUCAUUUUGAAUGUCUACCUCACUAGCUCCUUCCAUUUUUAAUGUGCAAAAGAUUUUCCAGUCCUGAUAUUUCGUUUCUCUCACAUUUCCUUCUCGUGCGUGAACUUCAUUUCCCACCAGCAUUUUCACUUCAUCAUCCUCGUCAUCAUCUUUGCUUUGGCUAAGGUUUGCUUGAUCACCAAACUCCUUUUUGCUGAUGGGUAAGGCAUGAAUCUAGUCACCAUAAAUCUUUUCCACCUUGAUUUUUUUGGUGGUGGACCUCCAACUUCUAAAGGCGUGACCUAACCUUCCACAUGCAUAACACAAACCUUUCAUGUUCAAAGACUACCGUAAUAAGAUCGUUGUCAGUUUUGCGAAGCUUGAAGUUGUUGGGUAGAGGGUUUUCAACUUUAAGACCCACAUUUGGUCCCAUGAGCCUUUGUUUCUUUGCUAGAUGUAGAUGUAGAAAGAUGAACCUCCUUGAUGCUUCCUCUCUUUGAGGAUCAAGUGAUCAGGUGGCUGACCCAAUUAGCUUCUUUUGUUCCCUCUCUCUUUUAAACACAAACGGUAGCAUGUUUCUAACUUCAAGGUCGCGCAUUUCGCUAGGAUCUUCAACCGCCCAUGGCCAUACCUUCGUUUAAGAUGUGCACCCACGGCCCACCAUGACCAUAGGCCCCGUUUUAUUUAUUUAUUUAUUUCACAAUCAUAUACCACUUUGCAGAUCAACGAAAUUCCCCUGAUUCGACCAUCGACUUUAACGUAUGAUUCCAACUCAAGUGUGAUCAAUGUUUCAUUUUCUAGGUCACCCAGAACUGUCUUUUUAUGGCUUCUUUGCUGUCGUUGUCCAAGGUCAUGCAAACCAACGCAAGAAAGACGAGAAAACUAAAAAACGCUUUAGAGAAAGAGAAGCCAAAUGUAGGUGACCGAAAGAGAAUUAUAAAAUAUUGUGAAAAGGGAGGGUCAUUCAAAGUAUGAGAAGGUCUUAGAAAGUUCCACUCAAGGACGAACGCUUGAUGGAAAGAAAAAUUGCUUUAUCAGGAAAGCAAUCUUUCUCCUUCUACAAAACUAUAGUACUUGAGUGUAAUAUUAAAUAAAAUUUAAUUAAAGAGAACAGAAGUGAUUUAUUCCAAUUAUGUUACAAUCCCAAACCAAAUACAAAUUUAAUCUCCCAAGCAUGCACAUCUACAUUUGAUUCAAACCUCUUUCCAUAUAUUCCCUUCUAGAUAUUCUCUUGUUUUUAGAAUUAGGAUGAGUGUGAAUAGAAAAUGAUGUUGUGUAAAAAUAAUUUCAAAAUAAAUACAAAUGUUUUCAUGCGUAAUUGCUCGCCUGCUUUUAAAAAGUUGUUAACCGAAUCAUUUAUAUUAGAAUUAUUUUUAAAAAAAUUAAUUUUUAUACACUAAUAAAAUAUUGGCACAUCUUAAAUAACUUAAAUAUGGAUAAAUGCAUAAAAAUAUUUAUGUAAAAUUUUAAACAAUUUAAAAAAGAACCAUUUAAGUUAAAUUUUUUUAAUUUUGCAAGAUUUGAUCUAAGAAACUAAAAUUAAAGUAAAAAAUAAUUAAAACAUCAAAGUAAAGAAAUAUAGUCUAUUGUAUAAACUUUUUUUGAAAGGGUCAUGGAUUUAGAUAUCAUGAAACUUCUAUUUAUUUAAUUUCACAUAAUAAAUGAUGAAUAAUUUUAUGGAGAAAAUCAAUAAGUAAUCAAUUAAAAAUUUAAAGGAAAAAAAUGAUAUAUUUCAAGUUGUUGACGUGUCAAAAGAAAAAUUAAUAAAAAAAAUUGUAACUUACCUAAAACCCACCAAUACCUUACUCUAUAUAUAUAAUAUCUAUUUUAUUUUUUAAACUCUUGACUUGGUUAGGGAAAUUACAAAAAAAAAAUUAAAAUACAUUAUAAUAUUUAAGGGUAUUUUAGUCUAUUUAUUUUAAUAAAAAAUCAACAAAAAUAUACAUAUGAUGAGAUUUGAAUCCACGUCAAUUAGAUUAGUUAAACAUUUAAUUUACCAGUCAACCAAAGCUUCAUUUGAUAUAUUUUACACAUUUUUAUUUUAAUAUACAUAAUUUAUUAUCUCCAUUAGUUGUAUAUAUUAUUUAAAUUGUUUAUUGAGUUGAUAUCACGAGUUAACUCGACGCUAACUCACAACUGAUGACAAAACCAUAAUAGAUAAUUGUAGUGCAUUUAUUAUUGUUUAUCCGUUGUAUUUAUGUGUUUAAAUUUUGUUUUACUUAUAAUUUAAUCUAUUUUUUAUUCUAAUAUCGUACAUAUUUGAUGUGUUUUUAUGAUUAAUUAGUUUCAAACCACAUGUUUCAUUGUUUAUUGUAUGUUAUUUUUAAACACACAUUUUUGUUUUAAAUCUGUGAUUUUCACACUCAUAUGUGUGUGAUAGCAUUUCUAGUAUAUAUAUUAUUUUAUUAGUGUCUAAAAACUAAGGUUUUUAGAUUUUUUUUUUGGAUAUUCUUCAUGUUUAUUUUAUAGUCCAUGUUCAAGGCUUGUUGUUAUCCCUCCCAACAAUGUAUCUUACCACUGCAUCCAACACUUGUUAAUACUUUCAGAUAAUUCUAAGAAAAACUAUUACAAACAAUAAAAAGAAGAAUAUUAGAGAUGCGUAUCAAAGAAUUGUGAGGCGUAAGUGGAAAGUAAUCUUUUAAGCAAGCACCUAAAGAACCUGAAUCCUGCUGCUGAUACUUUAGCUAAUCUAAUGAAAGAUUCACCCCUUGGCAUGAGUUUUUUUCAUGGGGUUCCUCCUAUGGUUGAUGAUCAACUACGGAUUGGUAGAUGUUUUCGGUUAUCCAACCCAAAUCCUACUAUUAGUUUACAAUUGAUGCUGUUUUUUUCUUGUUUAAAAAAAUAUAUUUAUUUUUAACCUUUCAUAGUUGAAUUUAAACCUUUUUAGUCCCUUAACUAAAAGGGAAAAAAAAGUAUUCCGAACUUUUAAAAAAAAAAUCAAUUUAAACUAUUUUCACACACAAUAUUUAACUUUAGUCCCUUAAAUUGUUUAAUUUCUAUUUCGAUCCCUUAGAUCUUAACACAAAAUUUCUGGCUGCAUUCCAUGUAUGGAACAGUUGUCAAUUUUUUUACGUUUGCGUUGAGUGGGAAAGAAGGAAAGAGGCAAAAGAAAAGGGGGAAAAAUGUAGAAAAAGAGAGGAAAAGAAAGCAAAGACAAAUUUGAAAAAAUUAUAUUGUACGUUGAUUUUCAUAUUUUUUCCACGUAUUUUAAUUUUAAAGUAAUAUGGAUUUACUCAUAUUUUCUAUUAAAACUAUAUUUAAAAAGUUUGACACGUGGGUUGAUUUCAAAAUAAAGUUAUUGAAAUAAUAAAUUUUAAUUUUAAAUAAUUUAUACUAUUAUUUAAACCACUAAUUAAAUUGAUACUAUGAGUAAAUCGAUUACCAACUCGAUUAGAAAAAGAUAAAUUAAAUUAUUUGAUAUUAUUUUAAUUUUUUAUUUUAUUUGUAAAAAUUAAUAUAUAAUUGGAUUUGUAUUACCUCUAUCAAGUAUAUAUCUAUAAUUACUAUUGUUUAAAUCUCUAACUGAGUUGGUGAGAUGAAUUUUUGUAACAAAAAAAAAAUUGACCAUUAAAUACAUUGAAUCAAAAAAUUAAAAUGUAUACAUAUACAAAGAAAAUUUUAAUUUAUUUUAUAAACUUACCAAAUAUUAAAAAUUUAUUAAAUUUAUAUUAUGGUAUACAAUAAUUUUAUUAUUAAUUAAAAUAAAUAAUAUCAAAUCAUAUUUUGUAUUUAUUUAUAUUAUUUGUUUAAUUAAUUAGUAUUAACCUUAUAAUGAUAACAUAUACGUAACUAUUAGAUUGUACUAAAAAAAUAAAUUUAUGAGUAUAUAAUAAAAGUUAUUAUGAUUUUAUUUUUAAAUAAAAUGGUUAAAAUAAAGGGUCAAGAUGAUAAAAGAAUUUUGUUAAAUGGGAGUGUUUUUUCACUAGAGCUUAAGUUUUAUAUUUUAAUUUUAUAUUUUUCAAAAUUUAAAAUAACAAAAUAACAUAGUGUUAUAUUAAAAUUAUAUUAAGACAGUAUGUUUGUUAUAUUAGAUUUUAAAAAUAGAAACUUUUAAUUUAAUGACGUUGGUUAGAAUUGAAAUUCUAAAAUUCUACAAAUAUAUUGACUAAAAAUAAUCAAAUUAAAAUACAGAAAUUAAACCUAUAACUUACAUAUAGCACAAAAGUAAUAGUAGAUUUUAAUCAAAUAUUAUAUUUAAAAUUUUCCUUUUAGAUUGAAUCUUAGCUCGAUUGGUAUGAACAUAAUAGCCAAUAUAAGAGGAUGUGAGUUCGAGUAUUCUAAAACGUAUUAUUUUUUUAUUUAUGGAUUGAAAAUGAACUACGAAUAAUUUUAAACAUGCCGAAAAAAAAAAAGUACAUAUAAUCAAUCAAGGACGAUGGCAGAGGCUAGCGGAUGUCUGGUGAGAGAGUUGUGCACUUAAACCGGAGGAUUUGUAGGGCUUUUUGAAACUUUGAAGAAUCUCGGUGGGUUGUGAGAAUGGAAGAUUCGAAUAGUUAAGGAUUUUAGAUUGAUGGUUACUAGUUCUCACACUUUUCAUCAUCUGAUGCAGAAAGGAGAGAAGAAAUUUCAGAAAAAGCUAAACUGCUAUUAGGACUGUUUUUUUGCUUUGCGUGUUUAGGACGUUUUAGUUUCCCAUUUCUUAAUGUAUGUUUUCUUAGGAAUGUUGUUUAUUGCUUUAGGAGCCCCAAGCACCGCCCAUCCGGGUUGCUGGUAGUUUGACAGCUGGACGCGAUGCAAGGUUUAAGGCUUUGUUUAGUCUUUUCAAAUUUAUUAAAUGCAUUGGGUAAUUUGAUAAAAAAUUCCUUUUAAUCUGAUUGAAUAUUAAUUGGAUUGGCAUAAAUAUGGUAGCCAAUAAGAUAAUAUGAGUUUAAGUGUACUGAAACAUACUCAUAUCAAUAGAUAAAGAAGAAAUUAUGAAUAAUUUUAAAUAUAUUUUUUUUUAAACAAAUUUAAUCCAAACUUAUAAUCAACAUCGCCAAUUUUUUUUAAUGGAAAAUUAUGUUAUAAAAAAAUUUAAAAUUCCAUAAACGGUUAUAUAUAGUAAAGAAAAAGUUUAAUAUAUAAAUAAAUCACACAUUUGUUACAUUUUCAAUUGCAGAGUACUCCAAACAUAUUUUAUUCAAAAAAAUUAUACUUUGAAAUUUUACAAGCUUAAAUUAGGAAUAUUUUAAUAUCAAAAAUUUCCAUUGAAAAUUUGGGAAAUAUAAAAAAAAUAUACAAAGUAGAAAUUUGUUGCAUAAAUUGGUUGCUUUCUGGGCUACAAAAGGAAAAAGAAAAGCAGGGAGGUUUUUUUCACAGCUGGGAGGGAACGCACGUUGCAGUCACUGCCUGCAAGAACUUUUUAAUGGCCUAUGCAUGCCACCUACGUCACACUAAUCUAACCCCACCCUUCUCACCCCUUUCACACCUCUUUAUAUACUCUCCCUUGUCUCUUCCACACUGCACCCCACCCCCACUCCUCUUUCUCCCAUGGCUGCCUCCGUUGAUCCUCUCGUUGUUGGUCGUGUCAUUGGCGAUGUUGUCGACAUGUUCGUUCCCACCGUCACCAUGUCCGUCUACUAUGGUUCCAAGCACGUCUCUAACGGAUGUGACAUUAAGCCUUCUAUGGCUAUCAACCCUCCCAAAGUUGCCAUCGAUGGCCUUCCUGACCAGUUUUAUACUUUGGUUCGUUUUUUUUUUUUUACCAAUUGGGAAUUGGGUUAUCUUUCUGCACUGUUUUUAGUGUAAUUUGUUUGAGAGAGAGGGAGGGUAUGAUUGUUUAAUGCUUGUCGAUAUGUCUCUGAGUGAGGCUGACAAUUAAUGAUGCAUGCUGGUGAUGAUUUAAACCAGGUGAUGACUGACCCUGAUGCGCCAAGUCCCAGCGAGCCAACCAUGCGUGAAUGGGUUCACUGGUACGUUGUUUCCCGCCCCCCCUUGUUUUUGAGAAAAUAUUUUGUAAUCAUGUUGCUGAUCAUUUCGUAAACCAUCACGCAAUUUGCUUUCGUCGCUGUUUCAGGAUCGUGUCUGACAUUCCUGGAGGAACCAACCCCACUCGAGGUAUAAACAACUCUCUAUGUAUUUAUAUUGUCUUAUUAUACCCUCUUCAGAAUAUUGCCAUAUUUUUAACUUUAUUAUUUCGAUUGAUUCUGCUGUAAAGAAGAGAAAUUGUAGCAGAAUUAUUUAUGAUGAUAUUUACUGUGAUUUUCUUUUCAUUCUCUUUUAUCUCAGCCAAGAUUAAACCAAUUCUUGCAUGCAUGCAUGCAUCCCGAGGGAAAAUUUUCCGAGACAAUUAUAAUCUGGUUUUCUUAUUAAAUCAAGUGGGUUAUAUCUAUUUUUAGUAAAUUAUGAGUACAAAAUUAAACAACAAAGUUGUUUGAAAAAUCAUCUCAUACUAGGUUAAAUGACACAAGAAAAGAAGUAAAUUACUACUUUCCGUGUGUAUGUGUUUACUAGAAUAAUUAAUAAAAAGAAAAAAAUGGGUGUUGAAAAUACAUCUAGCAUAAAGCUUAGAUAAACAAUUUGCAAUUUGCAGCAGUAGAAUUUGAGUUGAAUUCAUUGUUAAAUCUGUCAAAGAUCCAAUACAACCCUAACAAAUGUUGUCCGCCACCAAAAUUCCUUUUACUAUGUAAUCUAUAUAUCACUGACACUCACUGCAAUCUGCAUCUGCAUCUGCAUGUAAUUAAUAUAAUUAAUUAAAUAUCUUAUUUUGGCUCUUUCUGCAACCCAAUAUUUUCCUAUUUGUAUUUGGGAUUGCAAUUGCAUGCAUCACAUAUCUGACACAUGGUUAGUUGUUUCAACAACAAGUAGCAGCCCAUCCAUGCUUUGGAUUCUCUUGUAUAUAUGCCACAUGCCAUGUAACUACACUGUCCUCGUGGCUUCCAUCGGGACACAAUAUUGACCCACCUUAUAUAAUAUACUCUUAGUUGAGAUGGGAUAUAUAAGAUAUUUAUAGUCUUAAUAACUCUUAUCAAUAAAAUAGGAAGAUUUAAUACGGACAUGCUGUAAAUUGAACAUAUAGUUUGCCCAACUCUAAUUUGCAUCAUGUGUCAGGCUUGUGAUGUUUAAUCCUAAAUUAUAAUGAUAUAAGGUAGGGGGUUUAAGCACAUUAGUUUAAUAUCAGUGGGGGAUUAUUCAAUUUCAGGGAAGGAAAUCCUGGCAUACAUGGGUCCACGGCCUCCAGUAGGCAUACAUCGCUACAUACUGGUGCUGUUCCAACAAAAGGGCCCGUUGGGUGCGGUGCAGCAACCGGCGACAAGAGCUAACUUCAGCACUCGAUUUUUCGCUGACCACCUCAACUUGGGACUGCCUGUGGCUACUGUCUAUUUCAACGCCCAAAAAGAGCCCGUCAGCCGAAGGCGUUGAAUCUCCCACACACACUUCUCUCUCUCUCUCUAUAUAUAAAAUAUAUAAAUAUAAAACUGGUUCGACUCUUUAGCUUUAUAAAGUAGCUUUGGCCAAGUGUAGUCCUAGUACGUAGUACGUUUGAGAAGUGUAUGUCUCUUCGUUGGGUUUAUAUUUGAUGCUAAGUUAUCGAACUUUUAUGCCGAUUAACUGAGCUUCCUUAUUCUAAUUUGAGUUAAUCAAGUCCUUAAAUUAUACUCUCUUUUUUAUUUGUCAACGUUUAAUCUAUAAUAUAUAAUAUAUUUGGUGCAUUUGUUGUACAAGAUGAUGAAGAUGAUAGGAUAAUUAACAUUCUUUAAUCAUGUUUCUGUCGCACGUAAAAAGGGAUAGAUAUCUUUUUAGGAUUUAUAUUUAAUACUCUCACCAUUUAUUCAUUAUACAUUUAUCAACAGAUUCCCGGAUUAGAUGAUGGUACAAAAAUUCAUGUAAUUAGAUCACCGACUAAAUGAUGACACAAAAGUUUUUAAAAAUAAGUAAUAGUGAUUUUAUUUUACUUUUAAUAACAACAAAAUUAUAUUAAUUUAUUAAUAAUAGAUUAUAGAUAAAAAGAGAUAAAAGUAUCAAGAAAAUUUUUGCAUUUAGAGACAGAUUGUAUUUCGGCGGCUCAUUUAUCUAUAUAUAUUUCGAAAUGUGUAAAUUAAUUUUUCCAUCCUGUUAAAUGAUUAUGUGGAGCAUUAAUUUAAAUGGUUAAAUAAAAAAUUCCUAAAAAUUCAAAAUAUAUAUAUGUAAAAGAAUUUAAAAAAUUUACAAAAGUCAUUCUUUUACAAACUUUCAAGUCCAAAUUAAACCCAAAAAUGGUCAUUCUUUUAAAAAAUCCAAAAAAAUAAUUCACAUACUUGAUUGAAGCCAAAAAUAAAUAAAUAAAUAAAAAUUUGAUUGAGGCAAAAAAAAAAUCACUAAAAGUUAUGAUUCAUCGCUUUCAAAUUUCUCAUGUUUAUGUUUUUAUUAAUGUUUAAUUUAACCUUCAUUGUGCAUACUUCCAAUUAAAAGGUAGAUGAAAAAAUAUUUAUUAAUGUUUACUUUCUUUUUACUUUAGUGAAUUCUCAUUUUUGCAUAUAAUUUAUUUUCGUAUCUUCUAAUGGCGUGUAAUCAGUAUUAUAAAAUUUCGAUUAUUUAUUUUUGCAUCCCCUUAAUUAAUAUAAACUUUCAUAUUUGAAGAUUUUAUUGUUAAAUACCCUAAAAAGCUUCAAUCUUUUUAAGUGUUUGAAUGUUACAAAAAAAAUUUUAAUUUAUUAUUUCUUAUUUGGAUCUGUUAUGAUCUUAUUCGAAUCUGUUAUCAAAUCCGUAAAAGAUAUUACAUUACCAAAGAAAAAGGAAAAUCGAGCUCAUACCUAACAAUAAGAAAUGACAUGGGCUUGGUGAUGGCUACAUGUGUACAACAAGAUUGGAAUAUGGGUAAUUCCUUUACGACAGAAGCACUAGCUUGUAAUCGGGCGCUUCAUUUGACCACUAACUUGGGGUUUCCAAAGCAUAAAAUUAAAAGGAGAUUUCUUAAGCAUGCAAUCAAGAAACUCAAAACUAGUACAUUUGACAGAUUAACAAGCGAGCCUCUGGUGGAAGAUGGUAAAGCUCUACUUCGAAGGUUUUACCAUUACUGACUCUCUCAUGUCUUUAGAUAAAGUAAUAUGGUGGCUCGCAAACUAGCGAAAGAGGGAUCGAUGCAGGACUAUGGCCAACAUUGAUGGAAAAAGGAACUCAAAUAGUUGCAUCCAUAGUUCUCAGCAAGUAAGUAACCCCGGAACCCAAGGAAAAGAGUGAAGUUGAUAAUGCAUGGAUGGAUUAAAUUUAUUAAAUUAAUACGGGAACAAAAUUUUCUAGACGUGAUUAAAGUGAUAAUAAUGAGUUUUAGAUUUUAGUUAGCUUUUAAAUUUUAAAUUUUGUUGAGUUCAAUUUUAAGACUUAAAUUUGAUUAUAUAUAAGCCCAAUAAUGUAUUUAUUAAGUUUCUAUUUUAGAGAUUUAUUUAUUUCAAAUUUUUAAAUAUUUCAGACUAAUUUAGCUUUAAGGAAGGUUAGUUCUAUACAUAUGGUAUUUGUUCUCUAUAGCUACCAUAUAUGUUUUUGCUCGACUUUUUUUUAAUAACAUACUCCAAGGGAUAUUUUCAUACAAACUAAUUUCUUUUUCUUUUUUUUUUCUUGAUAGAACUUUUGUUCUAAAUUCUUUAAGAUUGUAGAGGAGAUUCAUCAUAAUUCUAACUUGCGUAAUUCAAGUCAAUUGGGUGGGUUGAUUAAAGACUAAUAUAUGGUUCUUUCUUUGUUUGUGUAAGUUCAAUAAAGUAGGCUAGGUUAUUUAUCCAACUAUUUGUCAUCAACUAGUGGCAAAGUCAGGGGUUGGUAAAGACCUCGUCCCCCCUAAAAUGGAAAUUUUUUUAUUUAGGCCCUUUUAUAAUUUAUAAAAUUUUAAAUUAGUAAUAGUAAAUUGCACUUUGGCCCCUCAAAAAUGAUAAAAAUCGAUCCAAUCCUUAAAGAUAUAUAGACUAUUGAAAUGGCAAAAAUACAUUUUUACUAUCGUAAAAAUAUACAAUUUAAUUCUGACUCCCUCAUAAAAAAAAUUUCCUGACUUUGCCCCUGUCAUCAACACUAUUUAUCUUCUUUCUUCUUUUCAUCAAUCAUUCAAUCAUCUUUUGUUUCUUUUCAUUGGUUCUUUAAUUAUUUAUUUUCUAUUGAUUUAUUAUCUGAUUUUUGUUGGAAAUUUUCAUAUUUGAAUCCAAUAACUUUGGUUUAUAAGCUACUCUUGCAAAAAGCUACUUAGGUUGUAAUAAAAAGUUAUAAACUUCGAGUUGAUUGUUCUGGCUCUUAAAGUUUAAUCCCGAGCUUCUGCAUCAUUUGGUGUUAGAGUCUACGUUUGGUUGUUUAAUCUCAUCCUUGACUCGACAUCAGCUCUCACUUAAACCAAAAAUCGUCAAGAUUUUCUUUUUAUCUUAUUUAUUUAAUUUUUCGAAUUUUGUUUUAAUUUUUUUCAAAUCUUUUAAAUAUUUAUUAUAAUUAUUUAGUAACUGGAUUGAGCAAAAUAAAAAAUAAAAAAUCAUUUAAGUAUGUUACUCACCUCUUCCUAAAUUAUCAUUUCAUUGUUCGAAUUUGUCAAAAGUGAUCGAAAAAUUUGCAUGAGAAGUCGACAACCCUCUCUUUCAUUCUCCAUGAAAAGAUAAAACUCAUUGUUUCUUUUGCUUUUGAAUCAAAAUGGUUGAGAGAAUUUUGCUUGCAUGGAGGGAUUUCCAUCUUUGUUUUUGUUUGCAUGAGAGAUUUGGGUGUUAAAAAUUGAAAGAUUCUUAAAACAAUUGUUUUGGGUGUGGGUUUUGAUUCGAAAAAAGAAAAAAAGAAAAGGAGAGUAGUUUUGAAAACCAUUUUUUGGGUUAGACUCUAGAUUUCAAAAGAGAAGAAAAAGAUGAAACCUUCAAGAAAAACUAAAAAGAUUUGUCUAAAAACUAUUUUCCAAAUUCCAAUUACCAAAAUUUCGAAAUUUUGAGUUUUUUUUGUGAGAAAUUUGAAUUUGUCGGACCGGAUUUCUAAUAAGUGAAUAACAUGAAAUUUUGUACACGUUAUAUAUAAUGUUAUUGCAUUAAAAAUUUUGAUCUUUGGUUAGAAAUUAUGUAUCCUUUAAAAAUAUUGAUAUAGCAUCAGAAAUUUUGGUAUAAGCUAUUGAUCCUCACACAUAUCCUUGAUAAAUUUUGGUAUAAAUAUGUAAUAGAAAAUAGAGUUAAAAAAAUUUGAUAUUAACUUAUUGUAACCAGUUGAUUUUGGCAAUUUCUUUUUAACGUAGAGAACCUCCACGUCCAAUAAGGUUAGAUAUAAGCCCAAUAUGGUGGUUGACACUGAUGUUUGGCGGUGGUUCAAAUUGUUCAAGUUGUUGGGCUCUAGUUGGUUUGACUAUGAAGUCACGUGCAGCAACUACUCCCAUUCAACAAAUUACUGAAUUUAAGUGACAGUAUUAUUUCAUCCAUAAAUUGCAUGAACCGGCUUUUGAACGUUCGUUUGUGACUUCAUGCACCCAUGCUCAAAACGUAGUAACCUUAUCCUCUUUAUAUAUCUGAAUAUCCACUGGUUAGCACUCUCAAUGACAAGACAAAAUAUAUACAUUUGGAAGUUUCUAAAUUUGUAUCCUCUAACUCAUGAAUGGAUAUAUAUCAAGGCUUUUCACAUCAACAUAAAUGGUCUGUUACGAGUCAAUUAAAUAUUAAUUUAAUUAAAAAUAAUUAAAAUAAUAUAGUAAGAUUUGAACUUAAAAUACCAUGAUUUUUAAACUUUUAAUGUUAUCAUUUCAAUCAAAAGUUAAAAUUACCAUCCAAUUUGUAAUGUUAUACUUGAAGUUCGAUUUUGUACAAUUUUAUACAUAAAAUUUUGAUUUAAUUCAAUUCCACAAACCACCAACACUAUUGUUGAUAUACUAGUGUUCUACAUUUACAUACCGCAUACAGAAAUAAUUAUAUUUAUCCAAAAUAAAAAUAAAUAGAUGUAUUUAUUUAAAUGUACACAUUUGAACCAUGAUCAAAGUUUCAUAUGUAUAAUUACAUAUUGGAUCAAAAUUUGUGUAUAAUUUUGAUAUUUAUUCAUUUUAUAUAAGCUUUUAAUAAAUAUACUUUUUACAUAAUUUUUUCACUUACAUUGUGAAUGUAACGACUAUUUUUUUAAGCAAUCAACUAAGACUCUAAUUUAAAAACAAUAACUUUUUUUUACUAAAAGAAAUUAUAAUUUCUAAAAAAUAAAUUGAUAAUAUGAAUAACAACAUAAAAACUAUUUCAACAUAGUAGUUCAACAAGAUAUACUCUUAUAUGGUAAGAUUCAAAAUUAUAUAUAAAUUUUCAUCUAAUAUUAUAUAAAUUUUAGUUUAAUUUAAUAUACAUUAAAUUUGAAUUUUGAUUCAAUUAUAUACGUGUGAAACCAUAAUUUUAAUUUAAUUAUACACAUUUAAAAAAUUAAAUUUGAUUGUUUUCAUUUUUGCUAAAUAAUAUUUUACCAGUGGUUGUAUAUUCUUGUUAUGGAAUAAAAAUUUAAGCAAACAGUUGAAAAAUAAUACUCGACCAAAAAAAUUAAUACAAAAUUGUACCAUUUAUAUAAAUCACUUCGUCAUUGUAUUUUCUAAAACUACUCAUAAUCACAAAUGAGAGGAUAAUGCACUUGAAAACACUUGAACCUACGUCCUCUUACAUUAACAAUAACCUCAUGCCAAUCAGACUAAAACUCAAUCAAUUAAAUAUUCAAAUUUUUAAUUUUUAAUUUCAACUUGAACAACUUUAUUAAAAAAAAACUAAAGUGUUAAGCGUACAUUUAUUUAAUUUAAAAUAUUAAUUUGUCAAAAUAUUAAAACUACAUUUAUUCUAUUAGUUUUUCUGAUACAACUCUGUUUUGAGUUUGACCUAUAAUUAGCUAAUUUAUAAACUGUGUCUUGCUUUUGGUGAGAAACCAAAUAUUUUUUCUGGAUAAAAAAUUAGAAAAAUUAAAAUCGGAAGGAUAGGAAUAUGAAAAUUAUAUAUAUUAUAUUAUAUUUAUAUUAAAAAAAAUUCAUUUCUUAUUUUGAUAAAGCUAAAAGAAUAUUUCAAUGAAGUUUUAGUGUGUUUGAUUAAGGCGGAGGCUUGUUCUGAUUUUUAAAUACUAAUUUAAGUUUGUAAUUGUGAUGUGUGGAUCUUUUUAAUUAUUUGUACAUAUGUUUGUUUAAGUUAUAUUUAUAAUAGUAAAAAUUAAAAAAAAAACCUGAAAAAUAUCAGGGAAAGAAAUGAAAAGUAUAUUAUUUAUAGGACACAAUUUUAGAGAUAUAGUCUAAAUUCGUGGCUAGACUUGCAGUGUAUCCCACUUAAGUAGACUCCAGCAAGGAUUUUUGAACUCUAACUCACAAACAUAUUCUAAACGGCUUAUAAGCAUAGUAGGUGUUAUUGUGAUAAAAAAAAUGAAAUUAAUUAAACAGUAAAAUAGUGAUGGAAAUAUCACAUUAUAGACUUAAAAUUAAUUAAGUGCCAAGUUUUAUGGGAAAGGGGAGGGGCGAUGGUAAGAUCCAGAUUGAGGUCGGGUAAACAAGUACUGCUGAUAGUCUCCGAAGCAGUUGCGGGAUUAAAGGGUUGGCAUGCAGAACUGGAGUCGUUGGAUGCAUUGGAUUUGGUUAAUGUAGGAGAUAGAAGCGAACGACGAUUGUUUGGGUCGAUUCCCAUCAUCAAAAGUUUCUUUCUUAAGUGAAUAUUCCAGUGAUUCUUCACUUCGUUGUCGGUCCUACCUGGCAAUCUUCCUGCUAUUAGUGACCACCUAAACAUUUCACGGUGUCCAUUAUUAGUAAGCCAUUUUGCAGUCUAAUUAAUCAAAAUAAUGUAGUUUGUUAACUGUGUAUGAAUUUAUCAAAUACAAAUCCUUACAAAGAAUUAACCUAAGGUUUCGAACAAGAAGAGAAAGCAAUAUACAUGUAAUAUAAAAUUAAAAAAAACCUACCUAUUUCCAAGGAGAGCAUGGAGUUUGAUAAUAAGGUCCUCUUCAUCUUCACCAAAAUUGCCUCGUUUAAGGUCAGGCCGCAGGUAGUUUACCCAUCUCAGUCGACAACUUUUUCCACAACGAAGCAGCCCUGCUCAGUCCAAAAAAGAUAAUUUUUUUCAUUAUCUGCCUUAAUAAAAAUCCUCAAGACAUAUAUAUGAGAGGAAAUGGUGUUAGAGAAAUAGACCGGCAGCCUGAGGAAGAGAGCGCCAGCAACCUUCACCAUGUUUUAGAAUGUAAUCCGUGAGCUUCUGGUCUUCUAAUUUAGACCAAGCUCCUUUGUUUGUGUCUUUCUUUUCACAACAAGGCUUCCUCAUUUGCAAACCCAAAGGCAAUGAAUUGAGGCAUGCAAAAGCCACAGACCAGAGUAGAUGUAGCGGAGGAGAAAUAAACAAAGAGACAAGUAGUAUAUAUAUAUAAACAAGGGUUUGUGUUUGUCCCCAGCUGCCAUGGCUUGACUUACGGCUACCAGCCGUUGGAUUUGUCACGCUUUCCAUGCCGUUGGAUGCACGAUUCCACGUUGAUUUCAAGGAAAAUAAGUUAAAUCCAUGAUGGUCAAAUGCUCAAGUAGCCUCUAUUGUUUAACCCCAUUCCUAGGGCUAGUUUAGCCCUACUAGCUAUUAAAAAGUUUGGUUUACUAUUUAGCAUUGUUGUGGAAAGAUGCUUUCCAUAGAAGUUUUGGGUAAGGGUUGGUAAGUUUACAUACACGUAUAGCAAAAAAUUUUAAAAAUAGAUAUUCAUAUAAUAAUAUUAAAAUAUUAUUUGUGAAAUAAUAUAUAUAUAUAAAGUAUUUGUUGAAGAAUCGAACCCACAAGAUUAAAUGUCACUUAGCAAUAAUUGAUUGAAAUUAUCUCUAAUCUCAUUAUAUAUAUAGAAGCAGAAAAAAUUUUGUUUUUUAUGUUAUUAAAUUUACAUUUUAAAAUAAAAUAGUUGAAGUAAAAUAAAAGUUGUAAUAGAUAUAUAUUUAAAAAUAAUUAUAAUUUAAUAGAAGUUGUGAUAAUUAUUACACAUUUAAAAAUAAACCAAAAUGAGAGGACUGUUGUAAUCUUAUUUUUUAAAUGCAAAAAGUCCUUUUGUUAGUUUUGUUUAAUUGGUCGUAAUCUUAUUUUUUUCACCAAAAAUAAUAUCAUAACUUAAUUGAUAUUUAUUAGCUAAAAAAUUGUUGUGUUAAUUUUAAAAUAGAUUUAUUACUUGAAUAAAACUUUAAGCAUAAAAUAUAGGGAAAAAAUUGUGAUAAUUAUAAUUUAAAUUAAAACUAUUAGUUAAAAGAAUUGAUAGUAAAAAAAAAAGUUUGUUAAUUUUAUUAACAUAAAAUACAGUUAUUACUUGAAUAGACUUCUAAGAAUUUUAAUUAUCACUUAAUUAAAAUUUUAGAAUUAAUUAUGUUAAACAAUUAUUGUUUUGAAUAUUAUUACUUUACAUUAAUUAUAUAAAGAAAACUAUAUUGUAUGUUAAUAUGUUAAAAAUAUUUUAAUUAUAAUUUGAAGAUUUUCUAUUAUAAUAUUUGAAUUGAUAAGUUAAUAUAUUUUAAUUAUAUUUCACGAUAUAAAUAUGGAAUUUUUUUACGUUGAUUACUGUAAUUAAAAAUAUAAUAUUUAAAAUUUUGAUUAAAUAUCAAACGUGUAAAAUUACAUUUAUUUUAAUAGGGUUAUUAUAAUUUAAUAGAAGUUGUGAUAAUUACACAUUUAAAAAUAGUUAGAAUUUAAAUUACAUUUAUUAGUUAAAAAUUUGUGUUAACUUUAAAAUAGAGUUAUUACUUGAAUAGAACUUUAAGCAUAAAAUAUAAAAUAAAAAAAGUUGUGAUAAUAAUAAUAAUAUUAAUAGAAGUAAUAUUAAUUAAUAUGAUAAUGGUCAUAUCUUUUAAAAGUUCUACUUAAAAAAUAAGAUAAUAUUAUAUUAUUAAUUAAUAAAAUUAUAAAUCUAUAAAAGCAUCAAAUAUAAUUGGAUAAAUUUAAAAUAAUAAAAAUCUAAUUUUUUAAUUUAUUAAGUAAAUAUAAUUUUUAUAUGUAAGGUUUUAUUUUAAAUAUUAUAAUAUUAAUAAUGUUAAAUUCAUUUUUUAUAAUUAAUAAAACAAAUGUGUGAGUUUAACAUUAUAUGAAUACAAAGAUAAAAUCAAUAUAUUAGUAAUCUAAUCAAUAUUGUAUAAAUUUAUUUAUUUAUAAAUAAUAUUUUCAUUGUCAAUCUAAUAGUUAAUAUCAUUUAAUUUGCCUUUAGAUUCAUAUUGAAUCAUACUUAUAUUAUUUUAGAUUAAUUAUCACUUAAUUAGUGUUAUAAUUACUAGUAUUUGAUUUUAAUAAUAUUUACAUACUUUUAUCAUAUAUUAGACCAAUUCACAUUUAAUUAGAAAAUAUUUUUUUUUAAUUUUAAAAACAUAUUAUUUGAUAAAAUUUAAAAAUAAACACGUAAAAUCACGUGCAACGCGCUUGGCAUGAAAACUAGUAUAUAUAAAAGCACGAGUUUAGAAAAAUUUUUGAACUAAUGAGUAUACCUUUUAUUUUUCAUCAUAUUACUAAAUUCACAUUUAAUAAUAAUAAUGUUUAAUUUAGAAUUGUUAGUUAAAGUUGAAAUAAAAUAGAAGUUGUGAUAAUUAUUCAUUUUAAAAUAAUUGUAAGUUAAUAGAAAUUAUGAUAAUUACUGUAACACCUCUAACAUCUAACCGUCGCCGAAAUCGGGUUACAAGGCAUUACCAGAUAACUCGGAUAAUAUACAAUAAUUCUUAAAUAAAUAACAAACAUAUGUAAUCAAUAAAUUCAUAUAAAUUCUUACUAAUUGACUUCAUUUUUUCUUUUUUCUAUUUUUUAGAAAAAUUUGAACAUAACCCCUUUAUAACUAUUGAACCUUCCCUGCAAAUUUCAAAUUUCAACCAAUGCAUUUAUAUACUCAAUUAGACCAAAAUACCCUUUUUAUCAAAGUGCACCCAAAAUGAACAUAACACAUAAUGUUUCCAUUCUAAACUAAACAUUUCCAACUCAAGCCAUAUCACAUAGCUUGAUCAAACCCAAAAAUUCAUACCAAAAACUAACUAUACAUGCCAUAUUUACAUUAAUUGCAUGAGGUCCAAAAGUACCAAAAAUCGUUUUGAUAGUGUGAUAGCCAAUCUCCGACCUUGUCCAAAAUCGAGCUAGCUUCCGAAUCUAUAGAACAUAAGAAAAUGAAUGAAGUAAGCACUAAGCUUAGUAAGCUGUAUAAUAUAGAAUUAAAAUUUUCCAAUUUAAUAUCUGAGCAUUAAAACAAUUAAAAUCAAUUCAUUUGUCCACAAAGUCUAUUCACAUCACCAUCCAACAGUUAGUCAUAUAGCCAAAUAUAUCAUGUCGUCCCUAUAAUUCAUAUAUUCAUAAAACAACAAUCCAUGUAAAUCAUGUAUUUCAUGUAACUUUUAAAUUAUGUAAAUCAUAUAACAUUUAUAUCAAUUUUUUUCCUAUUCGUAUAACCUGCAAUUCAUCGGUAAUAACAGAAAUUUAUCCGUAACUUAUACAUAUCAACGGUAAUUCAUCCAUAUAAUUACGUAGCUUAUUCAUAUAAUCAAUAACAGUAAUUAUGCCCGUUGAACCUAUUAGAACAUCGAGGGAUACACGGGGGAUACACUAUAAGUGUAUUUAUCAGAAAUUCGUCAAUUCAUUGUCAUUUUCGCUCUUUCGAGCCAUGAUCGGUAAGCUCAUUCCGAGCUGAAUAAAUGGUAAGCUCUAUUGAGCUGAAACGGUAAGCUCCGUAGAGCUGAAACGGUAAGCUCAUACGAGCUGUGGUGAGUCCGCAAAAAAUGCAAGAGCUCGACCAAACGGUAACCCUAGUGACAAGUCACUCGUAUCCGACAAUUUUCUAAAGUUCAAACGGGCUCAGUAUUAUCCAAUUUCAUCAAUUAAGCAAUGAAAAAAAAUCAAUAACACAAUUUCUCAAUUCAUAUGUGUAUAUAUAUCUAAUAUUAUUGAGUACAUGCAUUUAAAUACUCAAAAUUUCAUAUUCAAUGCCUAUUAUCAUGCUAAAUCUAUAUAACGUAUAUAGUAUUUGUAACAUUUCAUUUGCAUUCAUGUAAACAGUAAUAUAAUAGUAUACCGGUAAUUUAAAAUUCAAGUAUAUCAUUCAUUCAACUUACAUACAUUCAUUUUUGGACAAUUACAAAUAUUUAAUAAUUCAAUUCUAGCUACACGAACUUACCUCGUAUUUGCUCGAAUACUUUCGUCUUCCCAUCUAACUUUUGUUUCCCCCGAUCAAGUUUCGGUAUUUGUUUAUCUUGAUCCUAAUUGAGAAUCUAAGCUUGGCCGAAUGUAAAAGUCAUAACUUUGGCUUUCUAACCUCAAAAUCGUGCAGAAAGAAAAAUGACUGCACUUUCUGUUUUGUUUUUUUUACUUUAAUUCACUAUUAAUAACCAUUUUACCAAAUUAAUCUUAAUGAAAUAAAAGCAUAAUUCACAUAUUUUAAGAUAAAAGCAUAAUUCACAUAUUUUAAGGUCAUUUAUGACCAGCACCACUAUCAUUGGUCCAAUAACAUAAUAAGGACCUCUCAUUAAACUUAUCAGCAAAUAAAUACUCUUAACUUAUAGCAUGCUACUUUUACAUUUUACGCGAUUAAGUUCUUUUUAUCAAAUUAAGUAUUUAAACGGUAAAAUUUCUUAAUGAAAUUUUUAUACUAUAAUUCCAUCAUGCUGUAAAACUUAUUAAAAUAAUAUAAUAAAUAUUUUUACUCGGUUAAGUGGUCCCGAAACCACUGUUCCGAUCAGACUCAAAAACGGAUUAUUACAAUUACACAUUUUAAAAUAAUUAGAAUUAUUUAAUUUAAAAAAUAUAUAUUUUAUACAUUAUCAAUUUUACAAAUAAUUUAUAUUAAUUACUUAAAAUUUAUUUAAAAUUUAUAGUUAAUGUAUAAUUAUAUUAUAUUAUUAAAAUAUCAUACAACUAAACUAAUUUUUUUUAUUUUCUACUAUAUGUCUAAAAAUAACGUUUUAACUUUCAACCACAAUUUUUUGCAGCAAUAGAGAACAAUAAAAAUUAACAAAUACAUUUUUUUUAAUAACACUUUUCAACCAUACUUUUCUAAACGUAUUUUUAAAAAGUAUUUUCUAACCUCAACAACAAUAGAGAACUAACCCUUUGUAUCCAUAUUUAAUUAAACUUAUUAUUUUAAAUUGAUCAUCACUUAAUUAGUGAUAUAUUUAUAUACAAAUUAUACUAACUAUAAAAAGAUGAAUUAGUACUAUUUUCAUUCAAAUUAUUAUUUAUAGAAUAAUUGGAAAUAAUAUGCUUUUAGUAUUAUUUAGUAGGUUUUAUUUUCGUCACCAAUAUUAUUUAUUUAUCGCUUUUAAGGAUAUAAGAGAAAAAGAUGAAUUUUAUAUUUUUUUUAAAUAGAGAAAAUCGAAGCAUUUUUUUUUUAUGUAUUUUCACGUACUUCACUUUUUAAAAAUGCAAUUAAUUGCAUUAUAAAGCAAACAAAAAUUUAUGUUCAUCGAAGAUGAUGAUGAAGAUAAUACCAUUGAAGAAGAAGAUUAAGAUUGCGAACAUAAAAAUCUUUUUGUAAUAUUACAAGUAUUUAUUUUUAAUUUGAAUUUUAUUUUGUUGUUAAUGUAAUUUCAUUUUAAUUUUUUUAUGAAGUUGGAUUUUUUUAAUUUAUAUUUUAAUUAUGAAAAAAAAUUUAUUAUUAUAAUUUAAUUACAUUCAACAGCUCAAACAAGAAAAUUAUUUUACAUUAAUUACAGUAAUUAAAUUAUAACAUUCAAAAAAUUAAAAAUUAAAUACAUAAAAUCACAUGCAUUACAUGUUACAUUAAGAAUUUUUUUUUUUGGUGAAUUACAAUAAUAGGACAAAACUUGACCAUCAAACUAUCACAACCUUAUUACAUUAAGCAUUAAGAAAAAUGAAAAGCAGUAAUAUAUAAUCAAGUAAAAAUUAGGGACGAAAUUAUAGACAUAUGAUCAAUGCAACCGAUGAUUAAGGGCCUAAAGAACUACAGCUAAACUAAAUGGAAAGUAGAUGUGACUAACGAGAUGGUCGACAUACUAAUAUGACUUUAAAUAACAUGCAAUAGUGUUAUUCUUGUAUUCCAGAGUACUUCCUCGAUACACUUCAAGUAUAACGAUUACCUCUAACUUUUAAUUAGCUCUCGCAAAACUUGAGUAGCAUAUACCUCUCAUUUUUCAAUGCUGAUGUGCUAAUCCAAUUGUUCUAAUAAAGUUAGCUUUCGCAAAUCUUUUCUAAAUAAGUUAUUAUUUAGGAUCCUUAAUCUUAAUUCAACCAAAUCAAUUAAAACUUUAUUAUAUCAUUAGUUAUGGGCUUUUUCUAUAAAAAUAUCUAAAAAUUUUGAUUAUUUACGAAAAUGAUCUACUCUUAAAAUCAUGUACGUAAAUGACCCGUUUUGAACAAUGAAUUCCGGUGCUGCCAUUGCCAUUGGUGGCACCACCCAUCAUUAUCACCCAAUGAUUACCAUUGGUGGCACCGGUAUAAGUAUAUGUAUACCCACCCGUUUAGAAUACCCAUAUUUACUAAAAAAAAAUUUUUUUAGUAGGUGCCGCCAAUGUCAACAGCACCACAAAAAAACAUUAUUAUUUUUCUAACAUCGGUGUUGUUGUUGCCAUUAGUGCCACAAAAAACACUAUUGCCGCCAUUGUCAUUGGCAGCACCUAUUAAAAUUUAUUUUUUAGGGUAUACGUGACUUAUACUGAUGCCGCCAAUGCCAACGGCAACAUCCAAAGGCGGCAUCCAAAGAAAUCAUUUUUUAAUUCUACGGGCCAAUCAUUGGCUGAUUGUGAUGGGUGGUGCCGUCAAUGGUAAAUAUAGCAUUGUGGUUUACUGUUUAAAACAAGUCAUGUACAUGAUUUUUAAUAUAGGUCAUUUUCAUAAACAAUUAAAAAAUUUGGAUAUUUUUAUAAAAAGUCUUGGUUAUGUGACAUGCAUCCUUUUCAUAUGUAUUAAAAAAAGUUGUCAUAUUUUUAAAAAAGUAUAUAAUUUUACUAGUAUGAUUGUGAAUGCAGGUAGAUAGGUUUCUAUUUCCGAGAUCAUUGNNNNNNNNNNNNNNNNNNNNNNNNNNNNNNNNNNNNNNNNNNNNNNNNNNNNNNNNNNNNNNNNNNNNNNNNNNNNNNNNNNNNNNNNNNNNNNNNNNNNNNNNNNNNNNNNNNNNNNNNNNNNNNNNNNNNNNNNNNNNNNNNNNNNNNNNNNNNNNNNNNNNNNNNNNNNNNNNNNNNNNNNNNNNNNNNNNNNNNNNNNNNNNNNNNNNNNNNNNNNNNNNNNNNNNNNNNNNNNNNNNNNNNNNNNNNNNNNNNNNNNNNNNNNNNNNNNNNNNNNNNNNNNNNNNNNNNNNNNNNNNNNNNNNNNNNNNNNNNNNNNNNNNNNNNNNNNNNNNNNNNNNNNNNNNNNNNNNNNNNNNNNNNNNNNNNNNNNNNNNNNNNNNNNNNNNNNNNNNNNNNNNNNNNNNNNNNNNNNNNNNNNNNNNNNNNNNNNNNNNNNNNNNNNNNNNNNNNNNNNNNNNNNNNNNNNNNNNNNNNNNNNNNNNNNNNNNNNNNNNUGAUUCUAACCAGACAUAGUCAGGUGUCUACCUUUGAUAUGGUUGUAGGGACUGUUACAUGUCUGGAAAAUAAAAGAUAGGGAAGUAGUUGAUGGUUUGGGUUUCCAUUCUAUCUGUUGUACAUCCCUUGAAGGAGUCCAUCGUUGCCCAGUACUAUGUGUUCUGUUAUUACUUGAGCUACAUCUGGACAUUACAUCUCUCAACACUUCUUUAUAUAUGCAGCCAAUCUAUACAUUCAAGUAUGAAGGUCAUCCUUAUUUUGGACAUAGUGGAUCGCAUGUUGUGAAUCUGUUUGUUUUUUUAACGGGAUACUGAACAAAUUAUAAUAACACUUAAUAUAUGCGUUUGGAAAUACUUCCCGUGCUUCUUUAUCUUUUGAAUACAGAUGCAUUUUAUUGUUUAUCUGUAAACUAUUAUUUAAUAUUUUGUUGUUUGUGUCCCAUGAGUCCAACCAGACGUAGUCAGGUGUCUACCUUAGAUUUGAUGGUAGGGACUGUUACAUGUCUGGAAAAUAGAAGAUAGGGAAGGAGUUGAUAGUUUGGGUUUCCAAUCUAUCUAUUAGCCAUCCCUUGAAAGAGUCCAUCGUUGCCCAGUACUAUUUGUUUAGUUAUUACUUGAGCUACAUCUGGACACUACAUCUCUCAACACCUCUACUCCAGUAGUCAACUUAUGCAUUCUAGUAUGAGGCCAUUUUUAUUUUGGAUAUGUUGACCACUUCUAUGAAUCUGUUUGUUAAGAGAUAGUAAAGCAAAUGAUAGUAACACUUAAAUGCUUCAAUUCUUAUAUUAACUUAUUUUGAAUAUUGGUACAUUUUUAGUUGUUUGUUUAUGAACUAUUAUUUAAUAUUUAGUUGUUUACGUUCCACGAGUAGUUAGGUGUCUACCUUGGAAUAUGAUUGUAGGGACUGUUACAUGUCUGGAAAAUAAAAGAUAGGAAAGUAGUUGAUGGUUUGGGUUUCCAAUCUAUCUAUUAGCCAUCCCCUUGAACGAGUCCAUCGUUGGCCAGUACUAUUGUUUAGUUAUUACUCAAGCUACAUCUGGGCACUACAUCUCUCAAAACCUCUUUCUAUCAGUAUUCAAUCUAUACAUCCAAGCAUGAAGGCCAUCCUUAUUUUGGAUAUAGUGGAUCACGUGUUGCAAAUCUGUUUGUUUUCUAAAGGGGUAGUGAAGCAAAUGAUAAUAACACUUAACAUAUGCAUUUGGAAAUACUUUCUGUGCUUUUGUAUCUUUUGAAUAUAGAUGCAUUUUUGGUGUUUAUCUGGAAACUAUUAAUAGUUGUUUGUCUCCCAUGAGCCUAACCAGACGUAGUUAGGUGUCUACCUUAGAUUUGAUGGUAGUGACUGUUACAUGUCUGGAAAAUAAAAGAUAGGGAAGGAGUUGAUAGUUUGGGUUUCCAAUCUAUCUAUUAGCCAUCCCUUGAUGGAGUCCAUCGUUGCCCAGUACCAGUCUAAAGUUGUUAUUUGAGCUACAUCUGGACACUACAUCUCUCAACACCUCUUAAGUAGUCCUAUACAUUCAAGUAUUACGGCUAUGAAUAUACUUCUGCUGUGAAAAUAUAUUCUUCUUUUAAAAGAGAUAGUGAAGCAAAUGAUAAUAACACUUAAUUUACGCUUUUGAAAUACUUUCAAUGGAUAUGUACCUCUGAAUAUUGAUAUGAUGGUAUGGGCUGUUACCUGUCUUGAAAUAAAAGAUUCGGAAGCACUUGUUCGGUUGUCUUCCACACUAUAUAUUUUCCAUCCCGUGAAGGAAUCCAUCGAUGGCAAAGGACCAUGUUUAGUUAUUACUUGAGCUACAUCAGGACACUAUAGCUCUCAACACCUUUCAACCUCAGUAGUCAAUACAUACAUUCUAGCAUGGGGUCAUUCUUGUUUUGUGCAUAGUAGAUCACUGCUGUGAAUUGUUAUUUCUAUAAAGAUAAUAGUGAAGCAACAGAUAAUGAUACUUGGUAUAUGCAUUUGCAAAUCUAUGCUUACAUUACAUACCUUCAUUUCAAAAUAGAUGCAUUUUUAGUUGUUAAUCUGCGAGCUAUUAUUUAAUAUUUAGUUCUUUGCAUCCUAUGAGUCUAACCAGGCGAUGUAGGGGCUGUUACAUUGAUGCUCUGAGAACUCUGAGAACUGAUUUCUAUACUUGUAUAAGGUGUUCAUUGAUGCUCAAUAAUCGGCACUAAUAAUUUAGGCUGUCUACAUCUUCACUCGUAUCUUCAGAGCUUAUCCACUGAAGUUCUAGAAAGUAUUCAUGAUUUAAAUUUGAAAGGUUUAGAUUAGAAAUGUAAACACUAUGAGGUUUUGAUACCUAUAUAAAAAAUUCUAUGUGGGAUUCCUCUGUAUUCUACGAAUACUGGAUUUAAAAAAGCCAUAGCAUUUCUCUUAUUGCUAAAGAUCAGAUUUCUGAUUUUAGUUCAACUCUUCACUAUGUUGAAGGCAUUGUUGUAGUUUUGUAAUACUCUGAUGUCUGGUUGCUGGUGGAAUAAUACGAGGAAAAGUUUAUUUUAUAUAUGUAUUAUAAUAAUUAGACAUAAAUUUAAAUUUAAAUUUUAAAAGAUGAAUAAAUAAUACUUUUAUAAAAAAUAAGAACUCUUUUAAUUGAUUUUUUGUUGUUGCUAAAAAUAGGUUACAAAGCGGCUAAUUAGAACAUAUAUGAUAAAUAAUACUUUUACGUAGGGUAAUUUAUUUUGUUUACUACCUUUUUUUCAGUUUUUUUUGUAUAUUUCGAAAGACCAAGCAUCCAAGUGGAAGGACUUGAAUAUCUGAAAGUAAUAUUUUUCACGUAAAGGGAGUUCUCUUUACGACCUGCAAGACUUAAAUAGGUCACUAGGGCAGGUAAGGAUUCAAAUACCCCACCUAAGGGGUUUAUAUGGGGUUUAAAAUGUAACCGUGUGUUUAUUUUUUAUAAGAUUAAAAGCAGCAAUAAGUUGUUGUAAAUUUAAUGUGCAUAUUUUUAAUAAAGUAAUAAAUUUUAACAUGAUAAUGUUUGUUUUAUUAUUUUAAUACAGAAGGAUUAAAUAAAACAAAAAUAAAUGAUGUUUAAAGAUUAAACUCAACCCUAAAGAAAAUUUAUUUACAAUUACUUUACCAUUCAGUUUAUGAUUAAGUUGCUAAAUAAAUGUUCUUAAAUAUAAUUUUAAUAUUAAUUUUUUCUUGCUGAGGCAAAGUCUAGUAUAUGUGUAUAUAUAUGCGUGUGUUUAUGCAUAAAUAUAAAUCAAAAUUAUAAAUAUUUAAUAUUUAGUUUUUUAGACAUAAAAUAUAGUCUAUUAUUAUAAAUCAAAUUCAACAACUUAAUUCAAAGAUGUUUUUUAAAUGAAUUUAUAAAAAAAAGGAAAAUAUCAUGAGAAAAAUAUAAAAUAAUAACAAGUGAGAUAGUUUUUUAAAUAAAAUUUUACAUAAAGCAAUACAAAAAUACUUCAAAAACAUGUUGCAGCAGGUACGAUAUAAAAAAUCUCGAUACCCAUGAUACACAUAAAUAAUUUAUGCAAAACUGGCAUGCAUUUUAAUAUUUUAUUUUACUUUACAAGGACACGAGGCUCUGAGAUAGAUCAACUUAAUAAUAGUCUAAUUGUGCUCUCAAUUCUUUUACACACAUUUGAAACUUAAUGCUAACCUUUUCAAAAAUCCAAUUGAUAUUAUUUUAAACAUCAUUAAAUUAAAUCAUAUAACAUUUUCAAAAUAAAGAAAAAUUGACUUUAAAACCGCAAACAAGCAAAUAUAUACGUUUAUUAUGUUCCAUUAAAAUAAUGCUUAAAAAUCUUACAAUCUCAUUUAAAAUUAAAGGUUUUUAUUUACGUAUAAUCUUCCACACAUAAUAUUAAGUACUUUUUUAUUUUAAAAAUACCACAAAACCCAGUUCUCAGAAUUCCUUGGAUGGUGUUGCUAAUUAGACUUAAAUAUAAAAAAAAUAGCAAGACUAAAUAUCAAAUAUGCAAAAAGUGGGCAGAAUUAGAUUUAAUAAUAAUUUGCGUCAUAAUCUUAUCGUAAUUCAAUAAUUAUAAUAAUAAUGUAACCUAACAAUAUUAUUUAGGAACAAGCUCGGAUUGAAACGAAGCCAGUCCUCUUUUUUUUUCAAUCACCUUGGCGAGUUAAAAAAACACAAAUAUGCUUCUUUUUUUCAACAAAUUCGACAUUAAACAGACUUGCCUACCAAAAAGCAUCCAACAAACAAAGCUUGAUCAAACUGAUUGAACACCAUUAACCGCAAUUCUUUUUAACCCCUAAUGAACAAUGGGUUGGUGUGUACUGGUUCAUACCAUAUAUCAAAAUCACAAUGAGAGCAGCAACAAUAACCAUCUCAACUUCUCUUGACAACUGUUACAUCAAUACAUCUGUAAUGCAAUAAUAGAUAAAGCAACAAUCCCUCCACUCUUCCGUGCUGCAACACAACAGGAUAAGUUACACAGCAAUUUGCUUACCUGCCAAGGUAAGUACAUCAGUCAUAUUUAUCCAGAUACUAACAAGAGUAUAUGAAAACUAAUUGCAAUAAUCUUGUGUAUGAUAAUUUGAAAAAAAAGUAAAGCCUACUCCUUGAAAUUGAAUUAACCAACUGCAUUGAUCGAAUGGCAUGGAAUGCUAUGGAUAACCCAGUUUCAGCAUGAUUUCCGAAUUAAACAUGCUACCAACUAGUGUAUGAGUCGAGAGGAAUAGCACAAGAAAGCCAGUUUCAACUCCAUAAUUGAUUCCCUAUCUACAAGUGAAGAGGCUUGGGAUCAAGCCACACAAAACGCACUAAUGUUGACCAACCAGGAUGGAUCUCCAAAUAAAGUAGGUGUGUAACAGUAGUGUAGUACUUUGGUGACAAAAGGAUCGCACCCCUCACAGAGGGAAGAAAAACCUUUAAAAAUCCAAUUCUCGGUUUUGAGACAAAAAUUUGGUAUCAGAAUUGUUAUCAAGUCAAAUAUCUUAAUUUUCUUUUCCAUCCUUUCUCAGUGGUCUAUUAUGUCCUAAGUUGGAUACCACUAGGGGAGGUUAACAGUGACACAGUAAAAACUUCACACAGCAGAUAUAAGCAAAGUUUGAAUCUCACCUCUAAGAACAAAAUUUUUUAAGCACUACUGCGUGAAGGAAGAUCAGUGACUUUUCCCACUGCAAUGGUUUUCCCUGUAGAUAUGAUAAUUCGUGUGACUCACAGCCACCGAGAAUAAAUAAUUUAUCCACAAUUGGAAGAAAAAAUAAAGGGUCUCUUUUACCUUCAGUGCGAAGAGUGAACCUCCCAAGUUGAGGAAAAUCUGAGAACUUCUCAACGCAAAUCAGGCUAUUGACCUAAGAAGCAUGAGAAAAUAGUAUUUUAUCAAACCCAAAACUAACAGAGAGAUCAAUGCAGCCGAUAUCUUCUGUCAGUAAUCAUCUGAUAGAUGUAACCUACUGAAUGGAGUUUCCAGCCUCCUCCCCCCUAAACACAACAUACUAAAAAGAUUGUGCAUCACACACGCAUCGGAUAGAGUAGAGAACCAACCAUGCUAUUAUGUUGCAAGUUCAAUCUAGCUGGAAAUGUUGGUACUAGGCACCUAUUUCGAAUUUAACAGAGCAUUUUCCCAUUUCUGGAACCCCAAAAUGAAAGCUUAUUGUGGCCUAUCAUUAGUUGGUAAUGAUCCUAUUAUUUCUAGUUCUACCCUUAUGGAAAAAAGGACAAGCAAACAACUUUGGGACAACUGCUUUCCGACUGUUUCUCACUUUUUUAAUCAGCCAAUUCAUCCAGUUUCAUUUCAAAAAAUUAUAGAAAAAUGCAGACAACCAAGAAAGUUGAAUGGGGCAAGAAACAAAAUAUCAAGUUUGGUAGAUUAAAAUUUUAAAAUGAAGAGUUUGAACCUGAAUACGACAAACAACAACAGCACCAUUCUUCACAAAAAGAACUUUCUUUUUCAUGGGUUUCUUUGUCUUUGGAUCAAUUUGCUGUAGUAGCUCAACUAUCUCGCAUUCCUCAACAACAGAAUGAAUGUGCAAGACAGCCUUAUAGCCAGCUGUAAAAAUAGCCUAAACAACGACAUUUACAAGACAGAUUACAUUCAGUCAUUAUGGUCGGAAUGCAUCAAGUUUAAAGAGUAAGGACAAUAGAAAAUGACAUAAAAUGCAUACAUUCUCAAGUAAUUCAAGGAUCUGCAGCUGGGCUGUAAAUUCAGUGACCGUAGGUAUCGGUUUUACUACAAGAAGGGAACACACACAUUAUACCCUAAAACUAACACACAAAAAGAACCUAAGCCAAGAAAGGGAUAGAUUUAUCACGGAACUCCAUUUAAGCAAAACAUACCAACACUUGACAAGACAAAACCUGACGAUAUGUCCUCCUCUUCAAUCCCAGAUAACCUAACCCGUAGAUUUUCACCAGGUCCAGCACGCCUAACCUUAUCUUCAUCACAGUAUACAGCUAAAACUUUCACUGGAGCCUGCAAUCCAUGCAUAAAAUCUUCAUACCCAUAAGAUAAAAAUGAGCAUAUAUACAUAAAUAAUGAAAAGGUUGAAAAGAUAAAGCACCUUGUUUGGCAUAACUAAUAAGGAAUCACCCUCACAUAUGCUUCCAGAUUCUACCUUUCCCAUAACAACAGUUCCCAUGUCUUUAAAUUUGUCAAUUAUAGGCAUCCUAUAGAGAUGAUAGCAAUCAUCAGAUGCAUCAAAAAAUAAGAUAACCAAAAAAUUGAUUAUGCAUGCUACUGUUAGAUGGCAGGAAGCCAGGAAAUAGAACCAAACAUAAAAGUUGAGCAUGCAGUGAAUCCUGCUAAGGAAGAUAGGCUUUAGAUCACUUACCUAUAUGAACCUUUUGGAUCUCUGACAGGAACUUCAACAGAAUCGAGGGCCUCAAAUAGGCAGGGACCAUUCCACCAAGGACAUAUAUUCUUAUCUACUCUAGUUUUCAUGUUAGUACCAACAAGACCAGAUAUUGGUAAGAACUGGACAUCUGCAAGUUCAAACAGGAGAAACCAAUGAAAUACAAGUGGUUUUAAAGCGUAAAAUAUAUGCUCAGCAAACUAAGCAAGUCUCCAACAUGGGAACAUAAGCUUCACUAACAUAUAAAAACAUGAUAUCAUCAUCUGAUCCUAUUAAAAGUUAUAAAUUGAAAUCAAUAAAUCAACAUUUCAAUAUCAGUAAUUUUGGGAGACAAAGCCUAUUAGACAUAAAAUUACAUUGCAACUACGCAGAACAGAACAUAAUGCAAAGAAAAAGUAAUCAAAUGUUACACAAGUUUUUGGCAAGAAAAAAGCAUCCUAGACAAACUAGCAGGAACUAUUUACUUCUAUUCCACAAUUUUAGCUUCAAAAUAAUUUAAUAGAAACACCUGCUGAAGGCCGAACAACCAUAUUGAAACUACAUAAGUACCAUCAGGUGAUAAAACAGAGUUCUAUAACUACCAUAUCAGACUAAGAACCUGAAUAUAUACUGUAUGCAGCAUUGACUUUAUUAGUUUGUCGAACAGCACCUAGGUUUCCUAGACAAACUGACAGCAAUUUACUUCUACUCCACAAUUUCAACUCCAAAAUAAUUUGAUAAAAGAAUAUAUUGCUAAAUAGCUAAACGUGUGUUAAAACGACAAUAGGUAAAAUUUCUUUGGAAGAUCAUAGCAGAGUUCUAUGCUAUCAUAUCAAACUAAAAAACCCUGAAUAUGUAUGCCUAUAGACAGCAGAAAACAAGUCCGGUCACAUAAGCAACCAUGAACAUAAUACAAAAAAUGCAAGGGACCUUUGCAAAUUAAGCACUUCAAUAUCCCAAAAGUCAUGGUAAUAACAUACGUAAAUGGUUCAACAAGCUUGAAAAUAUCACCAAGACAAAAUGCAACUUGGAAGUUAUUUAACAGUUUCAAUACCUUUCUUCACAUUGUAGCCAGAUGACCUGAGAAAAGGUACCAUCUUUGAUUCAAUUUCAUCAUACCUGUGAAAGGACUCCAUCAGUACUAUUAAACAAACCAAACUACAACAUAAACUACACAAUAAGGACAGCACAAAAGCUUAGACUUUUUACAGAACCCAGUCAAAGUACCUUUCUUUAGACCAGUUGACAGUGUGAUCAUCCAUCUUAUUAACUACUACAAGUAGCUUUGACACACCCAAAGUCUUUGCGAGCUGCACAUGUUCACGGGUCUGCCCACCCCUCUCAUAUCCAGUUUCAAAUUCCCCUUUACGAGCAGAAAUCACCUAAUUAAGAAACCGUGGACAUUUAUGAAAUCCAAAUCUACAAUAUAUACACUAUAUUAGGCAGUUAAUGGAGAGACAGAGGAUGCGACUUACAAGCACACCAAUAUCAGCUUGAGAUGCCCCACUGAUCAUAUUUGGGACAUAACUCUUGUGACCCUAAGUAGCCAAUGCAAAAGUGUAUUUAGUUUUAAUAAACAAAAUUGCAUCAAAAUCUAUAUUCAAAAUAAAAAGAAUCUGGUCAAAAAUCAAAAUGACUUUGUUCAGUUCCAUUUUUUAUUAGAUAUAAGCACAUUAAUCGCAGUUAGACAAUACCCUAAGGCAUAUCUAAUGAAAAGUAACAUGAUAUGGAAACAUUUGGUUUUAUAUUUUCUGUUACUUUCUCUCUUAUUUAUGAGCAGCAUCAUUAUAUAGCAAGAGAGCAUGCUAUUUGCAACCUUAUAAGACAAAUUUGUGAUGCACUAUUAAAUUGAUCCUGCAAUUUUAAUCAUGUACGAUAUAUUUUUAAUAUCAAAAAAGGCAUGUGAGGAGCAACAUAGGUACUAAAGAAAGCAAUUCAACUAAACAAAAAAUCAAGACUCAGAAAAAAAUCUCAAUUUACAAAGUAAAAUAGUAAAAUAAAUGAGAUUAUCAGCUUAUUCUACAAAUAAUUAAAUGUGCCAUUUGAAGGUAAGAUAAAUUAAAGAAAUAACAGUGUAUUUUAGAGGCAGUUCCCUUACUGGUGCAUCCAAAAUGGUAAAUCUAGUUGUCUCAGUCUCAAACUGUGCUCUUCCAACUUCAACAGUUUUACCCUGCAAUCAAUAGUUCGAAUUCAGUUAACUCCUGGAGUAACAACUGCAGUCUAGCUAAUCAUGAAUAACCGUUGACAGUAUGACAGGAGAUAUACAAGGAAUUAACUAUACUUUCACAAAGUUUAUAACAACAUUUCCCCAUUGUACACUACCUUAACCCUCUCCUCUUCAUUAGUGUCCAUAAUAUAUGCCAUAUACCUAACACAUGAAAAGUAGUUCAGUCAGAUAAUGCAAAAGCCAAAGAUCCCCAGUCUGUAAGACAUUUUCAUUGAGGUAAUUGAUCAUGUGCUGAAUUAAGCAAAUCUUAAAGAGUGGCAGGUGAGUGGGUAUGUCAGUUUGAGAGAAAAAGAGAUAAGAAUCUCAACAUCAAUAGAAUGAAAUUUCCUACUGACAAAUCUGCAAGGCAAUUGGAAAUAAUUUUAAAAACGGUGAACCAGUGUUAGUUCUCAAAAGAUGCAAAUUGCAGAAUGGAUCAAUUGUGAAAAGAUACACAUACUAAAGUAUAAAUGAAUCUUCAAGAGCAAUAAAAUAAUAAAAUAGACAAAAAGAACUUUUCAGCACUUACAGCAUCCAAGAAAAAGUAAAAAAAAAAAAUGGAAAUGGUUUCCAAUUUGAUAACAAAUUAAUAACAAGCCAAUAACUUGUCCAAGUACUGUAAAUUCCUUUGACAACUACAUCUUUAGUACACUUAAUAUUGAUGAAACCUUCACAUAGCUUGGAUGGAGGAAAAGAGGACUCAACCCAUCAAUCUCUCCCCUAUACAUGCCUUUCAGCUGGAAGGACAGCUAAUACAGUGCCUCCAUGGAUGCCAGUCAUCUAGUCACUCAUUUAAGUCAUGGGUUAAAUCCUAGUACUACCAUGUUUGAAUUAGAUUGAAUCUUGGCUCACAAUUCUUGCUGUCUCGGUCAGAAACACUCCACAAUUUCAAACCUGCUAAUGUGAACCGUAGAUCAUACUCCCUCUGUCCCAGUAAAAAAGCCACAAUUGACAUUUUUUAGGUCGAACUUUUCAAACUUCAACUUCAAUUAUUUUAAAUAUUUUAAUUUAGAUUUUAUAAAAAGAUAUAUCUAAAACUUAUUUCAUUGAAAGUUUUUAAUGAAUUUUUUCAAAAUUAUAUUCAUAAUAAACUUUAAAGAAUAAGAGGUUAAAGUUGAAAAUUUUUUACCACUAAAAAUAAAAAAGUUACAAAUUUACUGGGAUGGAGGGAGUAUCUCUCAAUCUCAGCAUUCACUUCAUGCAGAUUGACUAUAGGAAACUAAUCUAAAAUUGAUAUAGUGAAGAUUAAUACAAGCAAAACAAUUACUUAACUGUUUCAUCACAGACAGAUACAAAGAAACGUUCCAAACAAAGUUCAUACAGCCUAAAUUCCAACAUGUGCAUGCUCUUUAGAGAAAACAAAUAUAGAAGGAACAGCACUGAUUUACUAUCCAAGUUAUAUACCAAACCUAAGCCUCACCAGCUUUCUCUACUUUUAUCCUUAGCUUCUUUCUCAUACUUCUGGAUCGUACGGUCAUCAACCUGACCACUGAGGAAGAGUAUCUGGCCUCCAGUUGUUGACUUGCCAGCAUCUAAGAAUCAAAUAAAAGAGUCAAAACAUACAAUGGAUAGAAAUAAUGUGUUUCAGUACAAAAGCAUUGAUUAUGAGCAGUCUUUGAUAAUGCUUAUUUAUUAAAAUAAGCUGAUAUAGGAUCUUUUAAUGAAGAAGCUUGAGAAGACAUGUUGCGACUAAUCAGCAGUGACUAGGCAUUGGUUAAACAUCCUUUGAGAGAGGUUGUUCGAAUUUUCUCAUUUACAGCUUUGAAAUACAUUAACCAUUUUUUCUUUUAAUCUACCAUAAUCCAAUUCCUAACAGUCGGUCCCGUUAAUAAUUAAACUUAUAACAGCUUUUCACAGAAUUCAUGCAUGUUGCUAAAUUGACUAAACUCAGUGAAGCACAUAAUAAAUAAGGGCUUGGAGAGGAUAAAAGUACAAAUUUCCACUGUUUCCUAGGUUAGCAUAAGCGGUUCAAUAUUGAACGUAGAUGUGUAAUGCAUGCCAACUUUCACAUAAGCAAAACCAUGAAGUAGGAAUACCUACCAACAUGACCAAUAAAGACCACAUUCAAGUGGCGCUUCUUUUGUGAUUCCAUUUCAUCUGGUACUUCUGCACAAUCCAUAUCAGCUACUUCCUUGUCUUUCACUGCACAACAAAACUAAAAUUGAGAACAAGAAAAAUGAAAAUUGGAAUAUUAAAGUGACAGGAAUAAUAGAGGUAAGCACGGGAAGGCAGAGAAAAGGGAAUGAAAAAACCUUUUGGCUCAGCCUGGACUGGCUGAGAUUUAGUAUCAACCUCAUCCGUCAUACCUGAAAUCAAAAAUAGAAAAGAUCCCAAAACUUUUCAAAAUGAAACUAAAACAAUAAACAAAAGUUCAUGAUGAACAGAAAAACAUGCAGCAUUUUAGCAAAAGAAAGAGCAAGGAGAAAAUUUAGAGAAAAAGGUUAGCACAAUAAGCAUCUGAGUUGCACCUGCUUUGGUGUCUAAAUUGGAAAAAGAGGUAAAAAUACCAACAAUUCAUAUACAGCAGCCCAUUAUAAAUGAUAAUGUAAAAAUAGAGAUGGUCAACAAAAGAUAUAGGUAAUCAAGAAAGAAACAAAUAUACAGUGAUACAUGGACUCUUCAGUUCAUCCUACCAUAACUUUAUCCCCCUAUUCUUGAAUGCUUUUAGUUCAUAGGAAAUGAUGAACAGUUUCAAAAGAAAAGACAAAAAGUUAUGCCUAACAUAUAAAAUGCCUGAGACCAAGUCCUAAAUCAAUGUAACAUAGCUGAAGUAAACCCAAACCUAAUUCAAAUCAGCUCUACAAUUCACAAACAGACACAGUUUCAUAUCCCAUGUAAGACACAAGAAAACACAUCACCUAGAGACUCAUAUCACUUUUGCACACAAAAAAAGGAGUCGUCCAUGAAUUAUAUCUAAAAGCUUCUAAUAAAACCUUGUAAAACAGUUUAAUAUCUAUUAUUUAUUCAAUCUUACUGUAACUUCACAGAAUCAACGAAACUUAUUUCGUAUAAGAACUCUUAAAUGCCAUUUUGGAGAUAGAAAUAACUGUAGUCAACCAAGUUUACAAUUUAUAAUCUUGAAUGAAUUUCCACAAUGACAACCUCUCCUCUAUUCUCUAGCUCUCCAAUGCCUUCAUUAACAUAAGAAGAUAGGCACCACUUAAAUACAAAGUUCAACAAAACUACCAACCUUCCUCCUCCACCUUAUCUGUCAUUUCAACUUCUUCUGGUUUUGCAUCUUCAGGAAUGAGCGUGGCAUUAUUAUCUUCUGUUAAGAUUCAAUAAUAAAACUCAAAAAAAGAAAAGUGAUUCCAAAAAAAAAAAAAGGAAAACCAAAACAUAUAUCUUAUUCAUAAAUGAAAACAAGAGUACACUACCAGCAGAGUCAAGCUGCAGUGCACGGAUCUCAGCCUCAAUAUCUACAAAUUAGAAACCAAAAACAAAAUAGAGAGAAAUUGUAGACACGUUAAUUCCGAAAGUUGUCAAUAUUAACCUCCGCAGCACAUAUAGAAGCUAAAGCGAGUUAAAAGAAAUAAUGAAAUUAUUAUUACAAACAAAUUCCUAUAAUUUAUAGCCCUAUUCCAGUAAGAAGAAUUUUAGUUACUCAACUAAAGUUCAAUUCAGCUCAUAUUUACAAAAGGCAAAAUAUCUCAAUAAUGAGAAACCGUCACUCACAUCUGCUAAAACGCAUUGAAAACUACAAUUAAUAAAAAUCUUGUAAUUAGAAAAAAUAAAAAGCAUAUAAUUGAGUGAACUUUUCGACAAAAACAGAUCAAAACUGAAGCAAUCAGCGAGUAAAUCAAGCAGAUCCGGAAUUAAGGAAAGCAAACACAAUCAAUACUGAUUGUAAGAAUAAAGAGAAAAUCAUGAAAUGAAAGGUCCAGAAAGAAAAACACUGAGAGACUUACCCAUGGAUGCCGAGAGUAAACGACAAUGUCUGUGGAGUAUGUACGCUAGGGUUUUGUGGCAAAUAGGGCGGCGCUGGUUGCUCGGGAGCUGUUCUUUCUUUCUUUUUUCUUUUCUAGUGUAGAAAAGAGAAUGACCCAAGAAAAUUUUUGGUUAUAUAUGAGAUAUCAAUUCUUUAGCAUUUUAUCGUGGCAUGGAUGGCGAGCACCAUGAGGAAAGCAAUUACCCGGCUCAAUAACUUUUGACAAUAAUUUCAUAAGUUGAUAACGAACUUUUUCAAAUAACAUUGUUCCCCCCGGCCCAAAAAAUAUAUUUUGUUUAUAUUUUUUUUUAAUAAUUUGAAAGAUUAAAUAGGUAUAAUUUUAUAUUAACUACAAUAUUAUCAUAGAUUCAAUAAUAUAUUUUACUUUUUAUUUGAUUUUUUUAUGCAUUUCUAAGUGGUUAUUAUCAAACCAAUAUUUUCAGGAAAAAUAAAAGAAACCAAAGUGAAAUAAAAAAAUUUAUUAUAAAAAAUUAAUUUACAUGUUAUAAAAGUGUUAUAAUAUAUUUAUUUACAAAAAAAAUUUAUGGACAUAAUUUUUUUUCAUCUUAUAUGUUAUAAAAAUAAUAUACUUGUUCAUAAAAUUUUUUUAUAGUUUUUUAUCAUAACUUAUUUAUAAGAAAAUAACUUUCUAAAGUUAUGACAAAAAUAUAUAUUGUUUAUAAGAAGUGUUAUAAAAGUUUUGGAUAAUUUAUAAAAAAAAUUAUAAAAGUUAUAUAUUAUAAAUUUUAUAUUAUUUUUACUUAAUAAGGGAUAUAACCAAGCAUAAGUUUUUCUCUAAAUUAUUUUAUAAGGUUUUAUAAUUAGAGUUUAUAUAAGGAUUAUGCUAAUUAUGCAAAUAUAAAAUAUUUUCUUGCAUCAUGUCGUGGAGUAUAAUAUCAUUUAAGAGAAUUAUGCUAGACACAAGCAUCAUAGAAAGUUCGCGAACUCUUUAACUUGAGACAUUUAAAAUUUUGAAAUGUGGUUGAUAAGAUAUUUAUUGUCCUAAAAAAACAUUUUUUCCUCUUAACAACAUCACUAAUAUUUUUUGUGAUUAAAAGACAUAUAAUGAUUUGAUAAUAAUUUUUGUUAUUUAUUUAGAAAUUUUUUAUCCUAUUAAUAAUUUUUACAAUAAUUAAUAUUUUUUAAAAUAUAAAUUACGUAGCCGUGUAAGUACAAUUUGUACUAUCAAACAUGACAUAGGGAAUUACGAUGUAAUUAAACUCUGUCAGUUAAACACGUAUAGCGAAUUACAUUUAAUUGCAAUUACAAAAAAAUGUAAUUACUACCCUAAUAAUUACAUUUCCAUCCAAUUCAUUGUGAUGUCCAAGCAGAUAUCUUCAUAAAAAAAUUUAUUAUUUCACAUAAAUUAUUGAUUAAAAACUAAUAAAUACAAUAAAAAGGAAAAGUCCAAACUCAUAAUAUUAAAAUGAAAAAUACUUACCAUAUAGUUGAAAAUGUAGCCAUUGUGAAAUAUAAAUAUAUAAAUAUAAUUUUAUAAUAAUAAUAAUAAUAACAUAUAAUAAUUAAUAAAAAUUUAAAAUACCCAAUUUGUUAAAAAUAAUAACAAAGAAUAGAAAGAAUAUCAAUUAAUUGAAUUUUUAAAAUACCCAAAUUACUCAGACGAUUUGGAAAUACAUAAUACGCCUAAUUUGUCCCUAAUUACUCUUAAAAGGAGUUAAAAGAAAAAGUCAGCAAUGAACUCAAACUAUUUUUUUUUUAAUUGUAUACAAGCUUGGAGGAUUAUCCGAAAAGAAAGCUAGAUAUCGAUCAAACAUUGGCAAGGAAAUAGUACAAGAAGACUAAAUUCAUGGAGACUAGGUUGAAAAAACACAUUCAUAGUUGUUCAAAUGGAUUAAUUGCCAUAUUAGUCCUUUUUAAGAUUUUAUAAUUCAAUUCUUACUUUGGUCCCUCAAAAAAUAAUAUUUUAUUUCGACUCAUUUAAUAGAAAUUUCUGACUUUGCCCUUGUAGUUAACAGAAAUAUCAGACAAAUUGAUAAAAGGGAAGCUAGUUGUAAUCAACGAGCAACAUGUGCUAAGAUCUAAUGGUCAAAGAGAAAACAAACUGAUGUAAUGACAUUUUGAAAUAUGGUAGCAUGCAUUGCUUAGAAAACAUAAGGAAUAGACUUUACUCACAUUUUGGUGGGAAGGGCAUAAUGUCUUGGAAACAUAGUUACUCUAGUGAUUACAAACUUAAUAUAAGAUAGCACUAGUAAGCUAUUGUUGUUGUUAUCACGCGUAGGUUGUGCUAAAGUUUUGUGCAGCUGAUCCGUGAAUAGUUGCAUUUGCCCUUCCAAGUUACAACCAUUAUUGAUGUUACCCCUUUAUGUGGUUUAUUUUGUUAGCUCUUAGAGGAAAAUUACAUGUACAUGUUUAAGUUUGGCGUUAAGACCAUAUGUUUGUGUAUAAGAUUUUACUAAGAUUACUUUAGUGUGAUACCUCUGUUUUUGUUAGAAUGUAUGGUGUUAGAAUUAAGUGACCCAAAUCCUUAUUUAAAUAAAAUAAAGUCGUAAAAUAAAAUAAAAGUAAAAUCCAUAUAGAACUACAAUUCUUUUAUUUUAUUUUAGAAUAAGGUUUUUUAAACAUUAUUAAACUCUAUCUAUUUGAUAUUGAUUAGAAUAAGGUGUUUCAAUCUUACUACACUCUUAUUAGAAUAUAGUUUUACAAGUCUAUAAAUAGACAUAAUCUACUCCUCUUGUAAUCAUUCGAAUUCGACAUAGUGAAUUUUCUUCUCCUCUGCUUGUGGUUUUUUUCUCGAAAGGGUUUCUACAUAAAAAUAUGUAUGUUAUUUAUUUUUAUUUCUUUUUUUCUUUGCGAUAUAUUGUCAUUACCGACAUUCUAUUAUUUUUACAAAUUGGUAUCAGAGCUUUUCAGUUAUUCAUCUCAAUCACGGUAAUGGCGUUUUUGAAGUAUGAAAUUUUGCUGUUGGAUCGCAACACCAGAUUUGCGUUGUGGCAGAUUAAGAUGCAAGCAGUUCUUGCGCAAAUGGAUCUAGAGGAUGCGCUGCUAGGGAUAAAUAAGAUGCCUUCGACAUUAACAGAUGAAUAGAAGAAGCGUAAGGAUUGAAAGGCAUUAACAUAAUUACAGCUGCAUUUGUCUAACGAAAUUUUACAGGAUGUAAUGAAAGAGAAGACCGUCGCUGCAUUAUGGAAGAGGCUGGAACAAAUAUGCAUGUCGAAAACUCUAACCAACAAGUUGCAUAUGAAGCAUCACAUUCAUGCUCAUUGUUUGGAGGAAAGUGCGUAUGUGCACGAGCAUUUAACAGUGUUUAAAGAAAUUCUCUCAAACUUGGAGGCUAUGGAGGUUCAGAAUGAUAAGCAAGAUCUAGGGUUGAUUCUACUUUGUUUGUUGCCCCCGUCUUAUUCAACCUUUAGAGACACAAUUUUAUAUAGCCGCAAGUCUCUCACAGUUGAUAAGGUUUAUGAUUCUUUGACCUCGUAUGAUAAGAUGAAGCAUCUUGUGGUUAAACCCGACUCUUAAAGAGAGGGUCUCAUUGUUCAUGGGAAACAAGAUCAGAAUGCUGAUGAUGAUCGUGAAAGGACAUAGGAACGGAAUCCUCACGGUAAAUUUAUGGGUAGAUCGAAAUCUUCAAACAGAGGUAAAACUUGUAACUUUUGCAAUAAAAAAGAACACAUUAAAUCUGAGUGCUAGAAGUUGCAGAACAAGAUCAAAAGUAAGGUUGCGAAUCAAAAGGGAAAACAACCAGAAAAAUCUGAUAAAGUUGAUGUUGUAUAAGACUACAACGAUGAUGAACUUCUAGUUGCUUCUAUCAACAGAUCUAAAGUGAGCAAAAAGUAGAUCCUUAAUUCGGGCUGCACCUUCCACAUGAGUCUCAAUCGGGAUUAGUUUACAACUUAUGAAACAGUGUCUGAAGGUGUUAUUUUGAUGGGAAAUAAUAUUUCGUGUAAAAUUACAGGUGUUGGAACGAUUAAAGUUAAAAUUCUUGACGGAGUUAUCAGAACAUUUAGUGGCGUGUGACAUGUUUCAGAAUUGAAGAGAAAUUUAAUUUUGUUAAGUACUAUUGAUUCAAAAGGGUACAUAUACACAGUGAAAAGCAGGGUUUUGAAAACUUCCAAAGGUUCCCUUGUUGUGAUGAAAGGGCAGAGAAAGACUGUCAAGUUAUAUGUUUUGCAGGGUUCUAUUGUUACUGGUGAACAACUGUUGCUUCCUCUUCCUUUUCAGAUGAUGAUAUUACUAAACUUUAGCAUAUGCACCUAGGGCAUAUGUGUAACAGCCCGAUUUUGGGCCUAGUCGGAACAAUGGUUUCGGGACCACAAAUUUGAAGAGGAAAAAUAUUAUUGUCAUUAUAUUUUUAUGGUCUAAAAUUUCACAGAAAAAAUUUUUAAAAAUUUCGUUCGAAAAUUUCGACGUUUGGGCACUCAAUUUAGUCAAAAGGACUAAAUUGUAAAAAGUGCAAAAGUUGAGUUCUACAUGUUAGAAGUGUCUAAUUGUUAUGAAAUUAUAAAUUGGGGGUCCUUAUAUGACAAUUAUACCAUUAGUUAAUUGAUGGACAAAAAUAGACAUAAGAAAUGGGUGAAAUAGAUUUUUUUAAAUGGGGGCAUUUUAGUCAUUUAGUAAUAAAAAGAAUUAAAAAGGGAAAAAGAUGGUAAAAUGUGCUCAUCUUCUUCACGGUGAACGAAAUCAGCAAGGGGGAAGCCAUAGUUAGGGUUUUUAAGCUUUCAAGCUCAAUAGUAAGUGACUCCAAGCCCCGUUUUUAAUGUUCUUUACGUUUUCGGAGUCUUUGUAACUUAAUUUAGCUUAUUCUAGCAAUAAUUUAACCUAGGGUUUAUAUUUGGAAAAAUACACAUAGGUGAAAAGUGUUUAUUUUGUUGUUUUAUGGUAGAAUAUAAAGCUAGAAAUUAUGUUAAACAACUUUUGCUAAGCGAUUUUAAACGAAAACGGGUAAAUUGACAUAAUCGGUAAAAAUACCUAAUGUUCAAAAGUGUGUGUUAGAGUGGGAAUUUGAUGUUUCCAUAGAAGGGGAAAAUGUUCAGCAUGUCAUAAAACAUAAGAAUAAGAGAUGAAGUUUAAUUUCCGAGCUUGGGGACAAAAGUGUAAAUAUGCAAAAGUUAAGGGGCAAAUUGUAAUUUUUCAAAAAUUUGGGCGGAGGGCUAUUUUAAUAAAUUUUAACAUUAAAUGAGUUAAAUUUUCUAUUAUAGAUCAAGAAAAACGAGAAGACUACCUCAAACGGGGAAAAGAGAAAAUAGUGGAGUAAAUUGCAAAAUUACGAUAUUUUGCACCGAGGUAAGUAAACAUGUGAUUUAAUGCAUUAUUUUGAUAUUAUUCAAUAUAUGUUGAGAUUUAAUAGAGCAUAGAAUAAAUAUUUGUCAAUAUCCUAAAAAUGUGGUUAAGUUGGGAAAGGUGGUAAAGUGUUGAAAACACGGUUUCCGGUUGAACACUCGAAAUAAGCCGGAGUACAUUGAAUACGAAGGAGGUUGCUAAGUGCUGAUUCCCCCAAGGGGUUGCUAAGUGCUGAUUCCCCCAAGGGGUUGCUAAGUACCGAUUCCCCGACUCAUUGGUGGUUGCUAAGUGCUGAUCCCACCGUAUCUUAAAUGUGAAAUGGGCUGCUAAGUGCUGAUUCCCCGAAUUACUGGUGGUUGCUAAGUGCUGAUCCUACCGUAUCUUAAAUGUGAAGGGGUUGCUAAGUGCUGAAUCCAUCGAUAACGGAUAAUAUUCCGAGUGUUCAACAGGAAAAUUAGAAAGGUGAAUAUAUAUAUAUAGAUGGUGGAUAAGAUUAUAUGAGCAAUAUUGGGUUUGAUACUUAAUCAACCCAUGUGUGAGAUGGAAGGAAAUAUCAAAAUUACAAAAGAGCAAAUUUAAAUGUAAAACUGUUUUGAACAACAACAAUUGGGAAAAUUUGAAAAAUCACCAUAAAUGGUGGAAAAUGAAUCAGAUGUUGAGUAAUAUAUGAAAUUUAAGCUGAAUGAGUCUAUUUUCAUAUGAAAAAAAAAGGGCAAGCAAAAGAGUUGUAUAUUUGGGGAUAUUUGAAUUUUAUUGAGACAGGGCUGGAUUGAUUCCGAAAUCCCCUGUUCCAAAUUUGGAAAAUCACCAAAAACUGUACAAAAAUAAUUAUGGCUUGAAAUUUACAUGCUUGAAUUUCUUAAUGAGUCUAUUUUUAAGAUAAAUAAACGAGAACAUUUUUUGAAUUUUGUACAGAGAGUUAAGUAAAUUUUAGUUAGGAUAUGUUAGAACUAUCGAGCAGUGAAACAGGGGAAUCUUUACAGAAUAAACUGUACUAAUUGGCUAAACCAAAAAUUCUAAUAAUUUUAUGGUGGAAAGGUAUAUGAGUCUAGUUUUGGGAAAAAUUUACAGAACUUCAUUUGGAGCCCUGUAGUUCUAGAUAAAAAUAAAUUGGUGACAGUGACGCAGAAAAAUAGUUUGCUGGAAAUUGAACAACCAUUGAAAUUUAUGUGUGAUAAAAAUUAUGUUACUUUGUAAUCUUGUGAGAAAUUUAUUUAUUUGUCAUAUGUUUACUUACUAAGCUAUAUGCUUACUCGUUUUUAUUUUCCCCUGAUUAUAGUGACAUCAGCCAGUUCGGAACUUGGACGAAGUCAGGAUAUCAUCCACACUGUCAUCAACUUUUUGGGUAUUUUGGCAAUCAACACUUUUGAAACAUGGCAUGUAUAGAUGACUUUAUGUAAUGUUGUAUAAAAACGUAUACAUAGUAUUGUUCGGUUUAAUAAGUAGAUGAUUAUUAAUGAAUAAAUUAUGUCUGAAUAUAUAACUAUAAUUGGUUGGAAAUAUUGAAGUUGGUUGAAAUUGUCUUUGAAAAUCUGUAGGGGUUUUUAUGUAAAAAUAAGCAGAAAUGCUGCCGAAAUUUUUAUAAAAAAAUUAUAAGUGUUUGAGUUCUAGUAAUACCUCAUACUCUGUUUCGGUAAGGAACACGGGUAAGGGGUGUUACAAUAUGAGUGAGAAUGAAAUGAAAGAAUUGAGCAAAAAAGGACUUAUUGAUUGGCAAGGAAUUUGCAAACUAAAGUUUUGUAAGUACUGUGUUUUUGGGAAGCAAAAGAGAGUUCGAUUCACCAGAGGGAUCCAUAACACGUAGGGAACAUUAGAGUAUAUUCAUUUUAAUCUGUGGGGCCCAUCUAGAGUGCCUUCGAGAUGCGGAGCUAAUUAUAUGCUAACUUUUAUUGAUGAUUUUUUCAGAAAAGUUUCGGCAUAAUUCUUGAAGCUGAAAAGCGAUGUGUUUUCUGCAUUUAAGUCUUGAAAAACUAUGAUUGAAAAAUAGAUGGGAAAACAAAUAAAAUACCUCCACACAAACAAUGGCUUAGAGUUUUGUUUUGAGGAGUUUAAUAAACUGUGCAAGUUAAAAAAGAUCGUGAGACAUUUGACAGUUCAUCGUACUUCACAGCAAAACAGCGUUGCAAAAUAAAUGAACAGAACGAUCAUAGAGAAGGUUCGAUGUCUGUUUUCAAAUGCCAACUUUCUAAAGUCGUUUUGGGCCGAAGCAACCUCUACUGCAUUUUUUUUUAUCAAUCGAUCUUCAUUCGUUGCCAUUGAGAAAAAGACUCCACAAAAGGUAUGGUCUGGUAAUCUUGCUGACUAUUCUGAUUUAAAGAUCUUUAGAAGUCUUGCGUAUGCUCAUGUUGAUAAUGGAAAAUUGGAACCGAGAUACAUCAAAUCUGUUUUUCUUGCUUGUAAAGCUUAUGUAAAAGGGUAUAAGUUAUGGUGUACUGAAAAUAGAAAAGAUAUGACUAUCAGAUAUGUUGUUUUUGGUGAAACUGCUAUGCUACCUAACUUAUUUCUUAAAGACUUUUCCAAUAAAGAAAAUCAAAAGCAAGUGGUGCAUCAGAUUAAUCUAGAAUCUAAAACAGAGUCAACUCCUCAAGUCAGUUCAAAAAUUCAGAAUAGAGUUGCUUCUUCACCACAGUACUCUAUCGCCAAAAACAAAACUAGAAGAGAAAUUAAACCUGCAAAGAAGUAUGUCGAGACUAAUAUAGUUGCUUAUACUUUAAAUGUGGUUGAAGAUAGAUGCAAACCAAUAGCCAUCUAAUUAUUCUGAGGCGGUUAGCUGUGAAUACUCAAAAAAGUCGAUGUUUGCUAUUCAAAAGGAGAUGAAAUCACUCCACAAAAACAGAACAUAUGAUCUUGUGAAACUUCCUAAAGGUAAAAAUAUUUUUCGUUGUAAAUGGGUGUUUAAAAAGAAAGAAUGGACUGAAGGAGUUGAAGAACCCAGAUAUAAAGCAAGGCUUGUUGCAAAGGCUUACAGUCAAAUUCCAAGAGUGGACUUCACAAAUGUGUUCUUACCAGUUGUGAAGCAUGAUUCGAUUUGAGCUUUGUUUGGUAUUGUUGCCAUGCAUGAUUUGGAGCUUAAGUAGUUAGAUGUAAAAACUGCAUUUUUGUAUAGAGAACUUGAGGAGGAUAUUUACAUGUAACAACUAGAGGGUUUUACAGUCUUAAAAAAAGAGGACUAUGUUUGCUUGCUGACAAAGUCCUUUUACGGUUUGAAACAGUCAUCAAGACAAUGGUACAAGAGGUUUGAUUCCUUUAUGACUUCUCAUGAUUUCAAAAGAAGUAUCCUUAACAGUUGUGUUUACUUUAAGAAAAAUAGUGAUGGUUCUUUUGCGUAUCUACUCAUUUAUGUUGAUGACAUGUUGAUAGCAGCGAAAGAUAAAUGAGAGAUAAAAAAAGGUUAAAGCCCAACUAAAUGAAGAAUUUGAGAUGAAAGAUUUGGGACCAACAAAAAAGAUACUUGGUAUGGAGAUUUUCAGAGAUUGAAAAGCAAGUAAAUUAUACCUAAGUCAGAAGGGGUACAUUGAGAAAGUUCUUUGCAGGUUCAAUAUGCAGAGUGCUAAGCCUGUUAGUACUCAUUUAACAGCCAAUUUUAGACUUUCAUCGGCUUUAUCUCUACAAUCAGAUGAUGAGAUUGAGUACAUGUCACAUGUUCCAUACUCUAAUGUAGUGAGAUCUCUCAUGUAUGCUGUGGUUUGUUCACGUCCAGAUUUAUCAUAUGCAGUCAGUGUAGUUAGCAAAUAUAUGGCGAAUCCCAGUAAAGAACAUUGGAAAAUAGUUCAGUGAAUUUUAAGAUACUUACGAGGUACUACUGAUGUUUGCUUACAGUUUGGAAGAACUAGAAAUUGAGUCAUUGGGUAUGUUGAUGCUGAUUUUCCUGGAGACCUUGAUAGAAUAAGAUCUCUCACAGGUUAUGUCUUUACAAUUGGAGGUUGUGCAAUCAGUUAGAAAGCCACUUUGCAAACUACAGUUGCUUUGUCUACCACUGAAGCUGAGUACAUGACGAUUACUGAGGCUUGUAAAGAAGCUAUUUGGUUGAAGGGACUCUUUAGGAACUCAAUGAAGACCUUCAAAUUAGUACAGUAUUUUGUGACAGUCAGAGUGCCAUCUUCCUUACAAAAGAUCAAAUUUUUCAUGAGAGAACAAAACACAUUGAUGUUCGGUAUAAUUUUAUUUGUGAUAUUAUUGCUCGUGGUGAUAUUGUUGUGAGCAAAAUUAGUACUUAUGAAAAUCCUGCAGAUAUGAUGACUAAGUCACUUCCUAUAACUAAGUUUGAGUGUUGCUUAGACUUGGUUGGUGUUAAUUGUUGAAGUUAAACCCUUAAAUGGUUUUAUGAAAGAGGUGGAGAACUUGUUCGUUAAGAGUUUGCGAAGAAGAACUUGUUCAUUGAUAAUUCGUGUCAAUGUGGGUAUUGUUAGAAUUAAGUGACCCGAAUCCUUAUUUAAAUAAAAUACAGUGGUAAAAUAAAACAAAAGUAAAAUCUAUAUAGAACUACAUUUCUUUUAUUUUAUUUUAGAAUAAGAUUUUUUAAAACUUAUUAAAGUCCAUCUAUUUGAUAUUUAUUAGAAUAAGGUGUUUCAACCUGACUACACUCCUAUUAGAAUAUGGUUUUACAAGCCUAUAAAUAAACAUAGUCUACUCCUCUUGUAAUCAUUCAAAUUUGACAUAGUAAAUUUUCUUCUCCUCUGCCUGUGAUUUUUUUUCGAAAGGAUUUCCACGUAAAAAUCUGUGUUUUCUUUAUUUUUAUUUCUUUUCUUCUUUGCGAUAUAUUGUCAUUACCGACAUUCUAUUAUGUUUACAUAUGAUUAUUUGUAAAGUGAAGUUAGUAUGCUAAAUAGUAAAUGAUAAACUUGAUAUGUGACAGAUUGUUCCUGGAACUGAAUAGGCCUUUUGUUUGAUUGUGGAUUGAGUAAAUGAGUUACCUUUUAAAGAGACCUCCUUAUGUAGUUGAUUGUUCCUAAGAUUCAAAGGGUUUUCUUAAAAGAUAGGCAACCAAGGGAAACCUGAUUGAUGCAGUACUACACUCAAGGUAUUAGAACCCAUUGCAAAGGUAUUGGUACCUUCAAACGUGGAAGCCAAAUUAGUGAAAUAGGAGAGUCAAGUCUAGAUACCUUAACCCCAAGUAUGGAUCUUGUACUUUUUAAUAUUAGAAUCUAGCUUGAGGGUAUAUAUACUUCUAAACAUAGAACCUAAAUAGGAAAAACAAGGGAAAUUGGUAUGGAUACCUUGAUACCUUCCAAUUUUAAGCAUCAAUACCGUACCUAAGGGUACCGAUGAUUCUAGCAUAAAUUGGAUAGUUUCAGAAUUUAGUUCCAAAGUGUUUAGUUUGUUCAUUUCUUUUCAACCAGUAUAGCUCUUAUUAUCGUUAGAAUAUCGUAAAGUCAAUAGUAUUACCAAGGAUGCCUCUAGUCAUCGAUUGUAGCACCACCAGAUAGAGGUCGUCGCCGAUUCGGGAUAAGGGUGUUAUAUUCGCAAUUAAGAAGCAAAAAUGGAAAUCAACUUUCAAAAUACUGUUGCACAUCUGAACAUAAAGACAAAGUCAAUGGAGAACUCUCCAUCUUAAGGAGACAUUACUGACAGCAAGUAAGCUCGACACUAAAGUAAAGCUGCUCGAAUAGGAUAAGCAAGUUAUGCAACUACUUUAAGGAAGAAAACAACAAUGGCAUUGGAAGUACGAGCUGGUGAUUGAAGACAUAAAGAAUCCAAGGCACCCUGUUCAAAUGAUGAUACAUUCACAACAUCAUUCACUUCCGAUGAAGGAAACAAAGCAGUUGGCCACUGUAGUCUCUAAGAGCUAGUUUAUGGAAAAUUGUUUUUGAAAAGUUUGGUAAUAACUGUCAAAAAAGGUUUUUGAAAAAAAUACAAUCGACGUUGAAAAGAAAUUUAGAAACCAUUCUAUCAAAUACAAUAAUGGUUAAAAUACAAACCAUUCACAAGUUUAGGCACUCUUAGAAAUAAAUUAUCAUCACAAGACAAUAUACAAACUUAAUAUAGAGCAUUUGUGCUUUGGUUAGGUUCUAACCAUACAAAUAUUAACCCAAUUUCAUAAUUGGCACUGUACAUAAUCAAAGUAAAAAAAAUAAAAAUCGGAACAACGAAAUUUUCCAAGAAAAAUAAUAUUUGUUUUAGAAGAGAGAAGAAAACCCAAGUUCUAAAUGAGUAAUGUUGCAUCAGAACUUUAAAAAUAAGUUGAAAGAGAGUGAGACUCUUUUUUUUCUCCUCAAAAUUACCAUAUUAUAAUUUGGAAAUCAAACUGGCAAGGACCAUGAAUCUUUGCUUCAAAAAUCUAGACACAAAAUGGAUAAAACAAAAGGAACGAAAAUCGCAGCACAGAUAACUUAAAUUGUCUAGCUUACUUAUUGACAUAGAUCUUCAAGGCUUGUCUGUUCCUCUUCUUGACACCAGACUUGGCAACUUUCAGACUCCUAUGCACAACACUCAGCCUUGCAAGGGCUGCUUUGGUUAGAUGGGAGGAGGCUGACGAGAGACGAGAGGGUCUGAGUUAGAGUGACUUGAUACACUCUGAAAGAUGGGCAGAUUGAGUAAGCUGGAGGCGCAACGGCCAACAGACGAUUUUUUUAGAGUUCAGAAAAGGGAGAAACGAGAAAGAAAUCGAUGGAGGCAGGUUAGUAAGAGGGGUUUUGAGUAUGUGCGCGCGCGCGCGUGCAUGCGUGUUUUAGGGAUUAGAUUUAUUUAUUUUUAUUUUUUAAAUUGUAUAAUAUUUGGUAAAUUGUAUUAAAUGGGCUUCGCGCGCACAUGCGUGUUUUAGGGAUUAGAUUUAUUUAUUUUUAUUUUUUAAAUUGUAUAAUAUUUGGUAAAUUGUAUUAAAUGGGCUUGGGUUGUGUUUUCUAUUUAGAUUUGGAUAUAUGAUAAUGUUUAUUUUUGGGUUUGGACUUGGUUGGGUAAUAUAAUAGAUUUGAGUUUGGUAUAUAUAUAUAUUAUAAAUUAAAGUCGGUUUUGUCAGUUAAAAUAUUUUCAAAUUCAAAGCCGUAAUCGAUUAUUAUAAUUAAAUUAUCGGUUUGAUCAAUUUCACUCUUAUUUUUUAUAUUUUAUUCUCUUAAAUUUUAUUUAGCUGAUUUUAAAUCAUAUUCUCUUCUACAGCAAACUUAAUUCAACAAUGGGAUAAAUCAUUAAAAUCUUUAAAAUUGCAUUUAUCCCUUUUUUUUAUUAGAUCGAUGCACUUAAAUUACUUUAAACUAAAAUUUAACUAAUAUUUAUAUAGUUAAAAUAAUAUUAUAAUAUAAAUUUAUUUUAUAAUGUGAUAUAAUUAUAUUUUUUUACAUAUCAUAUUAUCAAUUGUUGUAUAUAAGUCAAAAAAAAAAAUUUAUUGCAUACAAGUAUGUAAGGGAGGGCAAGAUAGAUUUUUUCUUUUGGAUGAUAGGUAAGGAGUGGUCAUGGUAAUUGCUUGUCCAGCCUUGUCCACUACAUAAAAAUGACCAUUUUAUUUUUUGUAUAUAUAACUAUUAAAGUGGCUAAAAAGGUAAUAAUGUAGUAUAAAAAAAUUAAUAUAUUUUGUGUUAAAAUAUUUUUCUAAAUAAUUAUGUAUAAAUAAUUAUUAAUUUUAAAAAUAUUGUAAAUAUUAAAGAUAAGUAAUAAAAAUUAAAUUAAAAUAAAGCAAGGUAGGGCAAUGAUGGAUGCAUUUGACAUCUACGAAGGCGAUAACUAUUUUCAAGAUUACACAUCCAUAGUGAAAUAAGGCAGGUGGUAGAGCAUAAUGUGUCAACUCUGGAGCAGUGGUGGAUUUUUUCAUAAUUUUUAUGAUUUUUUCAACUUUAGAGCAUAUCUUAACUCAUAUAUCUUUUUCAGUAGUUUCAAUUGUAAUUACAAUUCAUUUUUUAACCUUAUUCUUAUUAGUAGAUGAAGUCGUAGGACUAUAUGAUUCAUUAGAAAAGGGCAUGAUAGUCACAUUUUUCUGUAUAACAGGAUUAUUUGUCACUCGUUGAAUUUAUUCAAGACAUUUCCCAUUAAGUGAUUUAUAUGAAUCAUUAAUCUUUCUUUCAUGGGGUUUCUCCCUUAUUCAUAUGGCUUCCUAUUUAAAAUUUAAAAAGCGCAAAAAUAAUUUAAGUGCAAUAACCACACCAAGUGCUAUUUUUACCCAAGGCAUUGCCACUUCGAGUCUUUUAACCAAAAUGCAUCAAUUCGUAAUAUUAGCACCUGCUCUCCAAUUCUAGUGGUUACUGAUGCACGUAAGUAUGAUGGUAUUAGGCUAUGCAGCUCUUUUAUGUGGAUCAUUAUUAUCAGUAGCUUUUCUAGUCAUUACAUUUCAAAAGGCCAUAAAGAUUAUUGGUGAAAACAAUCCAUUGUCAUAUCCAUAAAUAAGUAAUUUAUAGAUGUAUAAUACUUACUAUACAAUACUGAAAUUAUAAUGUGCAUUCUUUUAUAAAUGAUAUGGAGCCUAAAUAUUAAUGGGUAGUUGAUUUUAUGAUUAUUCAUAAUAUAUACAAUUAUGAAAUUAAAAUGUAUAUUUUUUAUAUUAACGGUAGGUAGUGUUAAACUCUAAACAUGCAAUACAUACAUUUUGUUUAGAAUUCUUAUAGUUAAAUUGUUAGGUUUAAUUUGUUUGAGUAGUUAAUUGACUACUUUUAUUAAUUCACAUUUAUUUAUUAUUAAUUAUAAAUAAAUUUUAUUUGAAAUUAAUUUUUUGUUUAAUUUAUAGUAUUUUGCAAAUACAAAUUCCGAUAUUUACAAAUUUAACAUAAAAAUAUUAAAUUUAAUUAUUUAUAAAUUUGAAAAUAAUACUCAAAUCAAAGUUUUAAAUGAAAUUCGGACAUAGAUUCAAACUUGCUGUGGUUACUACUGUUCCACCGCAAAUAUCUAAAGAGCUUCCUACAAUGCGAUCGUACAAAAAAAAACAUGUUGAACGUGUCGAAAAGCGGGUUGAGGAGAAUCCAAAUGAGAACUGUAUGUUUCAAAAUUUGGUGAAGGGUGAGGCAGGUAAUGACGAUAAGAUAAGAUAGGGGCCGGGGACUAGUAAAUAUCGUGGGGCUCGGUUGUUCACCAGUUUUCGAAGGCAUGUGAAAGUGUGAUUAUCAAAACAGGGAAUCUAAUGUGGCCGGUUCCCGAGACUCUUUCAUGAUAAAGGCAAAGGCAAGGGAGCAGCCUCUUUAUUUAUUUUGCUUUAAAUUUUUUUUAUGGAAAGGGCAAGGAAAACAGCAAAUACAGCUCACUUCCCGACCCACCACCAAACCAUCAUCAUUUAUUUAUUUGAUCAAAACCCUAGGCCGCUAUUAGUAUUUAACCCUUGGCUACCACCAUCUUCUUUUUAUUAUUGAAGGUAACCAAAGGCCUCGGUAGGUAGGGUUGUUUACUCUUGGGGGUCUCCUUGGUUCACACCAGGAGCGUCUCCGAGGCUUCAAGUUUUGGGUUUUAAGAUCUACUUAGCACUCAGACCAUCUUGUAGGUGAAGUCGGGUUAAAGUAUGGUCUGGCUUUUGCUUUAAAGGGUCUUGGAUCUGUUCCGAGUUUUUUGUAUUUUAGUCUAGUUUCAUGGAUUUGCUUUUGUGAUGGAAAAAAAUGUUUGGCUUUUUUCUCUAGUGGGGUUGAGAGAUCACAUCUUCUCAUCUUAACUAAAGAUUGAUCGUUUACUCAAAUAGUUGUGUACUUUCGGUUUUCCAGUUUAUAGGGGAAAAGAAAAGAUGUGUUUUGCUUUUGCUUUUAAUCUUGCUUCUGUAUUUUCUUCCCGUUUAUGGUAAGUUGUCUAGGGUUAGGGUAAGUGUUUGUUUAAAGUGGUCAGGUUUUAGUGAAUAAAUAUGGCUAUUAGGAAGAAGAAAAAGAAGAAAAUCAGCCCAAGUAUUUAGAUGUAAUCCAAAGUAAGAAGGUGGGGGGUUAGGAAUGGAGCUCCUUGAAGUCCAAUAGAGUUUCUUGCUGGGUAUAUUGAGCUGCUUGGCUAUGGAUCCCACAGUCCUAUCCCAUGUUGGGAGGGAUAGGCUUGCGGCUUCCAUAUCUCAGGAGCUUCAUUACCUUUAAAGUUAGAUCCUUGUUUGGAUUGAAGGGAGCUCUACAUCUUUCUCCUUUCUCACUUCAUCGUCUAGCCAAAGAUUGAUGUGAUCUUAUAAUGCUACACUUUUAUCUUCUUUUGUUGCUGUUGACUCUUUUUCUUUUUCAUGGAUCUGUGAAGUUUAGGGUUUGAUUGUAAAUUAUUUUGCCUUGUGGGGUUUAUUGUGAAUUAAUAGUUGCAUACUGUUGUGAAUGGUUGGAUGGAUCUUGAAUUUCUUGUUACCUCUUUUGGUUUCCAUUAUUAAUUUUGGCAGAGCGUUGCUGAGACUGCAGAUGUUUACACAGGAUAAAGGAAGUGAAAGCCAAAACGAGAUGUCAGAAAGUAAAUCUUGUGGUCAUUUUCUUAGAUUCUGCUGCUGCUGCUGCGCUGUUUUCAAAAUUCAUUUUUAAUGUAAUAAUAAAAUAAAAGACAUGAAUUAUUGAACCUUUCCAUUUUCUUUUAAAUCUUGAAGGUAUCCUGUCUUCUUUUUUGUUAUGCAUAGGUUUAUCUUGUCCAGGUGGUGGAUUUGUAAAGUUGUGUUAAUUUGCAUGACAGGGAUAAUUUUAAUUAUCUUAAGACAUUAUUGAUCUUGGUCGAGGCUGGGCACCUAAACAAGAAAAAGAUAAGAGGAAAUUAGGUUUAAGUUGUGGAACUGAAGCUUUUGAGAUAUAGGGUUGGCCGGUUAGGGCAAAAGUUAUGGAUGUCGUUUUCACGUUUAUUUUACAAUAUUAUGUAUUUUUAGAAGUUAUUGUUACGUCUGUGUUUGGGUUUUGUUCUGAUUCAUACAAAAAGUUAAUUGUUAUAUUAUUUUUAUAACAUCAAUUUAUAUUUACCAAAAAAAAAUAUUUAUUUAUUUGGCUGUUAUUAUUUUUAUUUUUAAAUGAUAUUUUAGUAAAAAUUAAAAUAUUAUUUAUGAUAUGAUGUAAAAAAAAGAAAUGAUUUAUAUAAUGCUAAUGUUGGAGACAAUAAAUAUUAUGCUAUUUUGAUUUUAAAUAAUAUUUCUUGUUUUAUAAAGGAAAUAAGUUUUUGGUGAUUUUAUAAUAUUUAUUGUUUUAUAGAUUUUUUAUCAUAUUUUUUAAUCAUUUUAUGUUAUUGAUAUAAUUAUGGUAAUUUUGUUUAUUUUAAAACUUGAAUUUCAAAUCUAAAACCCCCAAAUUUGAAUUUUGAAUUUUAAAUUUUGAACCUUGAAUUUAAGUUUUGAGUUUUUAGUUUGAGAUUUAGGAUGAGUUUGGAGUUCAAAGUUUAGAGUUCGGUUUAAAGGUUGAUGUUCGGGUUUUGGAUAAAAAAAUUAUUAAAAUGUUAUUAAAUAAUUAAAAAAUGAGAAUAGAUUAUAUGAUUAAAAAAUCCAUAAAAUAAUUUUUACUCGUAAUUUAUUUUAUUAGCAACAAUGCAUAAUAUUAUUUAUCGUUGGUAUAUGAUGUAAAAUUAUAUGGUUGAUGAUACAUUAAAUACAAAUUUUGUAUAUUUUAUGCUUAUAAACAAAAUUUAUUUUGUUUCUGAAAUUGGAAAGAAAUGAAAGCACUUAUUUAUUAUUUAUUGGAACGAGUAAAAGGGAAAAUUUUCAAAAUAUGCUUUCUUAGCAUUAAGUCAACAGUAACGAUCGUCGAGUUUUAUGGGUUGCCAAAUCAAUAAAUUUAUCGGUACACAGAAGUUUGGCAUGUUAGUAAGGAAGUACAUGAUAUCAUGCAUCAUAACUUAAUAACGUAAAAUUGUUAAGUUUAGGGUUAUAAAUUUUGACAAAUUUAUGAUGCAUAUAUGGUUCAAAUAAUUGUGAUUAAUAUGAUAGAAGUCGAUUCUAAUAAAUGUCAAUUUUCAUUCUAUAAAUAUCUCUUUUAUUCAUUUUUUUUUCUCAUCCACAUUCUUCAAAUACUCUCAUAGUUAUUAUGUCCUGAAUAUGAUAAAAUUUCGAGUUUACGUUUUUACUGUAAUUAUCUUUUUUUUUUUUCAGAUUUUUGAAGUAGUAAAAUAAGUAGUUUGUGAUUUUGAAACAAUUGGUAAAUUGAACUCACCUGUUUGAUAAAACUUAAAGUCAUAAAGCAAUGCUUGAAGGAUGUUGAUUUGUACGGGGUCUCUAAAAUGGAAAAGUUUAAUAUCAUUCAUGAAUUGGUCGCUUCCCUAGUUGAAAAGUGGAGGUCGAAAGCUUUUUACCUUUCAAUUGCUUUGAAACAAAACAAUUAUCAGUUUGAAAGAUGUUGUAUUAAUAAAUAUAUGCAUAAAUAACAAAUAAGUUCUAUAUAUAUAGAUAUUUAUAAUAAUAAAUUAAAAAAAUUUAUUAGUAAAAUACAUAAUGUGGAACAACGUGUAGCAGUUAUGGAUAUAAUUUACUCCUAUUAAUGUGGUAUUUUUAGCAUCCAUACAAUCAUAGAGCAAUAAUAGAUAAGGCAAUCUUCAUUCCUACUUACUUCGUUGUGAUCUGUAGUAAAAUUGUCAAUUUAGCUAAACCCUUUUAAAAAGUUAAAUUUCACUGUUGAAAAAUGAAUAAUGUUUUAAAAUUUUAUCUUAUAAGAAUAUUUUAUAAUCAAAUUUAAAAUUUAAAAAAUAUUUUUAUUAUUUAGAUCGAAUCUAGUGGGAUGCUUGGCCCUGAAUAGAUUUAGCUGGCACCACUCACUUUCAAUCAUCUUUGAUCUCCAUGCUCUUUCCUCUCUUUUAUUCUAUUUAUCUUAUCUAUCUUCAAUUUGUAAAUUUGUUUUGUGGGUAUCUUUAGUAAGAUAUAUCUUGUGACAUCUUUAUUAUCUUUGUGGGCUACGAUGGAUAGACGUUGGUGCUUACUGUCGAUGAACCUCCACUUGCCAUUAGCAACACUUUACCGUAAAUAUUCUUCCUAUUGUAUGGGCCAUGUAUAUGUUAAUUUUCCUUUUAAAAAAUAAAAAUUUAGUUGCAAAAUCAAUUAAACAAAAGUGUAAUGAAUAUUCCUAAAGCUGUGCAGAAUAUUCUCCUGUCCCUACUACUCUUCGUGGCCCAACCAAAAUUUGAUUCGCUGUGGAAUUUCUUGAGGAAUUUGCAAAAGGCAGAAAGAAUUAUAAAUAUAAAACACGAUUAUAAUAUUAAAAAAUAACUUAGAUGAAGUUGAAAUAUUUUUAUGCUCAUUGCUUUGCAUUCUUGAUACAUUUUGUGUUAUUCAUUCCUGUGGAUGACUAACUGAUUAAGGCCCGUUUAAGGCUCAUAAAGCCCAACCUACAAUAAAAGUUUGGUAUCACGGAAAUGGAGGUAGGUUGGGUCAUUGCUCAUUGGUCAAUCUUUUGGUAGGUGAACUUUGAUCCUCCAUCUUAACUAAUUCCUGCAAGUAACUCAGAAGAAGGAAACCAACGAAACCCAGUUUCCAUUUUUGUUUUUUAUUUUUUGGGAGAAUUUAGAAAAAAGAAGAAAAAUAAUAUUCUCUUAACAUGGGUAUUUACUCGACCGUGAUGGAGGCGGUGACGGAGGCGACAGGGUUAUCCCCGACGGCGUUCUUCACAAUCCUGGCAAUGAUGGUGGUUGUGUACAAGAUAGUGUGCGGCAUGUUUUUGGGUCCCGAAGAUUUUCGUCAAAAGCCUCAAAAAGAGCCAAUUCAGGUCGGAGAUAUUACGGAAUCAGAGUUAAGAGCUUACGAUGGUUCGGACCCCAAAAAGCCUCUCCUAAUUGCCAUCAAAGGCCAGAUCUACGACGUCUCUUCCUCCAAGUAAUAUACAACAUUCCAUAUCGAUUGAAUUCACGUAAAUGAUCAAGCUUUUACAAAUAGGUUUUUAUUGUUUUUGCUGUUUGCGUAUGAUUUGACAAUUGAUCUCACUUUUUGUUUGGUUUGUGAGGGUGUUUUAUGGGUGUGGAGGGGCUUAUUCGAUGUUUACAGGGAGGGAUGCGAGCAGGGCAUUGGCGAUGUUGUCGUUUAAACCUGAGGACCUGACGGGGAACCUCGAAGGCUUGAGUGCUGAGGAGCUUAGUGUGCUGGAGGAUUGGGAAUGUAAGUUCCUGGACAAGUAUCCCAUUGUUGGACGGGUUGUUCAACCAUCAAAUACCUCUCAAAAUGGAGAUGGACUUCACAUUCACCACAAUGAUACAAACGGACAUCAACAAGAACAAACCAAGGAUGAUUGAUUCCAAGCUUCAAAAAUGUCCUGCUGUACCAAUUUGUGGAAUUAUGCUUUUAGGUUCCACUAGUUUUGGGAAUGGAUAGACGAGGAAAUAUUUAUGUAAUUAAUGUUCUUUUUUUCUGCCGACCAGGCAUUACUAUUCUUGGAAAAUACCAAAAAAGAAACUUCCCAUAAUCCGUGGAAUGCCUUGAAAGAAACAACUAUUUAUACACAGCCUGGGUGCCUGACUACACAAAAAGAUGGAUGCCAUUGCUAACCAAAUACAGUCCUAUUCUUGUAAAGAUAACAACUGUGGAAUUGAGCUACCACAACUGCCAAAAUCCCUCUAAUUCUCUGACAAAAAGUUUCAACCAAAACAGAGUUAACCAGAUAAAAAAGAAAAUGUCAUUAAAGAUCAUCAUCACCUACUUGAGCAGUAUCCACUUUCCUCCGCUUGCUAGUUCUUUCUUCUUCACAAUUAGGUAGAGCAUUCUCUAAGUCAUCUUUCGGAUCAACAUUUUCAGUUUUCUUGCCAGUUUUUUCGUCACUGGAACCUAGGUCUGUACUUUCCUCCAAGCCAUUCAUGGGUUCCUCCUCAGCAGGCUCCUCAUUCUCCUCGCUCUUUUGUUUCAGUGACUCAAUCACAUCCAUCAAUUCCCGGUUGACCUGAUAUAUCGUUUUCAUAAAAUAUUCGUGUUAUCAGAAAAAUCGUGCUGAAAUAAAGUUAAACCGUGUGAUUGUGAACCAGAUCACUAACUGAAGGGAAAAAAAGGUCCUGUAUCUCAUAAUCUAUUUUUCAAGCCUUUCUAGAGUUGAACUUCCUUGUUCCCCUUAAAAUGCGUUCUGAAAAUUAGGCAAAAUAAAAAUAUACAUUAAUGCCGCACCUGAAGAUCUUGAAGAAAAUCAGAGAUAUCAGUGGGGCACGAAGGACAGUUGAGGAUGUUCUUUUGUGAUCUAAGAGUCCGGCCUCCUUUAUUCCUCUCUCUUAUAGCAGUCUUACCAGUAAAUGCAGCUUCAAAACAAGACUUGCAGAAGUUGUGGGCACAAGGAGUUGUAACCGGGAGACUCAUAACUUGCUGACAGAUUAGACAACCAAACUCUGCAACGUAAAGCAUAUCAAGUCAAAUGCUCUCUCUGCUCCUCUCAUUGCUUUUUGUUUCCCACUAAUGCCAUGUUCAAAGAUGAGUACAGAUUAUAGAAGAUCAUCAAAUGUAUAAAUAUGCAUCAAAAUCUAAAAUCAUGACUACUAAAUUAAGUGGAACUCAAUUAUCUUCAGUUACCCUACCAAUUUAACCUAGGCAUAAAUGCACAUGGACAGAUCUUUUUGAGCACAAGCAAACUCAAGGCGUGCAGACUAAGGCCCAAGUACAAAAUGAAAAUAGUCCUUGACAGGGAAAACAAGAUCAACCUUUGAGGAGUCUUUCUCUUGUACUUAGUUUACGUGAGUGCCUUAUAGCUUUCCUUGUCCUUUUCCCUUCUUCAAGAUCAGCUGCAUUUGCUGGCUUUUUGCUUGGAGGAGGAGCUUUUUUCCACUUCCAUCGACUACCUUCUUCCUGAUUGCAUUACGAACUACAUAAGCAUAGCAGAAAAAGAUGAAGCCUAUGGGAAGAGGAACCAAAUUGUGGGUCAUAUCAAAGAUCAAACUCCAAAAACAGAAAAGAUAUUUCACUAUUUAACUUCACCAGUAAAACAUUGUUUUAUGAAUUUAUUUUUUCUAGUUUCAGAUGACAUAAUGAGUUCAACACAAGAUGCAUUCUUCAUAAUGUUUAUCAUCAGGUUACUAUCUAACAGACAAAACAUUAUUAAAGGCAGAACAUUAAAACUAAAGAUAUCAGAGAAGAAACUACAUCUCUUACAUCAAAGUCCCACGAUGGACUCUCCUUUCUCUCGAAUAUGUCAGUUGCCUUUUUCAGCUCAGAAAUAGCAGGUAAGGGCCUAGGUUGAUCACCAUGCUCAUCGCUGCAUUAAAGUUCAAUACAAUAAUUCAUGGUGGAGCUAAUGAAUAGAGGAAAGAAGACCGUUUAAGCAUAUGAAAGGCAAAAACCUUGUCCAUGGGGCUGGCUCAUUGUCACAUCUCACAAACAAAUAUCGGCAAACUUUAAAUCCCUAUUGAGGAAAGUACCAUCAGGAAAUUAAUUUACAAGAGCUCAGCAUAGCUAGCAAUAUUGUUCUGAUAGAGAUAUGAUACCUGUAUUCCAACCUUUCGCCAGCAUUUUUCAAUUCUAUACACUCCAUCAUAUCUCACCCCUUUCUCUGGGGCAUAUGAAGAUCGUUUUUCUUUGUGCGACCUGCACAUCAAGAGAAACAAAAGCUUUUAACAAAUAAAAUAGCAUCAUCGAAGUAGGCUUCUAACAAGGCGCCAACCUAUUAGUGAAGCUUCAGUUGCCCUUUGCACGUGCAUAGACAAUCAAUAAGUAAUAGAAACAAAGAGAGCUAAGCUUCAAGAGAUGAGACUUGCCUUACAACUCGAACAGGAUAACCCUUUUUGCAACUUACUCGCAAAGCUUCAUUCAUCUUCUCAAAUUUUUGAUCAAAUGACUGUUCCUUGUUUGUUCGCUUAUUUCCACUGAGAUCUCUACCUCCACUGCCAUCGGCACCCAUAAAAACAAACAAAUUUCAAAUACACACAUGAAUGAAUAAAUGUUAACCAAUAAAAUUCCUCAAUUUAAAUGGAAAAAAUAUGAUAGUUAUUGACAGCAUUCUUGGAUAAUGUCAUCAUGGUAUCUAUGCAGUAAGUGGAUCAGUAAAUUCAUCUAAGGCCCAACAAUACAGCAACUACAAGCACAUCCACUGAAGCCACAUGAACCAUGCAUCAUCUACUGUACUUUCUAUCGUGUACUCCUUUUACAUUAUAAAGUGCAUUAAAAAUGACAUUAAGCAUCGGAAUGUUUGGAAGGGCAUAGGAAAUUUACAGUUAUGCCUCCAAGAAACAGCCUGACAAGAGUUAAAAUUUGAAAUUCAGUAAUUCACCUUCUACUCAGAGAAUUGAGUUGCCUUUUAAAGUUGAGACAAAAAUAUAAGAAUUAUGUAAACAAGCUAACUGAUUAUUAUUGAAUAAAGCAGUAAAUGGUAACAAGUCAACAAUACCAAUUGGACUAAACCGUCAUCAAUCCACUUUCAUUUUAUAAGCAUGUGCAAUGAUGAGGUGCAGGGUGCUAUACUACUAAUAUGCAUAGCCCUCUGAAAACAAACCUUCCUGUGUAGAGAAACCAUUCUCCAUGAUCCUCGUCAUCCUCAUACCCCCCUGAGAGUGCCACCGAUUGAGCACCAUAGUUUGACUGACCAGCAAUGCCUGCAACAUGGGGAAGGUGAGCACCCCACUGCCUGCAUUCUAAUCUGUCUUCCCAACAUUCACCAACAAGCACACCUUGAUUUCUAUCUGGGUCAUUUUCAGCUGUAAUCGGGCCAAAAUGAUCAGGUGGUACAGUUACAAAUAUCUUCCCACUAGCAGCAUUUGCUUUCCCAGCUUUUUGUGCUCGCUCUGUAGUGAAAGCCUUAUCAGGUCGAUCUUGAUUGUGUAUAAAAUGGAAAACUUUCAGAGGACCAGCAGCAGCAUUUGAUUUCGAUAGCUUGGCCAUUCUGAUGACAGAUACAAGAGUAGAAUUAAUACGAGGCUGACUAGCCAUUUUGGGGGGAACUGUUGAGCGGCAUUUUGCACAAGUACGCUUCCCUUGACCUAUCCACUUCUGGAAGCAUUUAAGGCAGAAGUUGUGGCCACAUGGCGUCUGAAACAACAUGAAUAAAGACAUAUAAAUACAUACAUCAGCAAUCAACAUGCUAAAUAUUUCUCAGCAAAACAUCGAAAAAGAAGAAGAAAAUGAAAAUGAGAAAUCGUACCGUAACAGGCCUGUCAGGUAACUGCAUGCAAAACGAACAGUUUAAGCUUUCGUCAAGAACAUCCAAAACAGAGCUCUCCCCUUUUCCAUUCCCUCCAUCUUCUUCAGCUCUCCCACUCACUAGUUCCUGCCUCUUCCUCGCUUUCUCCUUCUCCGUCAAGGACUCAUCCGCCUCUAUUGCCUUUAUCGCCACAAAGAGCUCGCUAGAGCUCCCAUCAGUGGCGACCGAUGGCGGGAGAAGAGGGUCGCCUGAGCAGUCAGGACAGUGCCAUUGCAAAGUAGAAGCCAGAGUUUCGGGCUUAGAAGCCAAGCAACCCACGUGCCAAGGAGCAGCGCAGAUGCUGCAAGUGAGGGUUUCCUCCGUCGGAGGGGUGACUUUGCAGCGCAUGCAAGCGCCAUCGCCUCCACAAGGAAGCUGGAUGCUAUCGUGCGCCAUUGGCAAACAAACAAUGAGCUUGAGGCGCAAGAUAGCAGACGUUGAAUUUUGAUGGGACGGAGACUGGAGGGAAGAGUGGGCGAGAGGAGAAAAGAUAUAUAGAGAGAGAGAGGCGAGGGGGCUUCGGUAUGGAAUUUGAGAGACUUUUUGAAUUCCUGAAGAGGAUAAAUAUGAAUUGACGAUAUUAUUCUUUUUAAUUCAUAUUUUUACAUUUAUGCCAUUUUGUUACUCGUUUACUUUUUGGCUACAGAGACGAUUCUGAUGCGGAGUUUAAUAUAUAACUGGGGGGUAAAAGUUAGUAGAAGAUUUGAAGAUUUGACUUCUAGCCCUGCUCCGUCAAUGUCUUAAUAAAAAAUCAAUCAAUAUGAACUAUUAUAUCGAAAUUCGAAAGGGGUAGGUGGAAUUUUAGUUUUAUAAGAUCUAAAUUUUAAUGGAAAAAAACUAAGUUUUUGUUUUUGGUUUUAUAAGUGAAGAAAAUAAUGUUUGGAGGAUUUUUUUUUCUAAUUAAGUUUUUUCUUAAUAAAUUUUAAAAAGUUUUUUCUUGUUUGUGUAUAAUUUUUUUAAUAAUUUUUUUAGUGAAUUAUAAGGUAAAGCCUGAACAAUAAACAUAAUUAGCGCGACUCGAGUUCAGACUACACUUAGAGGGUGAACACCCUUAACCAUCAGACCAUUAUAUGGAGUUCGAAAAAAUAACUUUUAAUCAAACGCAUUUAAUAAAUAAUAUAUGAUAGAAAAUGGUCAAAUUCUGCUAUUAGACCUUAUGCUUUGUGUAAAUUAUGGAUUUAAUAUUUGUAUGUUAAUUUGAUCAAUUUUAGAUUUGUGCUUUUCAAAAUUUGAAAUUUUAAUCCUGACCCAAUGGUAACAGUUAAAUUUGUUUGGUUAUUAGUCUUGUAUUAUGUGUAAAGUUAUAGAUCUAGUCUACGUUUACUAAUUGGAUCAUUCACCGUGGUUAUUUUUUUUGAAAUUCAAAAUUUUAGUCUUAAUGUAAGCGACCAUCGUUAAAUCUAUUGACUGAUUUUUUUGUGAGUAAUAUGCGAAAAAUAACAAACAAACACAGUAUCACAUGUGUGAUAGUGUGUUUCACACAUCGAAUUUUAAAAAUAAUAGAACUUAACUUAAUAAAUUUAAUAGUUAUCAUUUGGUUAGGAUUAAAAUUUUUAAAUUCUAAAAGUAGAGAUUGAAAAUGAACAAAUUAAAGGACAUGUACUAAACCUACAACUUAUGUAACGUACAGGGCCUAAUAGUAGAAUUUGACCUAAGAACCGGUUGGGCAUAAUUUUGUUGUAAUUGCAAAACCCUAAUUCCCAAUAUACCAACGGUACUAUAUAUACUUUCUUAUGCCUUACAUUCUUGCUUUUCAGUCUCCGCUGACCUAUCAUUUUAUCAUUCAAAACCCUAAAGGCCGCUCCCGCCGCAAGCGCCGACGAAAAUGGCAGUCUCCGAGGGAUUGGUUCUCCGCGGCACCAUGCGAGCCCACACCGAUAUGGUCACCGCCAUCGCCACUCCCAUUGAUAACUCCGACAUGAUCGUCACUUCCUCACGUGACAAAUCCAUUAUCCUUUGGCACUUAACCAAAGACGAAAAAACCUACGGCGUCGCGCGUCGUCGUCUCACCGGCCACUCUCAUUUCGUCCAAGAUGUUGUCCUCUCCUCAGAUUCCCAGUUUGCUCUCUCCGGUUCCUGGGAUGGUGAACUUCGUCUAUGGGACUUAAGCGCAGGAACCUCCGCUCGUCGUUUCGUUGGCCACACCAAAGAUGUGCUUUCCGUUGCCUUUUCAAUCGACAACCGUCAGAUCGUCUCAGCUUCUCGUGAUCGAACUAUCAAGCUUUGGAAUACCCUUGGAGAAUGCAAAUACACUAUCCAAGAGGGCGAUGCUCAUACAGAUUGGGUAAGCUGUGUUCGUUUCAGCCCAAAUACUCUUCAACCCACCAUCGUUUCGGCUUCCUGGGAUAAGACCGUGAAAGUUUGGAACUUGACCAACUGCAAGAUUCGUAACACAUUGGCCGGACACACUGGUUAUGUGAACACGGUGGCGGUUUCGCCUGAUGGUUCUUUAUGUGCUAGUGGAGGCAAAGAUGGGGUGAUUCUGUUGUGGGAUUUAGCCGAAGGAAAGAAGCUUUACAGCCUUGAAGCUGGUGCCGUAAUUCACUCGCUUUGCUUUAGUCCUAAUAGGUACUGGCUUUGUGCUGCAACGGAGCAGAGCAUCAAGAUCUGGGAUUUGGAAAGCAAGAGCAUAGUCGAAGACUUGAAGGUUGACCUCAAGGCCGAGGCUGAGACAUCUGCAGCCACUGACAACGCAAACAAAAAGAAGGUGAAAUUGCUUUUAUUCAUUACUGUCCUUCAAUUCUAGUUUAGCGAAGCCUUUUUGAUGUUUUCUUAUUUGUUUUUGCUUUCUAUCCAUCUUCGUCUAUUUUGAAUGUCUUAUUUUUGGUUGGAUGUUUUGAUAUAAUUUGUUUAACUAUUGGCAUUUUCACAAAUUGGGAUGAAAUUUUAGAUGCAAUGUAGCUUUGCUUUUUUUUAAUUGUUGGAACAAUUUUAUAGCUUUCUGGCAUCCUAAGAAUCUUUUGACAUAUGAUUAUGGAGAUUACCUAUUAUUGUGUUCCUUCCAACGCAUAUAGGUGUCAACGGGGCUGCUUGGUGAAUACCAUUUACCAUGAAUUUAUUUAGACUACCCUUUUAAUUAUCCUCUCGUUCUGAAUGAUUCGUUUUCACUUUAUACAACUUAUGUAUUUCUUUCUAGAAUUUUUGUUACUGUUUCUUUGAGCUGAUAUAGAUUAGUUUUUAUCAUAUAUGCUCAUCGCCCAUGUUCCAUUAUGCUGCUACUUUUUUAAACCAUGAUCAUGCUUCUUAAGUAGUUUAUUCUUUUCUAAGCGUACUAUUGUAAUGUUCAAAGCUUGGAAUUUGUCAUUGUUCCUUAUGUUACUCUGACUCAAGGUGUAUGUCGGAUAUGGGCAUUUGUAUGGCAAUGAUAUGAUCAUAUCAUAUGUUAUUUGUACUUCCUUAUUUGUAACAAAAAGAUCAUNNNNNNNNNNNNNNNNNNNNNNNNNNNNNNNNNNNNNNNNNNNNNNNNNNNNNNNNNNNNNNNNNNNNNNNNNNNNNNNNNNNNNNNNNNNNNNNNNNNNNNNNNNNNNNNNNNNNNNNNNNNNNNNNNNNNNNNNNNNNNNNNNNNNNNNNNNNNNNNNNNNNNNNNNNNNNNNNNNNNNNNNNNNNNNNNNNNNNNNNNNNNNNNNNNNNNNNNNNNNNNNNNNNNNNNNNNNNNNNNNNNNNNNNNNNNNNNNNNNNNNNNNNNNNNNNNNNNNNNNNNNNNNNNNNNNNNNNNNNNNNNNNNNNNNNNNNNNNNNNNNNNNNNNNNNNNNNNNNNNNNNNNNNNNNNNNNNNNNNNNNNNNNNNNNNNNNNNNNNNNNNNNNNNNNNNNNNNNNNNNNNNNNNNNNNNNNNNNNNNNNNNNNNNNNNNNNNNNNNNNNNNNNNNNNNNNNNNNNNNNNNNNNNNNNNNNNNNNNNNNNNNNNNNNNNNNNNNNNNNAUAAUAAAUAAUUUAAUCAUAUUUAAACAUAAUUAUUAUUAAAUAUAUUUUAAUUAAAAUAUAUAAUUUAAUAAAAUUCUUAAUAAUCAAUAUUCUUAUAUGAAUUUACUCAAAUCAUAAUAUAUGAUACUAUAAAAUAUAAAUUAACAUAAUUAUUAUUAAAUAUAUUAUAAUUAAAAUAUAUAAUUUAAUAAAAUUCUUAAUAAUUAAUAUUCUUAUAUGAAUUUACUCAAAUCAUAAUAUAUGAUACUAUAAAAGAUAAUUUGAAAUAAUUAAUAUUAAAUAUAUUUUAAUUAAAAUAUAUGAUUUAAUAAAAUUUAAAAUAAUUAUAACUAAUAAAUUAUCUUAUAUGAAUUUGUAUAAUUUAAAAUAAUUAUUAUUACAUAUAAUUUAAUAAUAAUAUAUAAUUUCAUAAAAUUCUUGAUAAUAAAUUUUCUUAUAUGAAUUUAUACAAUUUAAAAUAAUUAAUAUUAAAUAUAAUUUAAUAAUGAUAUAUAAUUUCAUAAAAUUCUUAAUAAUAAAAUGUUCUUAUAUGAAUUUACUAAAAUCAAAAUAUAACUUGAGAAUUAUAAUCUGCAUAAACACUCAAUCCGAGUUCCAAACAUACGUGCCAAGGAAGACGAUUAUUAAACGUGUCAUUGUAUUAUUUUGGCUUGUUUCAUGUUUAAGUUGAUAAGAGAAUUCUUGGACCGCCAAGAUUUACAUAAAUUAAGUAAAAUUUAGUUUCAACUGUAUCGGUUCAAAACAAGUAAGAUUUGCCAGUCCAUGCUUUGCUGGCUUUUAAGUUUAAAACAGAUGGCAUAUAGCUGACAAUUUUCAUCGAGGAAAACAAGUAGUCUGUUCUACCCAAAAUAUCUCAAGAGUUUUAAACAAAAGGUAGUUAGUUAGAUGUAAACACGCCUUUUCUGAAACCUACAAAUGUCAAUGGCUAGUUCUUAAUUACAAGCAGAUCAUCCUCCUUGCAUAUGGGCACCUAGUUCACCAAACUGAUCAUCAGCUUCCACAGUAUCCUCAAACAGGCGAACUGCAUCCAGCUUCUGUUUCAAGAUUUCUAUAGCAUUAAGAACCAACUGAGAAGCUUUGAUCGCACCAGUGGAUUCAACUGUAAAGAUGAAACUGUCUUCUUUGGCAUAUAUCUCCACAAGACCUGGCUUGCCUAUAGCUUCAGCUUUCUUUAGCACCUCAUCGUUAUAGGUAUACGCCUCUGGAUCAACCACCACAACCUGUUUUCAAGAUAAAAAUAGAAUUCAUAGUUAGCAGCGCCAACAGCAGCAGCAGUGAAAUAGCAUAACCUCCAAUUUUUGGCUCACAAUAUAGGGACUGAACGAAUGCACUCAACAUACAUGAAACAUAUGAUGCUCAAGCAAGUCAGAACAGCUAUCUACACAAAAUAUGAGGCAAAAAAAAAAGCACUAAUCAAACGAACUAAUUCCGAAAUGCUCCAACACUCACUGCAAUAAUAGUCAGUAACAACAUUACGGUAUCAUUGGAGACUUCCUAUAGAAACAAGGUUUUCAAUACAGUAAUGGCAGCAGUAGCAAGCAGGCCCCAUUUAAAUGAAAGCAGAAAGAAAUGUAGUUUGACACCUCGUAUCUUUAGCUUUGAGAUAAACACAGGGUGGUAUUAACAGCCCUAAUACAAGGAGAAACACUCCAAUCCAGAAACCUAAACUGAAGCUCAAGUUCCAUCAAUAUCCUCAUGAUUCACAAAAGUAAAAGGCACAUAAGAGGAACUUUUGUAAGAAACAUAUAAAGACAAAAUGCUACUAAAACACAUCCACAUUUUAAGCUCAAGCAAACUAGAAACUCUAAAAGAAAAGACCUUGAUGACGUGCAAAGCAAUUCAAUCCUCCUAUUGGACAGACCAUAGAUGUAAUUAAUCAAAACCAGCAAUUGCUUUAACAAUCCAGAAGCUCUAGUGAUAGCCAACACAACCCAAAGCUUAAUCCCAAACAAUUUCUUUGUUAGAAUAGAUGUAAUGAUGUAGAAAGUAAAGGCAUAGCAUACCUGUUGGGUAUUUGGGUCAAUGUCAAAGAAUAAGAUCAUUGCUCUGCAUUUUAUGAAGUAUUGAUUAGACUUGGCAAUUAAUUAUAACGGCACAGCCCUUAUAGAACUCGGGAAGAUUGUGAAACUUGUAAACCUCGUUAACAGCCUGAAUUUGCUUAGUUAUCUGCGAGUUAAUUGCAACAAAGUAAAUGCCAUUUAUUUGGAAAUAAAAGAACAGUGGAAUAUAGAGGGAAAAGAAAAAGAACUGCAAGAUGAGCAUCCCGAUUUGUUCUACAUAAGAUAGCCAUCCUACUGAGAGUAGAUACGACUUAAAUACUUAAUUGUCAGGAAAUGAGAAUAGAACAAAUACCCGACCAGUAUGACAAACCAGUGCAAAAUAAACAUUAUUUAGAAGUUUUUAAAAUAUAAACAUCAUUCAAAUAUGGGCAUGAACUAUGAAGUAUGACUCUCCAAAUAUAUACAAGUGCCGAAUGCCAUUUAACUAUCCAAAGUAUGACUAGAUAUUGGAAAAGGUUCAACUAUCCAAAGGAAUUACAAUCAUGUCAAAUACUAUGAUAUAGGCAACCACUCAAUACAAUUUUUAAACUCGAAAACUGCAUUAACAUACGAGAAUCAAAAUCAGAUAGAACACGAAAUAGAACUCAAAUCUCAUUGACCAAAACAACAAACAAACGGGUAUAUUUUAGUUUAUGCAAAGUCCAUCAUCACUUAUUAACUAAUAUCAUUACAAAAGAAUAAAAUUACAAUGCUUUUCAGCCAGCUAUCCGAAAGAAACCACUAAAUGUUUACCUCAGACAUGUGAAGCAUGGCCAUUACCACCCAAUUCCACAACAGCCGACUUCUCUUUCACCAAACCAUCUUCUUCUUUAAUCCCACUAUCGAGAUCAUCAUCGGAAUCCAAAGUGAAAUUCCCCCCAUUACUAUCCAUUAGCUGUAUUUCAGCCCCUAAUGGCUUAUACCGCAAACCAUCCCCUGAAGCACCAACAACAACACCGUUUCUUUUGCCAAUAAGCGAUAACAUCCCAACAACCAGAACCACAAGCAAAGCAAGAUGGCAAUUGAAUUGCAAUGUGGCAAUAAACCUUGCUCUAUGAUAAUCAGGGUGACUUCUGCAUUUAAUAGUAUAAUUCCCUCUACUUUUUUCAUGUAAGCUACAUCCAUGAACCAUCAAAUUAGUGUAAAAUGAAAAUCCCAUUUGCACAAACCAUGUUCCGUGUAAAAUCAACCCAAUACCUCGUACCGAUUUCGAGUAAAUGGACCUGUUAGAUCUCAAUUCUAACAUGGUUGAAACCACACAAAUUGCUAUGGGAACACAUAAAGGAUCAAAAUAUCUAUUCUCAAUCCCACUUGUAUCCUUUCUUUGCAAGUAAUACAACAAAAAUUCUUCAACAAAAGCUAAAAGCAGAACUAAUUCAAGAACAGGAUCAGGCCAAAAGUAUGAACCUUUCUUAUUAUUUAAAAGACCCAAAGCAGAGUAAAGCAAGAAGAGCAGAGCAAGUGAGAGCACUUGUAACUGGAGCACCGUCCCCACCCGAUCUUUUGAACUGAAAGCAUCAAAGAUUGAAACCACAGAAUUUAAGAAAAUCGAAAGGGAAAAGAUUGAUACAAAGAUGAAAGAUGGUGAAGAAGAAAAAGGGUUCUCUUUAGUUUUAGAAAUAGAGGCAGAUUUGAUCUGGGUUGAAAGUGAAGAAGAAAAUGGAGUUGGACUCGGGUUGAGGCAGAGGGUAAAACAGGGAGGGGAAACUGAAGAGGCAUCUAAUCUGGGCAAAAGAGAGGGAUUAGAAAUCGGUGGUUUUCACCGAUUAGAAAAGUAAUGUAUUACACGCGUAUUAGCAAUACAUUGAACCAAACGACCGAAUAAGGAGGGAUUAGUGGGGCCCACCGAUUAGGGGUGGAUUGGGUUAUGUUUACUGUUGUUGCUGCUAAUACUGGGUUGCUUGACCCGAGUUACAAAUCAAUCGGAUAUAAAGCUAUUUACAUCAACCGCCACAUCGUCAGUUAAUGCUGAACACAUAGGUCCCGUUUCGCAUUGCGUAUUCGAGGUGGAAAACUGCUUUCCAAUUUCAAAAGUAAAGCCCAACAUUUGAUUUUUGGGUUAAAAGUAAAGCCCAAUAUUCGAGGUGUUCUUCGUUUUCGGUUUUUGUUUUUGGUGGUGCUAAUAUUCAAAAUACUUUUAUUUAUAUUAAUUAUUUAAAAUAUAUUUCUAAUUUAUAUUUUAUACAUUAUUAUAUUAAAUUAUUUAAAUAUUCUAUUUCAUUAUAUUAAAUUAUUUUAUUUAAUACUUCAAAAUAUUUCAUGUGCAUUUGAAUUUAUAAAUAAUUUAUUAAUAUAAUUAUAUAAAUUUAUUUAAAUAUUAUCUAAAUUAAUUUAUUUUUUAUUUUUAACGUCAUAUUUAAAAUGAAAAUUUUAACAUUUUACCUCAAUUUUUAACAAUAAUGCUAAACACAUUUUCACAGUACUUUUUAAAUAUAAUUUUUAAAAAUUAAUUUUUUCAAAAGCGCAUAUCAGCCACAAUAAUAUUGACAAACUAGUCCAUAGUUAAAUAACACAGAUAAUUUUUUAGACCAAAAGCUAUAAUAAAACAAUAAUUUAAUACUAAAAUAGAAAAAGAAAGCAUUUCCACUGUUGCAAGCUUUCUCGUGAGAAACAACGCUAAUGGUUAGGUUGUUAAAAUUAUCUAAUGAAUCAAAGUUUCAAUGCUAUAUUUUGCAGGAAUAUUAUUAUUUUUCUUCAUAUUUUAAUAUAUCAUGUAACAAUAAAUUAAUUUCAAUUGGUGAUAUUUAGUUUUAGUAAAGAAAAGAAAAAUAUUUGUUUAUUUUAAAGAAGUUUUAUUUUUUUAUAAUAGUUAUUACUCAUCAUUUUAAUUUCAAGUUUAAUUUUUUUUUAAUUAUUCGUUUUUUUAUGUCUAACUAUUUUAACAAAUGUAUUAAAUAAAUUACUAUACUAAUAAUUAGUGGCGAAUAAGCCUUUUUAUAAUUUAUAAAAUUUUAAAUUAGUAAUGGUAAAAUUAUACUUUACCCCUUAAAUGAUAAAAAUUUAAUUUAAUUAUUUUAAAUUUUAUAAAAACAUAAUCUAUUAAAAAUGAUGAAAUUACAUUUUUACUGUCGUAAAAAUAUACAAUUUAAUUCAUCCUCUCAAUAAAUUCUUUUUAGCUUCCCCUACUAAUAAUCAAAUGUAGUAUAAAUGCUUUGAUGGAGUGAGCAAUUAAACCCACUUAGUAAUCCCCUAUGAUUUAUUAUUAAAAUGAAUAAUAUUCUUUAAAAGCUAAAUAACAUUUAUUAUAAUAAAUUAUUAUUUGUUUUAUUAAUAAUUGGGUUAAGGUUCAAAUUUGUCAUCAUAUUAUAAGUGAAUAUUGAAAUUUGUUAUUAUAAAUUUUCAUAGAUAUUUGCCAUUAUAUUUUGGAACUAUGAGUAAAAUUAUCCUUCAACCCUUAUGUGAUUGAAUUUUACUACUAAACUUUGAAUUUUAUUAAAAUUUACAAUUAACUUUAAUUUUUAAUCAAAUUUUACUACUCGAUAAUAAAUUUGAUGAUUUUAAAAAAAAUUGAUAAAAUAAAUUCUUUCAAAUAUUUUAUUUUAAUAGUUAAUAAUAAUUUUAACUUAUAAACAUUAAAAAUUAGUAAACUAAAUUAGAAUAUCUAUUUAAUGAAAUAAAAACUUGAAAAAUAAUACAUAUAUUCUAAAAGAAAAUUUUAAGUUUAUUUUUUAUAAAAUAUUCGUUUUCAUUUAAUUUUAAUAGUAUAUUAGUUAAUUUAUUAUUGUUAAAUAUUAAAAUAAAAUAUAAAAUAUAUUUUUAAUUAAAUUUUAUCUUCAAAUUAUUUUAAAUUAAAAAUGAAUAGUAAAAUUUAAUAAAAAAUUUAACUUUAGUAACAAAAUUAAAUUAAUUAAAAGUAAAGUCACAAAAUUCAAUACAAAAUUAAAAUAUAGUGAUAAAUUUAUUUAUAAUCCACAAGGACGAUGGCAAAUAUCAAUCAAAGUGAAGUAUAGUGAUAAUUUUUAAUUUCCACUUAAAGUAUAGUGACAAUUUUUUUUUAUUAAUCCAUAAAAAUAUUAAAAUAAUGUUAGCAUCAAGAUUGUUGUCAAUAUAAGAGAACGCGUGUUCGAGCACGUUGAAACAUUUUAAUCCUUUUUAUAUAAAAGUUAAAAAAAAUUAUGAAUAUUUUUAGUUAUUAUAUAAAAUAUUUAUUAAUAUAGCGAUAGUCUAUAUGGUUGCUACAAUUUCUCCAAAGAGUUAAAAUCACGUAAAAUUUAUUAAAAAAAGAAAAAAAAUAGCAUUAAUAUGUAACUCUUUUCGAAUAAUGAUGUUUCUCUUCUCAAAAUGGGAGGAGAUUUUUUUUUAAUAUUUAAUUUUUAUUGAUAAAGCAAAUUUUAUCCAACAAAUAUUAUUCUGUAAAAAUAAAAUGAAGCCCCUGGAAAAUAAAUUGCACGCAUAAAAUGAAAAUGAAGAAAAUAAGAAAGGCUGGAAGUUCUUGUAGUGCAAGUAUUGGCUUCUACAACUAGAGGUGGACAGACUGCUUUUGCUUCCUUGGCUGCCAAACAAUGUUUAGAUUGAUGCCUACACAGUUGACUACCCAUGAUGUCACAUCCACUUUCAUAACUGCUUUUGCUCCACGCAUAAACUCGCCGCCUUCAAUCUCUUCACGCAAUGAAAAAGACGUGAUUAUGCAGGAUUAUAGGAUUGAAAAAUAACUGUUUAUAAAAAUAUUUUAUUUUAAAAUUUAAAUUUCUUAAUUUAAUUAGUAAGUAAAUAAAAUCAGUUUUUAAAAGUUAUGAUCUAAUUCUUAUUAAAUUUUCCAGAAUAAAUUGUUAAUGAGUCUCUUCUACGAUAUUAUUAAUCAACAUCUAAUUAAGUUGUUAUUUUUCACAUGUGAAGGAUUUAUUAAAGUCUUUACUUUAUGCUUAAAAAGUUUGAAUUGAGUCACUAGACUUUGGACUAUUCUAAUAUGAAAGUUACUGGGUCAAAUAGUUGGACUAACAAUAGGCUUCUCUGUGUAUGCAAAUCUUUAUAUAAGUAGUUUACAUUUCCUCCAUGAUUAUUUAUUUUAUAUUAAAAAAUUCAAUUCAAACUCAAGCUUUAGUUUAAGUAUAGCCCUUUUACUCUUUUUUUUUUUUGAAAAAUUUAGAUUGAAGACAAUAUUUUUAAUUGAUUAUGCAGGCUGGGUUAAUUUGAUUCGCUUCAGCACAUCGUUCAUCCGUUCAAGGUACAUUUUUUUCCUCAUCUCUUGUUUAGAAUUUAGCUCGUGAUAAAUAUAAACAUAACUAAUUUAUAGGAAAAAUAAUAUAAUAAAUAUCGAUUGACUUUUAACUUGAUUAAUAUGCGCAUUGACAACAAUAGGACUUGAGUUCAAGUACGCAUUAUUCUCUUAUUUAUAAAUUUGGGAGGAAUUAUGAAUAGUUUUAGACAUUGUAUCAAAAAUAACAUGUAAUAAAUAAUAUAUAAUUAAUGUGCUUAAAUACUAUUUUUAAAAUUUUACUUUUAAAAAUAUGUAUUUAAUUCGUAGUUAAAAGUAAUAAAAUGAAACAGCUGAUGUUAAGCUUUUAUUAGUCAAACUAUUUUACUAGAAAUAUAUACUUUUUUUUAUUUUCUUUGAUUAAUUUUUUUUAAUAAAGUUUUCGUUUAUGGUUUUUUUCUCAAUUUGAUGGACUUUUAAGUUGAUAUUUUUUACUAAAUUAUUAUAAUUUAAUGUAUACAAGUCAACAAGAAUAAUUUCAAAAAAUAUUUCAACUCAGAUAAUAUUUAGUUGAAAUUUUUCUAAAAUAUAAUUUAAAUUUGAUUAAAAAUCUUAUAACAAUUUAUAGCGAUAUAUUUUUUAUCGAAUCCCGAUGAUGAUAGUCUAAGAGUCAUUUUGGAAGAACCGACAUCGUCGGAGACAAGCAUGUCUAUGAUAUGAACUCUAACAUAGAUCCGAGGGAUUGAAUGUCAGCAAAAUAUUAUUGCCAUAAAUUAAGCUCUUCAAGAUACUUUUGAUUUGCAUCAUUUAUAUGAUCUUAUCUAUACUAUUAAGUCCUCGAUUAAAUUGAUGUCAUGAGUUAAUCGUGUAUCAAUUGAAUUGAGUAAUGAUUAAAAUGUUCUUAUUUUACAAAAUAAAUUAUAUUAUUUUGAAAAAAAAAAUUACAUCUUUUAUAUAGAACUAUAAAUUUUAUCACACAUGUGUGUGGAAACAACAAAUUAAGAAUAUAAUGUGUGUUAAAAAAUAACAAACAUAAUUAAAAAUAACACAUAAAAUAUGUACGACGUUAUUAAAAUAGUUUAUCAUGGUUGUCAUCAAUUUUAACUUGUGAAGUCCUAUCACAUGGAUAAAUGUGCGAAACCACAAAUUUAGAACACGGAUGUGUGUAUUUAAAAAACAUACUCGUGUGAUAGGAUUUCUAAUUAAUAGUAUGGAUAUACAAUUGAUGCAAGUAAUAAAGCGUGCAUAAUAAAAUUAAAAUGUAUAAAAAUAUUAAAGCUAAGCUUUAGUUGAGUAGUAAAUUAAAAGUUUUAUUAAUGCAAUUGAUUUGUAUUCAAAUCUUAUCGUGCUCGUAUUUUCAUUUAUUUCUUUUAAAAUAAAAAGAUUAAAGUGCCUUCGAAUAAUAUAACUUAUUUUAAUUAUGGAAAGACAUUUUCAUAAUUUUUCUAACUGAGUUGGUGACCCGAUUGAGGGUGACAUCGACUUAGUCAGAAGCUUAAAUAGUAUAAAUAAUAAAACAACAAAUAUGAAUAAUAAGAUUUAAACCUAAAAUAUAACCAUUUUUAACAUUUGUACUUUAUCAUUUUAAUAAAAAACUCUUUUAUUAUUUACUUUAAUUUUCACUCACACAAUGCAUAGGAUAGUUUUUUUUUUAAAAUUAUAAGAGAAAAGUAAAGCCUUAACAGCAACACAACUAAAGUAACUCGAACCCAAAAUACACCUAAAAUGAUAAAUAGCUUGACUAUCAUGCCAACACAUAAAGUUGACAAUGUAUGAGAUAGUUCAAUCAACAUCCAAAAUAAUAGUUGAUUUACAGCUAAAUCAAUUAGUUUUUUAACGGUUCUAAAGGUUAAGUUAUGGUAAAACUAAAUUAGGUUAUUAAAUAUUCACCAACCUAAAAUCCAUAUGUUUGGUAUUAUCGUGUUAUUUUAAAAUAUUAUAAUUUUUUUUUAUAAAUUUAUAUAAGUUUUAUAGUUAAUAAUUUAUUUUUGUCAUAUUUGUAUUCAUACUCUACUCAUAUAUAUACGUAUUUUAUAUUUUUGUGAUCCUGUUAUUUUUGUAUCUAUAAUUUAUAUAUAUUAUGCUAAUAAUUAAUUAUAUAUUAACAUGUUCAUACAUGCAUACUGUGUCAUUUUUUUUUGUCUCAUUCAUGUUUGGUGUUGUUUGUCGUAAUGAUUGAAUUUAGAGAAUGAUUUGUGAUUGGUUAUGUAACAUGUUGUGUCAUCUAUUAUAUUAUAAUGAUUUAAUUUAAAUAAAUAUAUAUUCUAAUUGUAUUCAUAUUAUAUUUUGUGUUUACACUGUUAUAAUUUUAUUUAAGUAUAUUGAGGAGGGUCGAUUUUUUCAAAAAGAAAAAUUGAAGUGUCGUUUAUUAGACAAUCAGUCGAUUCCCCAACAAUUAAAUGUAUUGUUUUUAAGUGGGGCUUUUAUCUAUUGUACUCUGUUGAGAGUCAGCAUGUCAUGAGAACAUGCUUGAUGGACUUAGUUCACAGAACUGGGAGUGCCUCGAUUGUUGGAUUUACAAGACUUAAUGGAAAGAUAUUAGUAUAUGUAUUGAAUGACUCGACAAGUAAAUGGCCUAUAUGCCUUAGGUUGGUGAUUUGAGUCUCUCCACUGCACACAAGUGAGCUCCAUAAUUAUUCACACGCUUUGUAUUGACAUCUCCCACUCAAGUCUUGCAGGUUUACCAAUUGAGGAGCUCUUGAGUUAUUGAACCAAGUCCCAAAGCAUGUGUUUACGAUACGCUAGCUUUUAAUAGAGUAUGAGAGAUAAAACCCUCACUGAGGGACAAUAUAUUCGGUUAUUGGUAGACCCGUCAACUACUUGAUGACUGGCACUUCAAAAAUUUCUCCCAAAAAAUAUAGAUGAAGAUUGCAGAAUAUUUAAAAUAUAAUAACUAUAAGAAGAUAACAGUGCUCAAGGAAAAAAAAAAGUACUAUACUUGCUCUAGUGACAAGGUGUGUGUAUACAAUUUUCUGCCUCCCACCUUUGCUAUUUCUAUUCCACUUACUCGUUACUCAUACACUACAUUAUUCCAUCAUCUCUAAACAAUCUUUUAUCUUGUUCCAUCAUCUCAACUUUCAAACUAUUUUCUCAUGAACUUGCCUCAAUAUUUAUCCAACCUCUCCAGCAUACAAAGUUAUAUUUCUCAAUCUUCAAGUGUCGGCUUCACCUCUGCCCUUUACAAACUCGACAAAUCUAUUAAAUAAUUCAGCAACUCAAUUACUUCACUAAAAUUUUCUCAAACUCAUAUAUGAAAAAUAUAAAUGCGAAAGGGAAAAAAAACUUAUUUUUCCAAAGAAAACUUUACUACAUACGUAUUUGUAUUUAUAAAUUUAAAUUAUAUGAUUUCCUUUUGCAAAUUAGUAACAAAUUUCAACAUAUUUAAUAUAACUAAUUCAACACAUCAAAUUAUUUAAACUAAAUGUUCUGUCAUAUAAGCUUUACAAAUUCUAAUAAAUUCAUAACAUAUUCAGAUUUAUUUAAAGAAAAAAUAAUUUUACCAUAUUUAAUUUAUUCUAUGUCGUUGGUGCCAAAAAGUAGUCAGGUCUAAAGAUUAAUUCCCCUAUAUCAAUACGCUCUUCUUUGGCUACUGAAAUGGAGGCUGGCCACUGUUUUUUUUUUCUUCCUCAUUAUGGUACCUUCAUACAAGAUUAUGUUUCUUUUCUUCUUUUUUUAGUAUUUCAGUCAAAUUGAUGUUUGCUUAAACUCUUGUCUAAUUUCAAAAUUUUCCUGCUUUUUAUUUUUUGGUUUCUCAUACUUUGCCUGAUUUUCCAUUAUUUCCGUCUUUUUUUUUUCUCUUUUAUCAUCCAGAGCUGAGAGCUCGAAAAACUUACUUUCUGCUUUCCCCCCCUUUUCUUUUGGGUUUGGAAUUUGGAGUUAAGUUGUGAUGGAAAAUUUGGAGAAAAAUAAAAGUAAAGCGUUGUAAAAAUUCUGAUAAAUUAAAGAAUUUUAAACUAACACGUAAAGAAAAGAGAAAAAAGAGAAGAAGAAAGAAAUGGAUCCGUCGAAGAAAGUGGCGGAUAGGUAUUUGAAGCGCGAGAUUCUUGGUGAAGGUACUUACGGUGUUGUCUACAAAGCCAUUGAUACUAAGGUAACCCUAAACCCUAAUCCUAAAUCUUGUUCUUUCUUUCUUUUUUUAAUAGCUUUUAAAAUUGAAUACAGAAAUAGAAAAAUUAGUUGGAAUGCGUAAUUAUCCUUUUUCUCUCUAAGGUAAAUUGUAAGGAUCAAAUAAUUUAGUUCAUUUGCUAUCAACUUUGUGUUACUAAAAAUUUUGUCACUCGAGGAUCAAAUAAUUUAGUUCCUGUGCUAUCAACUUUUGGUUACUAAAAAUUUUGUCACUUAACUGAGUUAAGUGUCUGGAAAAGAAUUAUAGGAUUACUUCAGAUGGAGAUUUUGCUAUUUCGCCUCUGCAGUCUGCACCCCCUUUCACUUUUUAAGCCAAAUGCCAUUUUCUGAAAGUGGAACAAGCAACUCCAGUUACAUGAAGCUAGUUGCAGUUCUCUUUAAUUUUCAUAACUGUUCAAUACAAAACUGUUUUCUAGAAUUUUUGGCUGGCUAAAUUGUUUAUUCAACUGUUAUAACUGCAAUUGUUUGCUUGUUUGGUCCAUUGCAGACGGGACAGACUGUUGCAAUUAAGAAAAUUCGGCUGGGGAAGCAAAAGGAAGGGGUGAAUUUUACUGCACUCAGAGAAAUUAAACUGCUUAAGGAGCUUAAAGAUCCAAAUAUAAUUGCUUUAAUAGAUGCAUUCCCACACAAGGGUAAUUUGCAUCUUGUGUUCGAGUUCAUGGAGACUGACCUUGAAGCUGUUAUUCGAGAUCGUAAUAUAUUCCUCUCACCAGCUGAUAUCAAAUCCUACAUUCAGAUGACUUUGAAAGGGCUUGCUUUUUGCCACAAGAAAUGGGUUUUACACAGGUCUUGUUUCGGUUUGCUCUUAGCCUAGUUUUGUAUGUUUGCUGCUUCAUAAAUUGUUUUAUUUGUUAUUUUGCUUUACAGGGAUAUGAAGCCGAAUAAUUUGCUAAUAGGAUCCAAUGGACAACUUAAACUUGCAGAUUUUGGUUUAGCACGCAUAUUUGGCAGCCCAGAUCGUAAGUUUACUCACCAGGUAAGCUUAUAGCUGCUAAGUGGUGUUUUCAAUUUUAUCAGUACUGACUAAUUGGUGCUCUGAAUAGCUAUAGCAUCUUCUUUUUUCUCUCCAUAAUUUUAUAAAAUUUCUGUUGUAUCUUGGAUUAGUACUUUCUUUUAGGAAUAAACUUACUUUGUGGCAGUGCUAACUUCUUGACCUUUCAAAGAAAGUCCUCACAACCACAGCUCUCUUGUUUUCUGCAAUCACUAUGUUUCUAUGGGAAAAGUUUAGAAACUGGGUUUAUAUUUGUUCUUGUUUUCAGUUUUAACUUCUUGCUUUCUACAUUAUGGCUUAAUUAGUUAUGUUGGAACUAGGUUAUGUACACAACACGCAUGUUGUUUUGUAGUAAAUAUCAUUGAUAUCUUGUGUUAUAUCCAUUAUUUCGUUGGACCCUUAGCUUUUGUCAUUGAUGUCGUUAUCAUAGUAUUUUAAAACAAAAAAUGCAAAUAUAGCUAGUUUUGUGGAGAGAGACCAAUAAGAUCAGCAAGGGUAUUUGUCCCAUCUUUUUUUGUUCUUUUCUUGGUAUUGCAUACUUUUUGAUGUAGAAACCUGCUUAUCUAUUUAUUUAUUUACACAUUAGUGACCUCUUCUUGAAAAGUUAUUGAUUUGGAUUUAACUUACUUGUAAGUCCAUGGAACUAUAAAUAGGUCUUUGCUCGAUGGUACAGAGCUCCUGAGUUACUUUUCGGUACCAAGCAAUAUGGUGCUGGUGUGGAUGUUUGGGCAGCUGCCUGUAUAUUUGCUGAACUUCUCCUCCGUCGACCAUUUCUGCAGGUAAACCUUUUGUAUAGUCAAAGUUCUCUGGUGUUAGGUUUUUCUUGUUUUGAUAUUUGCAUGAUGUCAAGUUAUAGAUUACCUUAUUUAUAUAUUCCUGCUGGUUAUAGCAGUCUUUUAUAUAUAUAAUUAAAUGAUGAUAUGUGAUGAUUGAAUCUCAUUUUUCAGUUUUCUUCUUUUAUCACGUGGCCUUGCUAAAAACAUCGUCACCAUCAUCAAGUUAUAAUCAUAACGAGUUAUUGCUAUAUGGCCAUUUGUAACUUGUUCUUUUAUCUGGUUUUUGUUCAACUGUGGGUGACUUGAUCUUCUUUUUAGUUCCCUAGGGAAUAUUCAUUUGUUCGGUUUCUUAGGCUUAUUCAUGGUAUUAUUCAAAUGAAGAUCAGAUCAGAAUUGGCUGCUGGUGCAAUGCUCUAAUGACAUGCAUGUCUCCAGCAGAUAAAAAGUAUUGCAGGCUGUUUAAGGAUGGCAAUGAUAUGUUUCAAAUUUGUCAAAAAUGUGAAUCAUUGCGUUUAAUGCGUGUUUAAACUGAACCUUGUUUUCUUGCUUUACCAAAUUAAAGACUGCUUAUGCUUAAUUGAAGCCAUUUUAACACUGAUUGUAGGUAGCUUGGCUAUGCUUGAUAAGCAUUUGGUUUUAGUUUUAUGUAGCCAAGAUCCUUGGUCUUGCACAGUGCAUCAAUGUGAUAUUUCUUUCCUAGCUUGUUUGGAUAUCCAUCAGAAAUUUUGUUGUAUUCAUUGUUCUGAUACCUUAUAUAUAUAUUCUGAUUGGUCUUAUCUUUAGUUCAUGUUAGAGGUGUGGAUGAUAACAGUUUGAUUCAUUUUGGUUUUGGAAAAAAAAAAAAAACAGAUAAUGUUAAAAAUCAAACUAAAGCUGAACUGAAUACAAUAUGUAACCAGAUUGACCUGAACCAACUUGAACUAAAUUCCAUCUAUUUGGUUUUUCGGUUUUUUAAAAUUUAAAAAAUAUAUUUUAUAUCUUUUACUAAUUUAGAAAUGUAAUAUUUAUUUUAAUAGUAUAAAAACUAAACACUAAUUAAAAUUAAAUAAAAAUAAAAUUUGGUUCAGUUCGAAUAAUUAUGGUUUUCUAUUAAUGAACCAAAAAUAUUCAUUAUUACAUCAAAUCCUAUAAAAACUGAACUGAAACCAAACUGAACACUGUGGCUUGAAUUGGUUUCUCAUUUUCUCUGUUUUCUGGUCAACCCUACUUUAGAGAUGCUGCUUCCCCUUUUCAAUGUUAAGUGUUAGACUAGAACCUUUUGUUUGAUUGCGUUAUAAGCAAUAUGUAAAUUGUAGUUUCGGUGUUACUAUGGAUUAUUACAUUGGGUUUUGCUGACUAGUUGUCAUUAUUGUCAUUAUAACAUGUUAAAAUGUCUUUUUGGUAUUCAUUUGACCUAUGAUACUUAUACUCUUCAUUUUCUCCGAAGUACCUGUGUCCAACACACAUUUAGAGGUGGGUAUUGGGGUAUGACCAUCCAAAUAUAUGGAAAAACUUGGAAGAAAUUCAGCAUAUACAUAUCAAACAUACACUGAUGUGGUUUAGGGGGAAUAAUAGUAAAUCAAUAGAAUUAUGCUGAACAAACGAGUAAGAAGUUGGAACUCUAGAAAACAUAAAAAUGUCUUCUAGUUUCUCUCCAUUAAUUCGAAGAAAAUAAUAAGAAUGUUGUGGCUGUAAAUAUUCUACAGCUUGUUAGGCUCUCUUUCAAAUAAGGUUUUAAUGCGAACCCUUUAUUUAAAAAAGAUAACUAAUACUCUUAGCCCUAGAUUUAAACCCUAAAGAUAUCUAAUAAUCCUAGCCAUUCUUAACGUAACAGUAAAGCUCCUGCUUCACAUACCCAUAUUUGAAAAUCAUCUCAGAAUCCGGGUGACAUAAAUUUUGACAAGCUCAUAUGUGGUUUCUUCUUUUCGGUUUUCCUUUAUUAUUAUGUACCAAUGCUUGCCGAUUUGAAGUUCCAUUCCCGGUAUAUUUUCUCAAUUUUCUGUGGUUCAACAUCUUACAUUUAAUAGGGUACAAGUGACAUCGAUCAGUUAGGAAAGAUCUUUGCAGCUUUUGGGACACCAACGCCCUCUCAGUGGCCAGAUAUGGUAUACCUGCCUGAUUAUGUAGAAUACCAAUAUGUUCCUGCACCACCUUUGCGUUCAUUGUUUCCAAUGGCCAGUGAUGAUGCUUUAGAUCUUUUAUCAAAGAUGUUUACUUAUGACCCAAAAGCUAGGAUUACGGUGCAGCAAGCAUUAGAGCACAGGUAUCAGGGAAUGUUUUAAUUGGAAAUAUAAAGAGAAUGUAUGGUUCUUUUCUAAUGUUUGUUCUUUUGUUCAGGUAUUUUUCAUCUGCUCCUCUACCUACAGAUCCAGCUAAGCUCCCUAGGCCUACCCCUAAAUCUCGUCCGUCAGAUUUUAAUCCCCAGGAAGGUCCCACUGUGCUUUCUCCCCCACGAAAAUCUAGGAGAGUAAUGCCAGAUCGUGACAGAUUUGAAGGUAAUUCCAACCUAUUGGAGAAGAUUGAUGACCAUGUUGGUGAAGCAAGACUGGCAGUUGGUGACCAUGCAGGAAAGAGUGACCAGGUGCCAAUGUCAGUAGAUUUUUCAAUCUUUGGGUCGAAACCUCUGAGUAGACCGACAAUUAACAGGUGAGGCAAUAGCUAUUUUACGGUAAUGUCAUAAUGGUUUUUUUUUCAUCCAUAAUUUCCUCAAAAGCAUGGGAAUUGAUUCAAAUGUGCAACACAUAGUUCGACUUAAAAAUGGAAUUUUUGAACCUUGUAUCAAUAAUUUUAAAUGGAGUAGUUUUUGGAUAAAGUUGGACAUAAUAUUAAUAUGGCUUGGCCUAUCCAAAUAGGUUAAUUAAACUAUAUCAAGCCUUUUCUGUUAAGCCUUCAUCUAGGGUUAUCCUUCUGAUUUCAAAUUCCUCGUUCUUAAGCAAGUCUGCAAAGUUGGAGAAAAUUCCUCAUAGGUUCAUCAUUUCAAAUUUCAUAAGAGAAUUUUCUCCAAUUAGAUUCUCUCUCUCUCUCUCUCUCUCUCGAUAGAGCCUAAUAGAUUUAUCUUCUUUUAAGUUGCCCUUGAUAAGCAAUGCUCGGAUAUUCUUUGAGUUGUGAGGUGGGUGCAUGUCAAUUGCGAGCUUGGAAGAUUUCUUAUUCUUUUCUUUUGUGGAGAAAAUGUAGUAGGCUUUAAGAGGGGGUGGAUUUUUGGCCGUACUUUUGAGGGUGGGUUAGCCUUUUUGCGUGCUGCUAGAUUAUAUGUUGUUCGCCGUUCCCUCCCACCCCAAACACAAUAUCAUUUAAAUGUUCAAUACCCAAACCCAACCCCAAAAAGAUCAAAAUUCCCUGGCAACCACCAGACCUGACCCAAAAUAUUAAAUAAAUUUUUGUAUUAUCUUAAUUUUUACAAGAUUAAUAAAAUACAUCUUACAAAAAUUAAAAAUAUCCAACUAAAAUAUACAAAAAAUAGUUACAAUGUUAUAAAAUCUUCUAGCAGCUUAAAAUUUCUAAUUAAAAUAUAUAAAUUAAAGAGGGUAUUUUGGUAAAGUUUUCAGGGAGGGGCAGUGCGGGUUUGAUCAAAACCCGGCUCCGAUUCAACCUUUGAAAAGUAAAAUUAAAAACCUGCCCUGGUCCAAACCUGAGUUUCAAAAAAUUAAAAAGAAAAAGUUCACCCCUAUUGAGUCCUAUCGGAUUGGAACUCUUCGGGUUUAUUUAAAUUGACCUCGGGAACAUGUUUUUAAUUGUUUGCAAAUAAGCUUUGAUUAUUUGUUCAUGAACAUAUCCAUUUAAUGUUCAUGAACAAGUUCAUUUACAAUUUUGGAAUUUUUAAAACACGAACGGAACAUGAACAAGCUUAAAAGUAAAUAUAGAAACACUAAUAGAAGUUUGGUCAUUCAAGCUCGGUUCAUUUAUAGCAUAAAUUCCAAUUAUACAAGUAUUUGUUUUUAUCCAAGAAUUCUUGCAAAAAAUAUCAACCAAUAGUCUUCCUGUACUUAAAUUUUUUUUCUAGAUGUUGCAGUAAGCUGAUGUAAGCAAUGCAUUUAUAUCAGAUUAGAUAGUCAUGCUACGUGAUAAAAAUUUUCUAAAUGAAAUCUGAACCUUUUACUGCAUAUCUAGCAGAUGCUUCUAAAAAUGUUAUAUAUAGUGUUAACCUUAACAUAUAAAUCAUAAGUUAGGUAAACAACAAGAUUGUAAUUAAGUGCAUUAAAUGAGAUUUUAGAAUAUUUCUAACAACCUUUGUGAAGUCUGACUUUGAGAAAUUGUCCAUGUAAUAAAGAAAAGGCAUGAAUUAGGAAAUUGAAUAACUUAUUAGCAAAUCCCUCUUUUGCCAAGUAAGUUUUGAAGAAUAUCUGUGUAGCAUCUUAUAUAUUGUAUUUUACCAUAUGGUGUUUAUUGUAUUAUGAAUCAUUGUUGAUUUGCUUCGCUCACUCACUGAUUACUACAAGGAUUGAUGUAGGUUGUGAAGCUCAGUAAAGAGCAUUAGUCCUUGUAAAUAUUGGCUUAAAUUGUUUUGAUAUCUCUGGUAAAUCUUUCCCAUAGUAAUUGGGUUAAUUAUAAAGUAAUUUAUAAAUUACACGGUUGCAUGGUUGCAUAUAGGUGUCUCUUCUGUUUUCAUAAGAAAGAAAAAAUCUCUAUAGAAAAAUCUUAUGCAUGUAUCUUUAAAUUUCUGUAUUCAUUUCAUGUUGUGUACAAUGAAGAAAAUUUAGAAUUAUGCUUCAGGAUAUGUUGGAUUAGCUUAGUUUGUGCAUCAUGGGAGUUGGCCUUCUACUUUGUCAGUUUGCUCUGUUUGCCUGUUAUCUUCAUAUGGUUUUUGUCUGCCUAAUUUUUGUUUCAUUUACUUUUUUUUCUCUUGUUACCGGUGUAGAAGGGUUUUUUUUUUUUCUUUUUCUUUUUUCUGGGUGUAACAUGUCAUGCAUAUUUCCUUACUAGAUUAUGAAUUGUACAUGUCCCCCAUUGAGCUGGCCAAGUGUACUUUUCUAGUUGGAAGUUUGUACUUUAAUGGGUUGGGGGUAAAGGAAGGUGUGCAAGAAAAAAGGGAUCAAGAAUGGGGAGUUUAUUUAGAGCCUCUUCAUUUAACAUGGUAGAUCUGUUGAACCAUUUAUUUACCAGAAUUUCCUUGUAAGCCCUAAUUAGAAUGAACCAAACAUAGAAUGUCCACCAUUUUGCUUUUUGGAAAUCUACUCUGCAUUUUGUUUACCUAUUGGCCUUACAAUACUUGGGUUCCAAGUUAUGAUCAUUUCUGACAUUUGGCAGAAAUUCAAGAUUCCAGAUGAGCAUUUAAAAUUAUAUAAGAUAAUAAAGCUUCAUAGUGAAAAACAUUACCUAAAAAAUACCUAUUCUACAGGUGAUUGUUAUUGUUGUGCUUGUGAUUAGCAUCUUCUUGUUAUAGGUGAUUGUUGAAUUUUAAGUCAUGAUGGGUAGGGUUUUUUGUCAUUGCCACUUAACUUAGUAUUAUGUUUAAGACACAAUUAGAGGUCUUUGCACCCCUAAAAAAUAAAAUACAUACUUGAU
rnacentral:lncRNA from 1 species